GUUAUAAUGGAAGUCAAUUAUGGGAUACUUGUUUUGCUGUUCAAGCAAUUAUUUCAACAAACCUAGGUGAAGAGUAUGGUCUGACUUUAAGGAAGGCACAUCAAUUCAUAAAAAAUUCUCAGGUUCAUGUUGCUAUUGAAGUUUGAUGUCAUAAAUCACCUACAUAUGUUAGCAGUUGUCCAUAAUGAUUUUACUCAACUAUUCCUACUUUGUUUUCAAGGUCUUAGAAGAUUGUCCUGGAGAUCUGAAAUUUUGGUAUCGUCACAUUUCCAAAGGUGCUUGGCCAUUCUCAACUGCUGAUAAUGGAUGGCCCACCUCUGAUUGUACAGCAGAAGGAUUGAAGGUAACAACUGAACUAACUCAAAAUAAUUGUUAUACGGACACUUUUAUUGUUUAUUUCUCUUGUGCAGGCUAUUCUAUUAUUAUCUAAACUUCCAUUGGAAACAGUUGGGGAACCAUUAGAUAUGGAGCAAUUGUUUGAUGCUGUAAAUGUUAUCCUUUCAUUACAGGUAUGGACAUAUUGAGUGGGUAUAGGUAUGGGUGUUUUUGCAUUUUAAAAUUAGGAUUUUUGGAAAGUGCAGAAUAUAGUCUAUAUUCACGGCAGUGGACAAAUAACUUUGUAUGCAUGGUUCGGAGUAACUUUAUAGACAUAGAUGCCUCUUCUAUACAAAGCUUUAUGCAUUCUGAAAAACUGCACAUAAAAAGGGAUUUGAGCGAUUUUCAAAUAUCUUCCAAUUUCUCUCCUGCCAAAUUGUUCAAAAAGGAUACAAAAGGGCAGCCGACACUCUCUUAUGUUCCUUUCUGACAUAGAGUCCAUUCCUACUUAACAACAUUGGUGUUGUUGAAGAGUGGAUCAUGCAAUCUAUCCCAAACCACUGAAGGUAUUAUUUUGACCUGUUCUUCUCUGUGCAGUUCUAAAAAAUUUAUUAUUGCCUUAAAAGUUCUAGGCCACAAAGCUAUUCCAAUAAUUAUAUAAAUUCAGAUCAGAUUUUACAAUACUUGUAUACUACAAAUUUAUGCUUGUUGGCUGAAACUUGUUUUUGAAUCUUGCUAGCAUACCUAGAAUGGGAUUCUCAACUCAAGUUUUGUGUUGAAGAUUUUUACAAGUGUGUGCUUUGGGAACCAGUUAUAAUUCCUUGUUCAGCCUGUUCUCCCGUCUUUUCGGAUUAUCAAUAUUUAAGAUUCCUGCUGUCUGACUUCAGGCAAGUGUUGUACUGAUUUUAUAGAUUUUUCCUUGGAAUCUCAACAGAAUGCAGAUGGUGGUUUUGCAACAUACGAAUUGACAAGAUCUUACCGAUGGGUGGAGGUAACUUUGAUAAAUACUGAUGCCAUUUUAUUAUUUUCACCUGAAGUUGCCCCAUGAAUGUGGCAUAUACAGUCCCAUGACACAUUCCCUCCCAAUAAGUAGGAAAUUGGGUUCCAAAAUGAAUGUCUGCAUUAAAAGCAUCCAUGUGAAACGUUUCACUGAGUAUGCUAGAUUUCUGGCUCUCUUUUUGUGAUUUCUGGUAAUGAAUUCAGUGUUCUAUAAAUUCUGUUUUUUUGCUCAUUCUCAAUCAUUCUUCCUUUUAGCAAUGAAUCUGCUUUUCCAUCUUACUGAUGAUUAUUGAACCAGGGUAGAAAAAAUUUCACAAACUAUGUGGACCUUAAAGAAAAAGAAAGUUCCAUAUACCAUAACUAGGGAACAACAUUAUGUAAACUAUUGUAUCCUUAGUUCUCAUGGAGAAGCCUUCUCCACAGUUGAUUCUCUAAAUAAAAUGAGUUGUCAUCUAGUUUUAUUAUUGAAAAGAAGGUGAGAUGGCCUUGUUAUUGAAAUCCAAAGAUAGAUGGAAUAGGAUUUUUUUUUUCUUUCCCUCUUUUUCCUAUCUUUUUUUCCUUUCUUUCUUCUUUUCUUGAAGGCAAAGUUGCACUUGAAACAACACCUUGAUUUGCUUUAUUGAUUGAGGAAGGUCAUAUUACAUACAGCAGCUCCAUCGCUACUUGAUAAUAUGUGUGGGAUUGGAACCAUUAAGUGGUAUGUCAUACUCCGGAAUCUGCUAUAAUUUGGAUAGACUUGCUUAAGUCACUUAGGUCCUUUUUGGAUUGGUUUUUGGUGAAUCAAAAGUUCUUCUUUAAGUCCAGAAAAGAGCUUAUAUGUGUUUGAAUAAUUUUAAUAAAGCUGCUUCUAACUUUAGGAGCUUAACAGAAAGCAAUGGCAAUGUCACUUCUUAUAAAGCCAUUCUUUUAAGCUUAUAUUGUACGCUAUUUUAUUUUUAAUGAAACUUUCAUGAUUCCAAGAUUGCCAUCUUAAAAUCACGGGUUCAGCAUCUCGCUAAAGCUAAAGCAAGAAACUAUCCCAAUGAGGCCUUAGAUAGAUACUAUAUGUCAUAAGCUUCAUUUGAAUAAUAGAAUGUCUUCUUUCCAAUAUUGAAGGAGAACGGAUACAUUUUAUAUUUGAACUGUGAAUUUAUGUUAAUUAGAAGCUUGGGAGCUAAAUAGCAUCUGGCACUCCUAGGAGGGCAUGGCAAUGAAAGGAGUCCAAAGGAACUAAAGAUAAAUUGAGAUAGAACCUAGGAUGGCCUCGCAAUGAUGGGAGUCCAAUGGAACUAAAGAUAAAGUGAGAUAGAACCCAGGAUGACGUCACAAAGACGGAAAUCUGAAGGAAUUAAUUGAGCAAUGAUCUUGUUAAGGUUUGUGAUAGAACUAAACAUUUUAGAAAAUUGGAAGUGUAUGUGAAAACUACAUUUUUCAACAUUUCUUUUUCUUAAUUUCUUUGCAUGUUUGCACAUUUAGAAUGUUCCAAAUAUUUGCUAUGCUGAAGCUGAAGAACUAAACCUCAUGUGGGCAUACAACACCAUUAUUCUCCUUAUUUCCAUCAACACGUGAUCUUAUCUUUGCUUUAUUAGAUAAAUUUGUGGUGCUAUCAAGGCCCUCCACAUCUUAAAUUGCAGUUUAUUUUAGUUGUGUUGGGAAUAAAUUCAAACUAUUUGUUCUUUUUGUUCUAUCUUUCAGUUAAUCAAUCCUACUGAAACUUUUGGUGACGUUGUCAUUGAUUAUCCGUAAGAUUUUAAGCACUCUUCAGUUUCUAAUGUUUACGCAUAAUUCUAGUUUGUUUUCACCCAUCUAGAAAAAAAGAAAGAAAAAAAGAAUAAAAAAAGAGGUGCGUUGUUGGGGGAAAGGGGUGGGUGGGGUUGUGGGUUGUCUUGUAGUUCAAUUUGAUGGAGAAAAUCUUAUAUGCUGUUACCUGGGUGGCACUGCAGAUGUGUGGAGUGUACCUCAGCUGCAAUUCAAGCAUUGAUAUCGUUCAAGAAAUUAUAUCCUGAGCAUAGAAGGCACGAAAUAGAAAAUUGUAUUUCUAAGGCUGCAAAGUUCAUUGAAGACAUACAGGCUCCUGAUGGCUCUUGGUUUGUUUUAAUUUAUUUAAUUAAUUAUUUUUUACAUCUCUACACAAGCCCUUGAAAUUGUUCUUUUGCUAUAGCUGCAUGCUCUUGCUAUUUUGUUAUAUCAAUCUCUCAGCUUAAUGUAAGCAGUAUCUAAUAUUUGUAGGGGUUAUUGGGCAGUCAUUAUGUGUGUGCAGUUGAUUUUGAGUAUUUUUGACAGGUAUGGAUCGUGGGGAGUCUGUUUCACUUAUGGUGGGUGGUUUGGAAUAAAGGGAUUGAUAGCUGCUGGAAACACAUACAGUAAUUGCCCCUGCAUUCGUAAGGCUUGUGAUUAUCUGCUGUCCAAGGAGCUUGCUUCAGGUGGUUGGGGGGAGAGUUAUCUGUCAUGCCAGAGCAAGGUUUUGAUUUCCAUUCUAUGUGGAAUUUCUUUCCUUUAUAGUUCUAGUGUGCCUCAUGAUGUUUGUUCUUAAUAAAUGCUCCUUAUAAAUCUGCAAAGUCGAGAUUUUAUGAAGAUUGAUAUCUUCUUUGUGGUAGCUCAUCAUAGAAUUUAUUGCAGAGCACCAAUAGUGCACCGUUUCUUUGGAAUUAAGGAGAGUUUUUUCCCAUAGAUCUUACUUGCAUUGAAUAACAAUAAGAACCUUGAUUUAUCAUGUAACUUGACACAAGUUAAUGAACUUCAGUAAGAUGUGUUUGGCUGCAUUCUAACCAAUUUUAGGAAUAGCCUAAUCCAAUUCACAUUCAUUUAUUAUCUCUGUUCGUCAUCUAUCUUGAUACUAUUUAUAAUAAUUCAUAUCUACUGCCUUGUAUGGUUGAUUAUUCUAAUGCCUCUUUAAACAGGUGUACACAAAUCUCCCUGAAGAUAAGCCAAAUAAUGUCAAUACUGCUUGGGCUAUGUUGGCUCUCAUUGAUGCUGGACAGGUAAAGUUGGAGACUAGUGGUGCUAUUUGAUGCUAAUUUAGUGUCCUCAAGGUUUUUUAUAAUGUGUAGUUGAUUAAAGCUUCCUAUACCAUUUGUCUCUGUUUCUCCAUAUCUGGUAUGCUUGUUCUUUGUUGGUGAAAAGAAAAGAAUCAAUCUAUGAUAAUUUCAGUGGGAGAGGGUCUAAAAUAUCUAAAUUAUUGUAUUUAGCUCUUGGGCUAUGCUGUAGGAUACCUCAUUGCAAGAUUUCCCUCUUUCUAAUAAUUUGGAAUAUUUAUAUUUAAAGUUGGCUUCUGCGUUUCGUGUUUUGUGCACUAAGGCAGGCAUUUGGAUCUUUUUCUUUUUGUUCACUGAUACAGAUUUUGUGGUGAUUUUCACCUAAGAUGCAUACAUUUGUUCUGAAGAAUGCACCAAAAAGAAAGUAGCAGUUAUUCUUUCAUUAAACAUUCUUUGCUCCCUUUUGGCCUCAACUCUUGAGUUUCUCUUUCUUUUGCUUGCAUGUUCAUAGAAUGCACCAAAAUUAUCCAGACUAGGUUAGUUCUUUUUCUAUUUUUUGUCACUCCAGAUUGUAAUCUUCUUCAAGCAAUUGUAUGUUCUUCUAGAUUUACACCAUAAAUCUUCUCCAAUCAUUCUGGUGAAACAUGAGAUAUUGUGAAAGUUCCCAUAAAUUGACUGAAAAAUGAGUUCCCUAUCAGAAGGUACCUUUGGGAGAUAUGCAAGCAUGGAAAAUUACCAUAUUCCAACGGUACCUCCUUUGUUUAAAGGAUAUGGGGGGUUUCUCCGCCCCCUUCGUUUAUAUGUCAAGUCUGCUUUUCUGCUUUUCCAUGACUGGAUAUGGUUUCAGGGAUUUUGUGAAUUCUUAGUUGUUUUUAACUUUAGACAAUUUGUUGCAUUACUUUCUAUUUUUUGUUGUUCUUUUCCUUCUAAAAGGCUGGGAGAGAUCCAAACCCACUACACCGUGCUGCAAGGAUAUUAAUAAAUUCCCAAAUGAAGAACGGAGAUUUUCCUCAGGAGGUAACUCUUAUAACUUCCAUUUGUUUCUUGUAAUUUUUUUUUUUUGUUUCUUUUUAUUUUAUUUUAUUUUUAAUUUUUUCUGUUGCAUGCAAAAACUAAAAUUAGGUGGUCACCUAAUGGCUGGUUCCCCCUGUAAGAAAUUGAAAUUAUUAAGAAUAGGAAGUGAAGGGCUUAUCUGUAGUUAUUCAUGCUCCAUGCUUCUUCCCUGAUUUUCAAAAUUUUUUUCCUUUAUUUUCUGUAAUUUAUCUGCACAAGCCAAAUGCCUUUUCUCUGGCAUUCUUUUUUCUUUUUCAUGAACUGGAAACAAGGUUCUAAAAACUGCAUCCAAAGAGGCCUUUGUCAUUCUGUUAAAGUUGCUUGGUAAAAGUUAAUGGAAUAAUUUGACGAUUGAUGGUAAUAAUUCAAAGACAUUGUAACAGUAUCAGGCUUAUGAGCAUUUAAUUGAUCCUUUGUAGCUCUUGAAAACGUACACCUUAAAGUUUUCUUUUUGACAUUUCUUCUCAAAUGUGAAAGACUUAUUAUGAGAAUCAUCAGGAAAACCCCAGGAAGCUCGAAAACAAAUGCUUGGAAUUUGGAUAAGAAAGUUGAUCUGCAACCCCAUAAAUAUUUUAGUAAUUUGUUUCAAUUAUAUAGAUUACAUGUCUGGUUAGAAAAUGAGUAUGCAUGCUGAUUCCCAUUGCAACAACUUUGCUGACUCUCAUGCCUGAAUAGGUCUAAUAGCUUCAACAUUUCUUCAUACAGGAAAUCAUGGGAGCCUUCAACAAGAACUGUACAAUCAGCUAUUCUGCAUAUCGGAACAUUUUUCCUAUAUGGGCACUUGGAGAAUACCGGUCUCGGGUACUUCAUUCUUCCUGAAAAUGUAAUUAUAACGUUCCAAAGAAUGAGAUGCAUGCUUGUCUACUGAGUGUAGCCCUUGUCACGUUUAUAGACAAUAAGGGUCCCGGCUGGGACUUUUCUGCUUUGUGUUGCUUGAAUUUUCUGGGAAAAGAAACAUUAUUGGGUUUAAGAUGAUAUGUGGCUAUAGGGUCUAAGAUAAUCUGUAAGAAACCUAAGCUUAUCUUGAUUUUGAUCCAUGGAAAGGCAUGUAUGCUGGGGAGGCCCUAGCCAUUAAAAUUUAUGUAAUUGACAAUCGCGGAAAGGGUUGUGUGUAGUUUGAGUCAAAAGAAUUUCAUAGGUCUAAAAUGUAAAAAUCAUGCAUACUUUAAAGGAGUUCAUUACAUCUAUUAUGAUGUUAGGAACUUCUCUUCCCAAUCCCCUUCUUGAUAGAUAUUGUCUAUUUUGAAUUUGGAUUUUAAAAUGUGUUUGUAAAGGGGAAUUCUAUUUAUAUAGUAUCAAAAAUUUCUCUUUCUAGUUAAUGUGGGAUUUCAUAUUAAACAGAAUUGAGGGUAUUACUGAGUAAUGUUAACAUUGAUGGUAAUUCAAUGCUUAAAAAAUGAGUGUGUAUGCAAGUUUUGCAUAGGUAUAGUGCACGAAGGGUUAACAAUAUUAGGCCAUAAGGCAUAGUCGAUGGGUAACAAAUGAAUACUUUCUUAUUACCCUUUGUCCGUCUUAAGGGAUGAAGGAGGUUAGAUUAAUUGAAAGACGGUUCUUAUUUUAAAAAUAAAAGUUAGGCCUACGUUUCAAGGUGGAGAAGAGAUAGAAAUAAAAUAUCUCAAGUCGAUGCUCAAGUACAGAAUAUUAAUAUAACCUGUCACAUACUCUCAAGUAAUUCAAAUUAUUCAUGUGAUAAAAGUUAUUUUUUUUUUUCUUUUUUUAAGUUAGAAAAAAAGUUUUUUAAAAAACAAGGCAUAAAACUUUUGGACAUAUAUGAAAAUUAGGGUUUGUGAGGAAGUAGGCGAAUUGGGAGGUUUUGUGUAGGAAAAGGCAUUGGAUCUACUACAAUCUUCUCAUUCGGAGUGGGCUUCUCCCAUUUGAACCUCUUCACCAAAUGAUGCAUGAACAUAAGUAAUCUCAAGUUUCUCCCACUUGAACCUCUUCACCUAAUGAUACAUGAACACAAGUAAUCUCCAAAUGGCCGUACUCUUUUCCAAGGCACAUCCAAGGUCCUCCUCCAAAUGAUGGGUUGAAUUUUUUGGGGUUUGGGAAGUAUUUUAGGUUAUAUUUGGUUCCCAAGAAGUAUUAAGGAAAGAAAAAAAAAAACAAUAAGAAAAAUAAUUUUUUCAUGUUUGGUUUCAUUAUAAAAAAAAUGAAAGAAAAUAAAAUAUAAUUAAAAUUAGUUAAAAAUUUAUAUAAAAAAAAUAAAUUAUUGACUUUAGAUCUAUUUUUUUUUUCUUCACUUUUUUCUUUUCUUUACAUUCUUCUUUUCUAUUUUCUUUUUCAUACAUUUUCCCUCACUCGGGAACCAAACAUGCUAAAGAAGUAAACGUGGGAAUAAACAAAUAGCAAGACUCAACCACAACUCGUUUGACACUAUAUUAAGUUGUUGAUUAGCAUUAUGUUUGGUUCCUAAAAAGUAUCGAGGAAAAAAAUGUUUUGAAAAAUGAUUUUAUCAUGUUUAGGUUCACUACGAAGAUAUGAAUAAAAAAAAAUAUGAUUAAAAUUAAUUAAAAAUUUGUGUAAUUUUAAAUUAUUUGAUUUUUUUUUUUACAUAAAAGAGAAAAAGAAGUAAAAUGAAUUUAAAAUAACAUAUAAAAAUAAUUUAUUUACUUCAAUUUAUUUUUCUUUUCUUCUAUUUUCCUCUUCAUUUUCUUUUCUUUGUAUUUUUGUAUUAAAUUUUCUAGGAACCAAGCAUAGGCUUAGGGUUUUUCGGCAUGUUGAAUUUAUACUGCAAUAUAAAUGCAUGGUAAUAGUUAUAUAAAUCACAAGUGAUAAAUAACUAAAUGAGGGAAUAAGCAAACAAAUAGAUUCAAAAUCGAAGCCCAUGGAAAUUAACCACCUCUUGUGGUACAUUACUAAGUUACUAAUUAAUGGAAGAACUAUUGAUAUAAAGUAAUGAUAUAUAUUGAGUUAAAUUAUUACAAAAUCAUAUUAGUAUUUCAUCAUAAUUACAUGGUAUGUUUAUAUAGAUCAUCAACAAUAGAUAAAUAAAUGAAGAAAUAAAUAAACAAUGAGACUUAAACUUAGGACUUGUAGAAAUCAAAUCUUAAUACUAUAUAUUUUAAGCUAGCAAUUCAUUUAGAAACUUAAGAUAUUAAGUAAUGAACAAAAAAUAUAUAUCAAACUAAUAUUAAUGAUAAUCACAUAGUUUUAUUUUACUUGAUGUAAUUUAACUAAGUGGUAAAGGUUACACAAAAUAUAAAUAAUCGAGAAAUAAAUAGACAAAAAUAUUCAAACCUAGAUCAGUAAAAACUAGAACACCUCUAGUAGAAUGUUGAGUCGCUUCUUAACCUAAAAAACUUAUUAAUAAUGCCUAUCUUCAAGACAUCAUCGCAUCAACAAGAUUCUCAUAGGAACUAGGAGGUGAACAAAGUGGCAGGACAACCUAGUUCUCGUCUUCAAUCUUUACAUUAGCACUCUUCAAAUCAAGAAUAAUCUUGUUAGAUAGAUCAAGAUGAUCCUUAAUUGUCAUGCCUUCACCCAUCUAAAGUUGAUACAACUUGUUUGUGAGAGACUUUGUCAUGUACAGACUUUCUAGUUUCAACCAAAUUCCCAAAAUAGUAGUUUUAUCUAAAACUUCCUUGAGAAUUUCAUCUCCCAUAUGACAAGAUGAUUGUAUCUUGCACUUUACUCAUCAAAUCUUUCAUCUCAUUUUCAAAUAAACUACUAGGCAAUUUGUCAAACCAUCUAAGAGCAUCUUCCAACCUUCGAUGGACCAGCAGUGUCCUCAUCUUAAUUCGCCACAAAUUGAAGUCAUUGUCUUCCGUGAACUUCUCGAUGUUAAACUUUGUAGUUGUCAUUUCAACCUUCCUUUCAUACCAAUUUGUUAUGAACAAAGUAAUAAUAACUCAGAAAAUAGCAGCAAGUCUGUUGAGAAAGAUUGAGAAUUAAUUAAAACCAACACAAACAAGUACACAUUAGACACAUAAUUUACGUGGUUUGGGUAAUAUCCAAUAUUCAUGAGCAGGCCCAGAUUAUUUCUUCAAUUAUUGAACUAGAAUUAUACAAAGUCUUUCCUUUUCAUAGUGUUUCCCAGAGAUUUUAAACACACCAAUCUCCCUUACUAAAAUUGAAAACUCUGAACGAAAAAAACUCUACAAUACAUCCAUCAAUUUUUUUUCCACAUUAUUAUAUGCUUUGAGAUCAACACCACCAGAGACAAAAUAGUUGUCUUUUCUUUAAAGAGAUAUAUUGCAGCACUGCGCACUGUGAUACAGCCAUCAUUGGAAGAAGACAAACCAGAGCUAGACCACAAGGGCUAAUGCUGAGAGAUAAUUAAACUUGUUGGCAGAUGGCCAAGACUUCNNNNNNNNNNNNNNNNNNNNNNNNNNNNNNNNNNNNNNNNNNNNNNNNNNNNNNNNNNNNNNNNNNNNNNNNNNNNNNNNNNNNNNNNNNNNNNNNNNNNUAUUUUAGAUUUAGAAGAAAAGGAGCCUUCAGCAAGUGAAUUAUAAGACAUUAAUCACGUAAGCAUGAUGUCAAUGAGAUCUCCUAGACAGAUUCCAAGAUUUCUGUGCUUUGAUUUUGGUAGAAUCCUAUCUUCUUAGAAAUGAAUUAGAAAAAGGGUUCACUUACCUGACCAAGUAUAAUUGUUUGUACCCGAUCUCAUUUCUUUGUAUUCUUGAAUUGUGAUUCCAUUUGUUUGUAUUUUCAUUUGACGGUUUAUAUCUUGUCAUAUACAUUCAAUGAUCCAAUCCAAAUUUAAAGUUGAUGGAUACCACCACGUAACUUAGAAAAAAAGCAUCCAAAUUAAUGCCUGUUCCAUUCUUGGUUAGUGUGCCGCGAGGUACUCCUGUGCUGCAUGUCUCCUUUAUUCAAUUAUGUUGCGAAGCUAUAUACAAAUGAGAAAUGAAGGGUAGUAUGUAGAUAUGAUUUCAGAGAAAGGACAGUUUUUUUGGAAGGGAGGGAGAGUUAGAAAAUGUGGAGGCUUAAGAUUGCAGAUGGAGGCAAUGAUCCCUACAUCUUCAGCACCAACAACUUUGUGGGAAGACAGAUAUGGGAGUUUGAUCCUGAUUAUGGAACCCCAAAAGAGCGAGCUAAGGUCGAAGCAGCUCGUGAAAAUUUCUGGAAAAAUCAGUUUCGGGUUAAGCCCAGCAGUGAUCUUCUCUGGUGAAUGCAGGUGAUCCCAUCUGUGUCAAAAUCUGAAAGAACACAUAGGAACAUGAAUAUAUAGUAUAUGUAGGGUAUGCAUGCUUAUGUGACUGAACCAAAGAAAUGGUUUAGCUUCAAAGAUUGUCUCCUUACGAGAGUAAGAGAUUUUACAAGACGAUGUAAAUGGUCUGGUCUGCAGUAUCUUUUUCUCUUGGGUAGAAUUCAACACUAAAAAGGUUAGACCUUAUUCUACUUCUUUAAUUAGUUAAUUUAAUGUAUUGAAGAAUAAUAUAAUGAGAAAGUGGCAAUUCAAAUUUGGGCAGGGUGAACACCUUGGGCUUAGAUUAAUUAAUUAAUCUUGUAGAGCUUAUGUCUUCAACUUCUUAUACAUUCUAUAUAUAUAUAUAUAUAUAUAUAACAUGUGAAAAAGUUGAAGAAAGAAACUGAAAAAAUAGAUGAAUUUAACAGAAAUAACUGCCAUAUUAGUCCAUGUAAUGUUAAGAAUCUUCUUAUAGAUGGAAAGAGAUAUAUAGAACAGCAAUUUUGGAGUUAAUUAGUGUAGAUGCUUUGUACAGAUUGUUAGGGUUAACUUCAGGCUGGACCCUGGGCCCAAAUCCAGCACAACCCAACUGAAUUGAAUUAGAUCUAAAGCCCAUUGGGUGUUGAGCUUGUUCUGGGCAGACAGGACUUCAGUGGUAACCCACCCAAAUUAAGUAUGAGUCCUGUGGCCGCCAGUACAGUACCUCCCUUUGGUUCAUGGAUAAAUACUUAAAUCAUCUGAAUGACUCUUUUACUUUGGUUAUCAUUAAAAGAGAUUGUUAGGACACUAGGACAUUCUCUAUGCUCGAUAUUAAUGGAAUAUGGAAGGUUUACUAGUCUCGUCAUGACUGAUCAUUAGUAUAAGAUAUAAGGUCACUGUUAAAACAUUUGAGUUAUCAGACAAGAUUUUAAUGGGCAAAGAUAAAGACAUAAACCUCUUUUAUUUUUUAAAUUGGGGAAAUAGAUAUGUAUUGAUGAAAGCUUGACCUACCAUCAAACGAGACUCACUUCCCAUUAAAUGAGGGUAUGAUACCUAUGGAAAGAAAAAAAUAUUGGGGAUAUCACUGUAGGGUGAUUUUGGGCCUGCUCAUCUCAAAGCCUAGCUUGAAGGGUGAAACUUUCCCUUACACUUAUAAAGAGUCACCCAAUUCCUUCUACAAGAGAUGUAGGUAAACCCAACAAGCUUUCCCUCACACAUUGGCCCCUUAGUUGGGAGACCAUCAACCUGAUAGUCCAAUAAUGAAAGGUGAGACAUUUUGUUUGAACAACCAAUUUUCCUAAAAGAUCAAACUUGUAGAAUUUGUAUCCAUAAUGUAUAUCAUUCACUCUAAUAAUUGUUACACCUAUCUUGAUUAUAUGAGCCCCUCCUAGCUUGGUAGAUGUUUACUAUUGAGGUUAAUAUACCUUUUCUUUUCUUUUCUUUUGAACUUUUUCUUCACUAACUCCCUCUUCAUUUGGCCAAAAAAAAAACCUUGCAGUUUUUGAGAGAGAAGAAUUUCAAACAAACAAUACCACAAAUGAAGGUUGGGGAUGGUGAAGAAAUUACAUAUAAGACAGCCACAACAACAGUGAGAAGGGCUGCAAAUUUCUUUUUUAGCCUUGCAGGCAAGUGAUGGCCACUGGCCUGCUGAAAAUGCUGGGCCUUUGUUUUUGCUUCCUCCCUUGGUGAGUCUACUGAUUAUUCAAAAUUUUAAUUGGAAUGACAUUUGACAGGCAUAACAGUGACGAUGGACAAACCCCAUCUCUUGACUUCAACUUUUUCCCCUAAAAAAUGCAGGUAAUAUAUCUAUAUAUUACAAGGCAUCUUGAUCCUAUAUUCCUUGGUGAAUAUCGUAAAGAGAUCCUUUGCUUCAUAUACUGUCAUCAGGUACACACUUUUGGAACCAUAUUGUUCCAACCUGAUAAUAAACUACAUGGGAGUUGUUUCCUUAUGGACAAUACAUAAUUUUUCAAUUUUUAUUAACCAUCAAAGAGGUUCCUGUAUAUUGCAGAAUGAAGAUGGCGAAUGGGGAUUUCAUGUUGAAGGACACAACACCAAGUAUUGUACAGUAUUCAACUACAUUUGUAUGAGUAUAAUAAGAGAAGGAUCGGAUGGUGGCCAAGGAAAUGCCUGUUUAAGAGGGCAAAAAUGGAUCCUUGACCAUGGUGGUGCAACCUCCAUACCCUCUUGGGGUGUAGGUUUUAGAAUCAAGAAGUGUUGGAAGCAAGAACCAAAAACUAUAUUUGAGCGAAAAUGUCUGCACUUAUUGAAUGAUCAAUGCAACAUUUAUACACAAGUUUGUAACAUAAAACAACAGAAAAGCAGCAAAAAUAGCUAUACGUUGGGACUAACAACUAUUUCCUAUAAAAAAAACAACAACAUAACAAUUAUUAAGCUCCAUGAAACUCCGUCAGCUUCAUUGACUAAGUUUUUCAUGGUUGCAGCCUCAAUUUUAGCAUCUAUUCACACCUCAAUAGCCUUCUUAACAAAUUCUUAAGCUCUCUCAACUCAAACAACUUUCACAUGACUUCCAACAUGUUUGUAGCUACUAAGGCAUUUUGCUCAACACUCCUCUUUGACUUGGGAGCAACAAACUCCAAGUGUUUUUUUGAGAAAUUCAAAUCUAGCUCUCAAUAGAGCUUUUGUUAGAAUAUCAACAUUUAGUACUUCUGUUUUACAAUGUACCAAAUUUACUUCUCCAUCCUACUGUAUUUCCCUUAAGAAAUAAAACUUGAUUUUGAAAUGCUUUGUUCUACCAUGGAAUACUGGAUUACUUGCAAUUGAAAUUGCAGCUUGAUUGUCAACAAAGACUUGUGUGCUUCCAGUUUGCUCCAUGUUUAAGUUUGUUAGCAUCUUUCUUAUCCAAAGUGCUUGAUUUGCAGCUAUAGCAGCAACAAUGUACUCUACUUCAGUUGUGGAUUGUGCCACGAUAUCCUAUUUUUUAGAGCACCAAGAGAAAAAACCUGAACCAAAACUAAAGCAAUAACUUGAUAUGCUUCUCAUAUCAUCAACGUAACCAACCUAAUCACUAUCAGAAAAUCCAUGAAAAUGAAAAUUCUGCACCUGCUUGAACUUGAUGUCAAAGUCAAUAGUGCCUUUUAUAUAUGUCACAACAUGUUUUGCUGCUUGCAAGUUAAUUUCACUAGCAUAAUGCAUGUAUCUUGAGAGUAGACUUACAACAUGUACUAGAUCUAGCCUUGUUAUAGUCAAGUACAUCAGACAUCCAAUCAUGCUUCUAUAUAACUCUUCAUAUACUCUUUCAGCACCAUAUUCUUUGCAAAACUUUUCUUUUUGAUUCAUAGGUGUGGUUGUAGGCUUGCAUUCCUCCAUCUUGAACUUUUUUAGAAUUUCCUUUGCAUACUUCUGCUAACAGAUGAAUAUCUCAUGGUGAUUCUGAUGCACUUCCAUUCCUAGGAACUAAGACAUGUCUCCAAGAUCUGUCAUAUCAAAGACCUCAUCCAUUUUAGCUUUGAAUUUAUCCAUUAAACAUUAAUUGCUCCCUGUUACAAGCAAAUCAUCAACGUAUAACGAAACAAUAAGCAUGUCAACAUUAAUUUUUCUAAUAUAAAGUGUGGAUUCACUCUGAUUUAUUUUAAACCCCAGACUAAGCAUAUGUGCAUUAAUCCUGUUGUACGAAGCUCUGGGGGCUUACUUUAAGCCAUACAAGGCUUUCUUUAGUUGAUAAAUCUUGUUUUGUUUCCCUUUUACUGCAAAUCCUUCAGGUUGCUCCCCAAAGAUUUCCUCCUUAAGGUAGCCAUUUAGGAAGGGUGAUUUUACAUCUAGCUGAUAGAUUUUCCAACCUUUUUGAGCAGCCAAAGCUAGCAGCAUCCUUAUUGUAUCUAACCUAGUUAUAGGUGCAAAGGUCUUUAAAAAAUCCACACCGAACAUUUAAGCACAACCUUUGACAACCAGCUUGGUUUUAUGUUUGUUUACAAAACCAUCGAAAUUAAGUUUGGUUCUAUAAACCUCACUUGACACCAAUGGUCUUUUUAUGUAUUGGUUUGUCAACUAGCUUCCAAGUGUUGUUUUUCUCUAUCAUGCCGAGCUUCUCCUACAUUGCAACCCUCCAUUUUUUAUCCUUAGUAGCUUUAGUAAACCCUACAGGCUCAAAUAUAGUCACAUUACACCUUUGAUAAAUAUUAGAAAGUGAUCCAAUGCCUCUUACAGGAAUGCCAUCAAUAUUUUCAUCAAGGAACUCAAGAUUCUGAUUUUUUUUAGCAUCUCAACUCCAUUUAUCAUCCUCCAUGAAUUAAACAUCUCUGUUGACAAUGACUUUGUCAGCAUGAGGCAUAUAAACUCAUAUAAACUCUAUAAGUCUUUGAUUGGCUAUUGUAUCCUACGAAGAUCCUAGUUUCUGUCUUUUUAUCCAACUUGUCUCGUUUCACUAGAGGCACAUAACAAAAACAAAGGCAACCAAAUGUUUUUUAAGUUUAACAAUAGAGGUUUAUAUCCAAACCAAGCCUCGAAAGGAGUUUUUUUUUUGUAAAGCUUUGGUUAGGAGUCUAUUUAGUAGAAACACUGUAGUGUUUGCAGCUUCAGCCUAGAACUUUUUUGGUAGCCCUUUAUCAUGCAAGAGACAUCUUCUUAUCUCCAUGAUAGUCCUAUUUUUCCUCUCUACCACUCUAUUCUGUUGUGGUGUGUAAGGUGCAGUCAGUUCGUGCUCUAUGCUUACUUCUUCAUAGAAAUUGUUGAAUCUUUCAAAAGUAUAUUCAGUGCCAUUAUUUGUCCUUAUAACUUAUAUAAUGACACCACUUUGGUUUCUACUAGGGCCUUGUACUUCCAAAAUACACCAGCAAUCUCAAAUUUAAAAUUUAGGAAAAAAAUCCAACAAUAUCUGGUAUAAUCAUCUAUAAAAACAAUAUAGUACUUAUUGCCCUUCAGAGAUGGUGUUCUCUGAAGUCUUCCAACAUCAGUGUGUAUAAGUUACAACUCGUGUCAUGCUCUCCAUGUAAAUUUAUGUGGGAAAGGAAGCCUGGAUUGUUUUCCAUAUUGAUAGGCUAUAUAGGUAGGACGAUUUUGCUCCAAGUCAGGUAGACCUACUGCAAGUUGAUUCUUCUUCAUGUAGAGCACUCCAUUAUGAUGAAAGUGCCCCAAUCUCUUAUGCCAUAAAGUUGUGACAUUAAUUUAUUGAGAAACAUCAACUUGCUAUUCCUCAAGCAAAUUCAAGACACAUCUUUUGCCUCUCAUCUUGAUCUUGAACACAUCUUUUCCAUUUGCAUCCUUGAUCAUAUAGAACUUGUCCUAAAAUAACACCUUGAAACCUUUCUCAAGCAAUUGCCCAACACUCAAGAGAUUUUGAUCAAUAUCAGGAACAAACAAAACAUUAGGGAUGAGUUUUAGAUUUGAGAGACUUUCAAUGACAACAGUCCAUUUGCCCUUUAUUGAGAUGUAUUCCCCAUUUACAAUUCUUACUUUGGAAAUGGUAUUUUUGUUAAGCUCCCUGAAAAGUUCUUGAUCAUAAGUCAUGUGGUUUGUGCAACCACUGUCUAUGAGCCAGCUUUUUUAUGUGUUCUUGCUAGCAAAAUAGGUGGCAACAAACAACUGUUCUUCAUGAUAUUGAUCAGCAGCUGCAGCCUUGAUCUCUCAUUCUUGUUGUGUUUUGCAUAGCCUCUCUAUAUAACCUAAUUGACCACAAUUGUGGCACUUGACAUAUGGCCUCCACCAGCACUUUUGUGGAGGAUAAUUUGUUUUUUUGUAAUGAGGGUAGGGUGGAUUAGCUCUUUUAUGAUUCUUUUUGUUAUUGCUUGACUUGUUAUUUUUCUUUUUUUUCUUUCUAUCUUUGCCAGUAUCAUUGUUUGGUGAUUUGGCUUGGAAUGCUCCCUCAAUAGAUCCUUCCUAUCUCAUUAUUCUCCUUUGUUCCAAGGCCUACAAAGCAUUAACAAGUUCUACCAAAGAUAUACUUGACAUAUCUUGAGAAUUUUCCAAGGAAGAGAUUGUGGCUUCAUAUUUUUCCGGCAGAGUUACUAAGAUUUUUUGAAUUAUUCUUUCAUUAGAAAAUUCCUUACCAUACAAUCUCAUCUUGUUUGCCAUGCUAAACAGUUGUUUAGCAUAAUCUUUGAUAAUUUGAGACUCUUUCAUUUUGCUCAUUUCAAAUUCUCAUAUUAAAUUCCUUACUUGUAUAUCUGCACCUUUUCAUUCCCCUGAUACUCAUUUUUUAAAUACUCCUAGAUUGCUGUAGCAGACUCCAUUUGCAUGAUUUUGGUGAGAAUAGAAGGUGAAAUUGUAGAGAAAAGACAAGCCUUGUCCUUGGGUUUUCUUGUUUUUCUUUCCCUAUGAAUCUUCAUUUGAUUGAUACUUAGAUUGUCUCCAAGUGGUGGUACUUCAUAAUCUUCUUCUACGGCCUCCCAAAGAUCCAAAGUUUCAAGGUGGACUGUCAUUCUAAUAGCCCACGCCUGAUAAUUAUCACCAUUGAAAACUAGUACUGACAAAAAGCUUACAUCUCCGUCCAUUUGCUACAAAAUGAUAGUUACAAGCUGUUGAAGGUUGUGUGUUUUGUUGGCUUUGGAGUUUAGUAUGCGUGAAGGUAUUUUGGCUUCACUCAAUCCUCACAGGUCCCUCAAGAUAGCGUGCUAUGAUACCAAUUUGUAGGUUUUAGAACCAAAAACUAUAUUUGAGACCACAAAAAUAUCUACACUUAUUGAAUGAUCAAUGCAACAUUUAUACACAAGUUUGUAAUAGAAAACAACAAAAAAGCAACAAAAACAGUUAUACAUUAGGACUAACAACUAUUUCCUAUAAAAUAGCAACAACAACAUAACAGUUAUUAAGCUCCAUGAAACUCUGUUAGCUUCAUUGACUAAGUUUUUCAUGGUUGCAGUCUCAAUUUCAACAUCUUUUCACACCUCAACAACCUUCUUAACAGAUUCUUAAGCUCCCUUAGUUCAAACAGCUUUCACACAACUUCCAGCAUGUUUGUAGCUACUAGGGCAUUUUUCUCAACAUGGGGGAAGACAUGGCUUUUGGUAUGAUAGUUGCAAAUAUAAAUGGACAUUAUAGAUAUAUAAUCCUAUGCAAAUGUAUUUAAUUUCCAAAAACUAUUCAUGUUGACACAGUCUUUUGGUUUCAUAUGUAUUUUCUUGUAAUGAAUGUUGGCUUAUUAAGUCUCACAUAAUACCAUUUCCUUAUUGUAGAUACUUGGCUUAUUUGAGUGGGCAUGAUGCAAUUCAAUGCCCCCAGUGUUUUGGAUCCUUCCUUAUUUUCUUCCCAUACAUCUAGGUAUUAUUAAUUACACAUUAAUUUUUAUUCAAAUGCUUGAAUUUGCAUUUAGGCUACGUUUGGUUGGCAAAAUAUGAUAGGAUAGAAUUUGCAUAUUCUAAUAUAUCAUAUCCCAUUGGAAAGGAUAUGCAUAUCCAAUUAUAUGAUUUCCAAUGGGAUAUGAUAUCCUUGGAUAUACAUAUUCUCUAGAUUUAAUAUUUUAAAAUAACAUAUUUAUAUUUGAUUUGUGAAAUGAAUAAAAAAUAAUAUGAAAUAUAUAUUAUUUUUCCAUUGUUUAAAAUAAAAAAUAUAUCACAUUCAAAUAUUUUCUAUUUAAAAAAAAAUGAAAUUUCAUUAAUGUUUAACAAUAGUUAUCAUUAAAAUAUUUAAAGUUUACACUUUUUAUUAUUAUUAUUUUAUGUUAUUUAAUAUAUAAAAAUAAUUUAUAUAUCAUAUAUUAAUAUUAUUUUAUAAAUAUUUUUUUAGUUUUUCUUUUUUAAUCGUAAAUUUAAUUUAUAAUAAAUUCUUUUCUUUUAUAAAAUGAAUAUAUUAAAAAUAAAAAAAUUGAUAAAAAAAUAAAUAAAUUUUUGAUGCAUGGGAUAUGUAUAUUUCAUAUCUUACCAUGUGAUUAACAUAUCCCAUAUGAAAAGAAUGAAAAAUAGAGUGUAUAAUAUAUCCUACCACUUUUCCUAUCCAUAUUUGGUUAAACAUAGGAUAGGAUAAGUGAUGGGAUAACUUAUCAUAUUCCAUCACUAACCAAACAUAGGAUAGGAUAUACUAUAUGGAUAGGAUAUACUAUAUCCUAUCCCAUAUUAUAUCCAGCCAACCAGACGUAGCCUUAGUGUAUUUUACAUGCUAAACUCUUAUCUUGCAUAAAAGUAAGGAAGGGGGAUGAUGAAAUCUUUGAUAUCUCACAUCAAAUUAGUAAAAAAGUUAAAGGUGUUGUAUAUGUAUGAAAUCCUCUUAACUUUAUAGACGAGUUUUAAAAUGUAAGGGUCCCUUGGGUGUAGAGUAAACAACAUCUACAUGGGAGGGAACAAACCAUCACAAAUGGUAUCAUAGUUAAUUCUCAAUCCAAGUGUGAUAGUUUGUUUGGUCUUAUAAGGAAAGUCUAUUUGAUUGACCCUCAAUCUUAUUAGACAUGCCGGAGUGUUUGUGAUAUACCACAUUGGAUAGAGGAAAAAGUUUCUAACACUAUAUAUGUAUGAGUUCAUUUUAAUCAUGUAGACGUGUUUUAAAACUGUGAGAGUCCAUUAGGCUUAGAACGGAUAAUUUUUAUAUGGUUGUGAAUAGGUUGUUACAGAAUCACUAAUAAUGCCUAAAAAAUAGACAAGAGGCAAGUCGAGCCAUGCAAUCUUCAACCUUAUUAUGUUAUCGGGUCACACAUGCUGAGUUAGAAACCUAAGCUUUGGAAAGCUGUUUGGUUGAUAUUAAGAAUGCCACUUCCAUGUCUACUUUAACCAUCUUAUACUAAAAAUUGAUUUCUCUUUUCUUAAAAAAAAAUUGCUUCAUAAGUGCAACACAAAUGUGAUGCUAUUCUUGGAUGGUUAACAUGCCCAUGUCCUACUUAUAUGGUAAACGAUUUGUUGGCCCAAUCACCCCUCUUGUUCUAGAACUAAGAGAAGAGCUCUUCCUUCAACCUUAUAAUGAAGUCAAUUGGAAGAAAGUCCAGCAUCAUUGUGCAAAGGUAAGUUUUAGUUAUACUAAAACCAUCCGUCCUUCAAAUAUUUCAUGCUUACAUGAGACAUUCUGUCAAAUUUUCUAUUGCAGGAGAAUCUCUACUAUUCCCGUUCGUUAAUAUAGGAUUUGAUGUGGGAUGGUAUAUACAUAUUUACCGAGCCUUUUCUGACUCAUUGGCCCUUCAACAAGUUGAGGGAAAAGGCUCUUGAAACAACAAUGAAACACAUCCAUUAUGAAGAUAAAAAUAAUCAGUAUAUUACCAUGGCAUGUGUGGAGAAGGUAACACGAUUGUCCGUGUUAUGAGAUGUUUAAAAGGAAAAAGAAACUCUAAUCGAAGAAUGUCUCUUAAAUUGAGCAGGUAUUGUGUAUGCUUGCUUGUUGGGUAGAAGAUCCAUAUGGGGAUUCUUUCAAGAAGCACCUUGCUAGGCUCCCGGAUUAUAUAUGGAUGGCAGAAGAUGGAAUUAAGAUGCAGGUUAGAUCCAAAAAUUUUUCUUUUUUAGAGUUUGUUUUGUAUUUGAGAUUGACCUUCAUUCAAAGUCCUAACUUUGAUAAUUUUCAUUGAGAUAUGCGGACCGCUAGUAGUCAGCAGUGGGACACCAGUCUUGCCAUUCAAGUGCUGAUAGCUUGUAAUCUCACAGAUGAAAUUGGAGCCACGCUCAUGAAAGGACAUGACUUCAUAAAGAAAUCUCAAGUGUUGUCUUGAAUUUCUUAAAUCAUCUCUUCUUAUCAACCAUCAUUAUUUUUUGAUGCCACUUGAAAGAGAAUUAAUCUUGCAGGUUAGGGACAAUCCUUAUGGUGAUUUUAGAAGCAUGUACAAACACAUUUCUAUGGGAUCUUGGACAUUCUCAGAUCGGGAUCAUGGUUGGCAAGUUUCUGAUUACACUACAGAAAGUUUGAAGGUAACUAAUUUCUGUUCAAACACUUCAUAUACUUGUGGCAUGGUUUUCCAUUUAACUCUCAUCUCUGUUACAAUGUUGUCUCAUUCUCUCAAUAAUGCCGCUAGAAAUUGUUGGGGAAAAAAUUAAACCCGAACGGCUAUAUGAUUCUGUCAAUCUCCUGUUUUCCCUACAGGUGAGGAUAAUCUUUCUUGUAUUAUAUCCACGGUUGUAUCAAUUACAAAACAAAUCAUGGAUUUUGUGAUUUUAGAAUUAUAGGAAACUUUUUUAUAUUUCCUCCUUUGGAUUUACCUUUCUUAGAAUUAUUUCUCUAGUAUCAAUAAACCCCAUUUUCUAUAUACCUUUGUAGAGUAAAAAUGGUGGUUUAUCAGCCUUGGAGUCUGCAUGAGCUUCCAAAUGGUUGGAAGUAAUUACUGUUAAUGUUACCAUAUACAAAUUAGGAAUCAAAUUGGUUGUACAUAUAGGAAAUGUUAAUGUUACCAUAUACAAAUUAGGAAUCAAAUUGGCUAUACAUAUAAGAAAAGAUUGACAUGUUGGCUUACCAUGUAUUUGUUAAUGUUACCAUAUACAAUUUAGGAAUUUAGUCUCCAUGUAUAGGAUAUAUAUAUAUAUGUAUAUAGAUGGAUGCAGAAUAUAAUAAACAUAUUAGAGUUCUUAGAGUUCUCGGUUUCUGUGGAGUUUUUUUGAGUAUUUUGACAUGGUAACAGAGCAAGGUUUCGACAUCUUUUGAGUGGAGUUCGUGAUCUUCUACCAAUCAAAGGCUUGGCAUAAAAAACAGUGUUGAUUGGGUUCAUCGCGACUUGGUUCUUGGCCGUUUCUGUUCCAAUUUUCUAGUGGGCUAUUUCAUUUGUUUCUCGGUUGCAUCAUGUCAUCAGAUAAGUUGGAAUUGUUUCCUAUUAGAUUUAUUGGCAAAAAUUAUUGUCCUUGGGAGUUUCAAUUUAAAUUAUUUAUCAAAGGAAAAGAAUUAUGGGGUCAUAUUGAUGGGAGUAAUCCUGCACCUCGUGAUGCUGAGGCUUUGUCUAAGUGGGAAAUUAAGGAUGCUCGAAUUAUGACCUAGAUCCUUAGCUCGAUUGAAUCUCACCUUGUUCUCAGUAUGAGGCCUUAUAAAACUGUUGCUGCUAUGUGGAAUUAUCUCCACAUGGUUUACAAUCAAGACAACUCUACUAGGUGUUUUCAAUUGGAGUAUGAGAUGGGUAAUUUCACACAAGGAAGUCUCUCAAUCGAGGAAUAUUUUUUUUCAAACUCUUUGGACUGAUUAUUCCGACAUUGUUUAUGUUAAUGUUCCCGCUGCAACUCUCUCUACUGUCCAAGCAGUGCAUGCAACCAGCAAGCAAGAUCAAUUCUUGAUGAAGCUACAACCCGACUUUGAAAUUGCACGGUUUAAUCUAAUGAAUCGUCAUCCUAUACCAUCUCUGGAUGCCUGCUUGAGUGAACUUUUGCACGAGGAUCAAUGUAUUGUAACUCAAGCUACCAUGGAACAUCGGUCUAAUGUUAGUGCACCUGUUUCUAUAGCUUAUGCAGCAUAGGGGCGGAAUAAGAGUCGAGAUAUGUGUGUUGUCUAGUGCUUUAGUUGUAAAGAUUUUGGUCACAUUGCUCGGGAUUGUCCCAAGAAGUCUUGUAACUACUGCAAGAAACAAGGUCAUAUCAUCUCUGUUUGUCCCAUUCGGUCUGAAAGGAAGCAUAAUACUAAUUAUCAUGUCUCCAUUGGUGCCUCUAGUUCUGCUGCAUUGCCUGCUGCCUCUUUGAUUGUUCCUAUUCCUACUCCUACAGCCUUAGCAAACCCGAACACACUCACUCCUGAAAUGGUACAACAAAGUAUCAUUUCUGUUUUUUCUGCUUUUGGGCUCUCAAGUAAUCAUACGAUUUCUUCUAAGCCAUGGUAUUUUGAAUCUGAAGCUUCUAACCAUAUGAAGAAUACCGUUCUUUCUAAUGUUAGAAAUUAUGAUGGAAAUCUGAAAAUUAACACUACUGAUGGCAGUUCUCUGCCUAUCAGUGCUGUUGGUGAUCUUUCCUCUUCCUUAACUGAUGUUUUUGUGUCUCCUGACCUCUCUACAAAUCUUCUUUCUGUUGGUCAAUUGGUUGAUAAUAAUUGUAAUGUCAAUUUCUCCCGUUUUGGUUGUGUUGUGCAGGAUCAAAUGUUUGGGAAAAUAAUCGCGAAGGGGCCUAAAGUGGGAUGACUCUUUCCUCUUCAUGUUUCUCCUUCCACUAUUAUUCCUAGUUUUCCUUUACUUUCCUUUGCAUGUAAUGUUGUUGGUUUUGGACAUAAGAUGUGGCAUAGAUGUCUUGGCCACCCAAACUCUGAUGUACUUCGUACUUUGUUUAAGUUUAGAUUAUUGGGAAUUAAAACAUGUUCUUCUCUUGAUCUUUCUUUCGAUUGUACACAUGCAAACUUGGCAAAAGUAAAGUUCUACCUUUUCCUCAUUCCGCAUCUCAUGCCUCACAAUGUUUUGAUAUUAUACAUAGUGAUGUUUGGGGGAUUGCACCUAUUGUUUCUCAUGCACAUUACAAGUACUUUGUUACUUUCAUUGAUGACUUUAGUCGCUUUACUUGGGUUUACUUCCUCCAGGCUAAGGCUGAAAUUUUUUCAGUCUUUAAGCGCUUUCUUGCACUUAUUGAGACUCAAUUCUUUGCCAACAUCAAGGUCUUGCGCUCUGAUUCUGGCGGAGAAUACAUGUCUAAUGAGUUUUAGGACUUUCUUCAAAGUAAAGGGAUCAUCUCUCAGCGUUCUUAUCAUUCGACACCACAACAAAACAAUGUUGUUGAGAGGAAAAAUCGCCACCUUCUUGAUGUGGUAAGAACUCUUUUACUUGACUCAUCGGUUCCUCCUCGUUUUUGGUGUGAAACACUUUCUACUGCAGUUCAUUUGAUCAAUCGCUUACCCUCUCCUAUGUUAAAUCAUGUUUCUCCUUUCUCUAAGUUGUUUGGUCAUUCUCCUUUAUUUUCUGAUCUUCGUACAUUUGGUUGUGUUUGUUUUGUGCAUCUACCUACUCAUAAACGACAUAAACAUACUGCUCAGUCUGUUAAGUGUGCUUUUCUUGGUUAUGCUAUCCCUCACAAGGGUUAUGUUAGUUAUGAUCCCCAUGUUAGUUGUAUACGAGUUUCCUGGAAUGUAAUUUUCUUUGAAAAUCAAUAUUUCUUUCAAUCUCAUGUUGGGUUGCCAUCUGCAUCUAUAUCUCUUCUGCCUAGUUUUUCUGAAUCCCCAACAAUUGUGGAAAGGUUCAAACUUGGUUUUGUGUAUGAAAGAAGUAGUCGACAUGAAUCCAAUUCCACUUCCUCUAUGUCCCCUUCUGAUCUUGACCCGGAGCCUGAUCCUGCUCCUACUUCCACCACUCUUCAUCGGUCUACUCGUCUUUCUCGACUCCCUUAUUAGUAUGGAUUCUUCUCUCUUGUCUCUCUUGUUGCUACUUUAUCCACUAUUUCUAUUCCCUUUUGUUACAAACAAGCCAUGGAACAUGAGUGUUGGCAAAAUGCAAUGCAAGCAGAACUUCAAGCACUUGAGGAGAAUCAUACUUAGGAUAUUGUUCCUUGUCCUUUUACAAUCAAACCUAUUGGGAGUAAAUGGGUUUUCUCUGUAAAACUUCAUUCUGAUGGCUCUUUGGACCGGUACAAAGCUCACCUCAUAGCUUUGGGUAACAAGUAGGAAUAUGGGGUUGAUUAUGAGGAGACAUUUGCUCCUGUUGCCAAAAUAACCAUUGUUCGAACCAUCUUAGCUAUUUCCGCUUCACAGUCAUGGCAACUACAUCAGAUGGAUGUGAAGAAUGUUUUUCUUCAUGGUGAUCUCCAAGAAGAGAUUUACAUGAAGCUUCCCUCUGGUAUGACUAAUUCUUCUCCUCAUGAUGUUUGUAAGCUAAAACGUUCUUUGUAUGGGCUCAAGCAAGCGCCCCGGGCUUGGUUUGAGAAGUUUCACAGUACAAUUCUUUCCUUUAGUUUUACCCAAAGUCAGUAUGAUUCUUCCAUCUUCUUCCACACGUCUGCGUCAGGUAUAGUCCUUCUCUUGGUUUAUGUGGAUGAUAUUAUCAUUACUGGCACUGAUUGUGGUUUGAUUACUAAGCUUCAACAGCUAUUACAUACAACUUUCCACAUGAAAAAUCUUGGACAACUCAUAUACUUCUUAGGAUUGGAAGUUCAUCAUCGGGUUAGUGGUAUUUUCGUGAACCAGCAUAAGUAUAUUCAAGAUCUUAUCACUUUGGCUGGUUUGGAGGACACUUCUUCUUUUGAUACUCCUAUGGAGGUAAAUGUCAAAUACAGGAAAGAUGAAGGGGACUUUCUGGAUGAUCCUACUCUCUGUCAGCACCUGGUUGGGAGUCUUAUCUACUUGACCACUACUCGACCUGAUAUCUCUUAUGCUGUUCAUUAGGUCAAUCAGUUUAUGACUUCUCCUCGGCAUCUCCAUCUUGUUGUAGUUCGACGCAUCAUCCGCUAUCUUCGAGGUUCACCUACUCAUGGGUUGUUCUUUCCUACCGGCUCCUCUCUUCAACUUGUUUCCUAUAAUGAUGCUGAUUGGGUUGGGUGUCCAGAUACAUGUUGAUCUACUAUAGGUUGGUGUAUGUUUUUAGGUGAUGCCUUAAUUUCUUGGAGAUGUAAGAAACAAGAUCGUGUUUCAAAAUCCUUUACUGAGGCCGAGUAUCGUGCCAUGUCUACUGCUUGUUUUGAAAUUGUAUGGCUAUGCGGUCUUCUUGAGGAGCUUGGGUUUCCUCAGACUACUUCUACACCUCUUCAUGCUGAUAACACUAGUGCUAUUCAGGUUGCCACCAAUCCCAUUUUUCAUGAACGUACCAAGCACAUUGAGGUUGAUUGUCAUUCUAUUCGAGACACCUUGGAAAGUCGGGUGAUAUCUCUUCNNNNNNNNNNNNNNNNNNNNNNNNNNNNNNNNNNNNNNNNNNNNNNNNNNNNNNNNNNNNNNNNNNNNNNNNNNNNNNNNNNNNNNNNNNNNNNNNNNNNAUGUUAAUGUUACCAUAUACAAAUUAGGAAUCAAAUUGGUUGUACAUAUAGGAAAUGUUAAUAUUACCAUAUACAAAUUAGGAAUCAAAUUGGCUGUACAUAUAGGAAAAGAUUGACAGAUUGGCUUACCAUGUAUUUGUUAAUGUUACCAUAUACAAUUUAGGAAUUUAGACUCCGUGUAUAGGAUAUAUAUCUGUAUAUAGAUGGAUGCAGAAUAUAAUAAACGGACCAGAGUUCUCAGAGUUCUCGGUUUCUGUGGAGUUUUUUUUGAGUAUUUUGACAAUUACCUCAACAUAUUGAAGAAACUUUAAACUCUGUUAAUGGAAUCUCUCUUUCUCUCUUUCUGUGUGUGUGUGUGUGUGUAUCUAUCUAUCUUUCUAAAUCAAUGGAAUCCUUGAAUGUUUUCAGUUGCUAAAUCCUACUGAAAUGUUUGAAGAUGUUGUCAUUGAACAUUAGUAAGAUUCCUAAUUAUACCUUGAUUCAGCCAUGUUGAUUUCUUUUGCUUUAAAUUACUUCAAGAUUGAUAGAAGAAUGGUCCAGGCAUGUUGAGUGCACUGCAUCAGCAAUCCACGCUUUAAUUUUUUUAAAGAGGUUAUACCCUGGACAUAGGAAGCAAGAGAUAGAAAUUUUCAUAAAAAAUGUUGUACAGUACAUUGAAGAAAUACAAAUGCCUGAUGGCUCAUGGUAUAUAUGUUUCUCAGCUCAACUAUUAGAUUUGCUCAAGAAUUUGCACACAUGUUUUUGCAUGAAUUAUUGAAUGUUCAAUUUACAUGAAGAAACAUUUACAAAGGUAUGGUAAUUGGGGAGUAUGCUUUACCUAUGGCACAUGGUUUGCACUAAGAGGGCUAGCAGCUGCUAGCAAGACGUACCACAACUGUCUUGCUGUUCGCAAAGUAGUUGAUUUUCUACUCAAAUUACAGCUAGAUGAUAGUGGUUGGGGAGAAAGCUAUCUUUCAUGCUCGGACAAGGUAAGUUGUGAUAUCUUUUAUGCAUGCCACCAUCCUUUGACGAAUCUGAUGCCCAUCAACCACAUUUUCAAACUAUGCCUAAGCAAAAGGCAUAAAAUUCCAAUUAGCAAUAUAAUUUUCUGAAUUUCUAUUCAUGCAUAAAACAAAAUUUUGCUGCAUUUUGCUUCGUGUAUCCUGCGUGUUAGAGAUUGAAGACAUAAACUGAUAUAUGGAGAAAGUUAUUGAUCAUAUGAAAUCUCACAGUGGAGAAGAAAAAGGUAAAAUUAUCUUGUGCUUGGUGAUACAGAAAUAUACACCUCUUGAAGGAAACCAGUCAAAUUUGAUACAGACUGGGUGGACUCUAAUGGGGCUAAUUCAUUCUGGACAGGUCAGUUCUAAUAGUUUAAUGUGGUCCUUGACAUUACUUUUUAGAAUGUGAAUUCUCCCUAAAAUUCUAGUUCUGAAGUUCUGUUUUCAAUAGGCGGAAAGGGACCCAACACCUCUUCACUGAGCAGCAAAGCUCCUGGUCAAUUCUCAAAUGGAAGACGGAGAUUUUCCCCAACAGGUGGUUCAUUAUUUCAUUUGAACAUACAUUAAUCUGUUAUUGCAUUUUUCUAUUGUUCUAGACAUCAAUUUCCUUAAGGAAAAGAAAAAGUAGAAGUCGGCAGUUAAGAUCUAAAAUCACUUGAAAAAACAGCUUCUUUUUUCUAUGUCCAAUUCAAGAAAUUUGCACCAUAAAACAUGGGAACAAAUUUUGAAAAUCCGAUUAACACUCUCCUUAACUCUAAAAGUCCAUCCGUUUAAGCUAUAUUGCAUGCAAUAUGUGAUUUUCUAUGAAGCAACCUUAUUUCUAAAGGGAAAGGAAAAAAAAAUGGCUCUCACACAAUCAACAAAUUGUUAUGCUUGAAUUUUUGUUGGCCUAACCAUUGAUUACUCAUUUAUGGCAGGAAAUUGUUGGAGCUUCCCUGAAGACUUGUAUGAUAUACUAUCCAAUCUAUAGGAAUAUUUACCCUUUGCGAGCUAUUGCAGAAUACCACCAGUUGGUUCCAUUGCCUUAAGCUGCAGCUAGCAUGCUUUUUGAAGCAUAUAUAUAUAUAUGUGUGUGUGUGUGUGUGAGAGAGAGAGAGAGAGAGAGAGAGUACCAAUGGAUGCAGUUCAGUCUCUUUUGCUACUUUGUGUCCUUUUCCCUUUUUCUUCUACCUUUGUUGAUCACGUGCUCAUGAAUUGAUGGACAAUGUUGAAUAUUCUUUGAAUAAUAUAAGUUCUUGAGAAGUUUUUCUUGUGCACUAUGUUUUAGAUUCAAAUUCCAUGCAUGCAUAAUUAUGGGAAUUCAUUCAUUCUUAAUACCAAUUGAAGAGGAUGGCCAAUGCAUGCACAAGAAAUGUAGUAUCACAUAUCAUUUAAGGUUUGUGAAGUCAGCCAUUUACUUUCAUGGCUAGGAUUUUGAAUGAAUAUAUAGGAUAUUGAUUUCAAAUAUAUAUGACGGAAACUGUUGUGGGAGGGGAAGCUUCACUACAUGUGAGUUAUGAAAUAACUAUAAACACGACACAGAAAGAAAAUUUUGAUAUGGUUUGACUAGGAAUGCCUACAUCUAUAUAUGAGUAAGACAAUAAUGUCCACUAUAUCAUAAAAGACUAUUACAGAGGAAAGAGAACACAUCAAUAAAAGUCAAGGCCUCAAACAUCCCAUGUUUUCCUAUUCCAUUAGGUGUCUCUAUCUCUUCUUUCAGAAUUUUAUCCACCCCAUAAAAUUUCUAUAUGUCAUCCCUAUCUCAUAAAUUUUUUUUUCUCCCAAGAGAUAAAAUGCUUACAAGUAUGUUCCCAACACUUUUCCUCAUUUAAUAAAGAAACAUAUUUUUUCAAGAAUACAUCAAUACAUAAAAGAUUCGCAUUGAACAAUAUUCUCUAUCAUGAGAAGGCAACAGGCUCUAGUUUUGUUUAGGAGGUCACACCUUAGGCACAAGCAGCAAGAGAGCAAAUUUCAUAACAAAUGUUGAUGGUACAUUGAAAAGAUGUAUAGAAAUGUUUGAUGACUCAACAUGUUUUUUAAUUCAAUUAUUAGAUCUACUCAACACCUUUCUUUAUGUGAAAUAUGGCAUCACUAGUAGAAAAAAUGCAAGUUAUGACGCUUGAUUCCUUGGCGCUUCAAAAAAAUGUCAAGGAAUUGGGUCAAUCUUGGCGCUUAUAGAAUAUUUUUAAACCUUGGCGCUUUUGUGAUACAUAUAUUGGAUUCAACGGCGCUUUUAAUAUGACACCUUUAAAAAGCAUCAUGGUAGGAAGUGGAGAGUAACCUUGGCACACUUUUAUAAGUGUCAUUGAAUGGAGAGCAACAUUGGCACUUUUAUCAAGUGUCAUUGAAGUUACUGAUAUAUAUUUCAUUCUUUUUCCCAUCUAAACACAAUAACUCAUAUUCCAAACACUUCGAGCCCUAACCCAGGGAAAUCACCCACGUUGCCGGCCACCAACAACAACCAAUCGAUGAGAAAAUGUUACCAACACAAUGAAGGUACUCUCAUUUCUUUUCUUAUUGGUUUGUUUGGUUACCCAAAAAUGGGAGAAAAAAGACGUAAAUCAGAUAGAAAAAAUUUUAAUCUUAAAUCUUGAAUUGGUUGAUGCAAUUGUUUUGGGUUAUAUACGAUUUAUUGGUUUUCUACAGUUGAUUGAGAAGAGGGUUAGAGGGAUCUAAGAAAGCAAGAGACCCACUCUUGAACCCUAACCCUUUGAACAAUUCGUCAUUGAAGCUUUCCCAAUCGUAGAGAAGUCGGGCACACUGGUUUUAUCCAAGGAAAGCUUUAGGUGUCUUGGCUUCUUGUAGGGCUUUGGUGUUAUGCCUUUCAAUAAGGCUUUGGGUCUCAGCUUCCAGUUGACUGCGUGGGGGUUGUCUUGGUCUAUGUUGGGUGGUUAACUUUCAAGGUUGUGACUUGAAAACUAUGGAAUCCCAUUUUUGUGACUAAACUGCCCUAUCAUAGUCUUUCUUGUUUUUAGUUGGAAUGAUUCUAGUUGGAAUGAUUCUAGAUUUUACAUUUCCCUUUAUUAAUUUUGUGUACAAAAGCCCAUCAUUAUGCAAAAAAAUAUAUUGCAUAUCACUGAGUCUACUAGAGAAAAAAAUCAAUAAGUGGAAACCAAUUCAAGGAAAAUUGAUUUAUGGUUAAGAUGGAAUGAUUUCCAGGGCAUUUUAUGUCUUUUUAAGUGGAAAAAAAAAGUGAAAGGUCAGCAGUUUGCUGAAACAGAGCAAAAGCUAUAAGGUAGCUUCAAAACAGAGUAUUCCUUGUCCCCCAAAUGCAAUUCACUGUUCCUCAAAGGUGGGCUAUAUUUGAUCUAGAAAUUCAUAAUGGAAGUUUACACUUAGAGAGGAACUUCUUCAAUUUAUUAGGCUAAGAGUAGAGGAUAUGAAGGCUAAGAGAAGGAAUGACUCGAAACUGAUGGUUGGAAUUUCGGUAUUUUGGUUAUCAUUCUAAUCCAGCCCCUGAAAGAUUGAAGAUGAAAUACAAAAUGCCUAAUUGACUGUCACGUGGUCCUUAUCUUCGUCAAUGAACAUUUUAAUAGGGUGGAUGAGUUUUUCCCUCAUGCUAAUUUUUAAAGGAUGCCUCUACUGUUAAGCUAAUAGCAAUUGCGAGCAAACCUUCAAAUUUUAAGAUACUUUACAGAUAGCUCCCCUUGUGUGGGAUGGAGGUAGCCAAGUUUAUUUGUUUUCAAAUUGGUUCGAUGAUUGUCAAUAAAAUGAAUAGCUAAAGGCAGCAAAAUGGUGAAACUGAGGCAUGAUUGUUGUUGUAUUCCAAAAAAAAUGUGGCAGGUGAUAAUGACAUGUUCUGCAUUACCUUCUUGCUUACAAUUUAGCUUAAAUAGAUUCCUUUAAUUUUGGAUUCUAACAAUCCUGUAAGCCUUUGAGACAUCAACUCACAAGGUUUUUAUAUGUUUUAAUUUGCAUUAUCUUUUAUUUGCUAAUUGAACUCAUAUUUAUCCCUUUUUUUCAUCCUCUAUUUUUCUGUAUUGUCUUNNNNNNNNNNNNNNNNNNNNNNNNNNNNNNNNNNNNNNNNNNNNNNNNNNNNNNNNNNNNNNNNNNNNNNNNNNNNNNNNNNNNNNNNNNNNNNNNNNNNNNNNNNNNNNNNNNNNNNNNNNNNNNNNNNNNNNNNNNNNNNNNNNNNNNNNNNNNNNNNNNNNNNNNNNNNNNNNNNNNNNNNNNNNNNNNNNNNNNNNNNNNNNNNNNNNNNNNNNNNNNNNNNNNNNNNNNNNNNNNNNNNNNNNNNNNNNNNNNNNNNNNNNNNNNNNNNNNNNNNNNNNNNNNNNNNNNNNNNNNNNNNNNNNNNNNNNNNNNNNNNNNNNNNNNNNNNNNNNNNNNNNNNNNNNNNNNNNNNNNNNNNNNNNNNNNNNNNNNNNNNNNNNNNNNNNNNNNNNNNNNNNNNNNNNNNNNNNNNNNNNNNNNNNNNNNNNNNNNNNNNNNNNNNNNNNNNNNNNNNNNNNNNNNNNNNNNNNNNNNNNNNNNNNNNNNNNNNNNNNNNNNNNNNNNNNNNNNNNNNNNNNNNNNNNNNNNNNNNNNNNNNNNNNNNNNNNNNNNNNNNNNNNNNNNNNNNNNNNNNNNNNNNNNNNNNNNNNNNNNNNNNNNNNNNNNNNNNNNNNNNNNNNNNNNNNNNNNNNNNNNNNNNNNNNNNNNNNNNNNNNNNNNNNNNNNNNNNNNNNNNNNNNNNNNNNNNNNNNNNNNNNNNNNNNNNNNNNNNNNNNNNNNNNNNNNNNNNNNNNNNNNNNNNNNNNNNNNNNNNNNNNNNNNNNNNNNNNNNNNNNNNNNNNNNNNNNNNNNNNNNNNNNNNNNNNNNNNNNNNNNNNNNNNNNNNNNNNNNNNNNNNNNNNNNNNNNNNNNNNNNNNNNNNNNNNNNNNNNNNNNNNNNNNNNNNNNNNNNNNNNNNNNNNNNNNNNNNNNNNNNNNNNNNNNNNNNNNNNNNNNNNNNNNNNNNNNNNNNNNNNNNNNNNNNNNNNNNNNNNNNNNNNNNNNNNNNNNNNNNNNNNNNNNNNNNNNNNNNNNNNNNNNNNNNNNNNNNNNNNNNNNNNNNNNNNNNNNNNNNNNNNNNNNNNNNNNNNNNNNNNNNNNNNNNNNNNNNNNNNNNNNNNNNNNNNNNNNNNNNNNNNNNNNNNNNNNNNNNNNNNNNNNNNNNNNNNNNNNNNNNNNNNNNNNNNNNNNNNNNNNNNNNNNNNNNNNNNNNNNNNNNNNNNNNNNNNNNNNNNNNNNNNNNNNNNNNNNNNNNNNNNNNNNNNNNNNNNNNNNNNNNNNNNNNNNNNNNNNNNNNNNNNNNNNNNNNNNNNNNNNNNNNNNNNNNNNNNNNNNNNNNNNNNNNNNNNNNNNNNNNNNNNNNNNNNNNNNNNNNNNNNNNNNNNNNNNNNNNNNNNNNNNNNNNNNNNNNNNNNNNNNNNNNNNNNNNNNNNNNNNNNNNNNNNNNNNNNNNNNNNNNNNNNNNNNNNNNNNNNNNNNNNNNNNNNNNNNNNNNNNNNNNNNNNNNNNNNNNNNNNNNNNNNNNNNNNNNNNNNNNNNNNNNNNNNNNNNNNNNNNNNNNNNNNNNNNNNNNNNNNNNNNNNNNNNNNNNNNNNNNNNNNNNNNNNNNNNNNNNNNNNNNNNNNNNNNNNNNNNNNNNNNNNNNNNNNNNNNNNNNNNNNNNNNNNNNNNNNNNNNNNNNNNNNNNNNNNNNNNNNNNNNNNNNNNNNNNNNNNNNNNNNNNNNNNNNNNNNNNNNNNNNNNNNNNNNNNNNNNNNNNNNNNNNNNNNNNNNNNNNNNNNNNNNNNNNNNNNNNNNNNNNNNNNNNNNNNNNNNNNNNNNNNNNNNNNNNNNNNNNNNNNNNNNNNNNNNNNNNNNNNNNNNNNNNNNNNNNNNNNNNNNNNNNNNNNNNNNNNNNNNNNNNNNNNNNNNNNNNNNNNNNNNNNNNNNNNNNNNNNNNNNNNNNNNNNNNNNNNNNNNNNNNNNNNNNNNNNNNNNNNNNNNNNNNNNNNNNNNNNNNNNNNNNNNNNNNNNNNNNNNNNNNNNNNNNNNNNNNNNNNNNNNNNNNNNNNNNNNNNNNNNNNNNNNNNNNNNNNNNNNNNNNNNNNNNNNNNNNNNNNNNNNNNNNNNNNNNNNNNNNNNNNNNNNNNNNNNNNNNNNNNNNNNNNNNNNNNNNNNNNNNNNNNNNNNNNNNNNNNNNNNNNNNNNNNNNNNNNNNNNNNNNNNNNNNNNNNNNNNNNNNNNNNNNNNNNNNNNNNNNNNNNNNNNNNNNNNNNNNNNNNNNNNNNNNNNNNNNNNNNNNNNNNNNNNNNNNNNNNNNNNNNNNNNNNNNNNNNNNNNNNNNNNNNNNNNNNNNNNNNNNNNNNNNNNNNNNNNNNNNNNNNNNNNNNNNNNNNNNNNNNNNNNNNNNNNNNNNNNNNNNNNNNNNNNNNNNNNNNNNNNNNNNNNNNNNNNNNNNNNNNNNNNNNNNNNNNNNNNNNNNNNNNNNNNNNNNNNNNNNNNNNNNNNNNNNNNNNNNNNNNNNNNNNNNNNNNNNNNNNNNNNNNNNNNNNNNNNNNNNNNNNNNNNNNNNNNNNNNNNNNNNNNNNNNNNNNNNNNNNNNNNNNNNNNNNNNNNNNNNNNNNNNNNNNNNNNNNNNNNNNNNNNNNNNNNNNNNNNNNNNNNNNNNNNNNNNNNNNNNNNNNNNNNNNNNNNNNNNNNNNNNNNNNNNNNNNNNNNNNNNNNNNNNNNNNNNNNNNNNNNNNNNNNNNNNNNNNNNNNNNNNNNNNNNNNNNNNNNNNNNNNNNNNNNNNNNNNNNNNNNNNNNNNNNNNNNNNNNNNNNNNNNNNNNNNNNNNNNNNNNNNNNNNNNNNNNNNNNNNNNNNNNNNNNNNNNNNNNNNNNNNNNNNNNNNNNNNNNNNNNNNNNNNNNNNNNNNNNNNNNNNNNNNNNNNNNNNNNNNNNNNNNNNNNNNNNNNNNNNNNNNNNNNNNNNNNNNNNNNNNNNNNNNNNNNNNNNNNNNNNNNNNNNNNNNNNNNNNNNNNNNNNNNNNNNNNNNNNNNNNNNNNNNNNNNNNNNNNNNNNNNNNNNNNNNNNNNNNNNNNNNNNNNNNNNNNNNNNNNNNNNNNNNNNNNNNNNNNNNNNNNNNNNNNNNNNNNNNNNNNNNNNNNNNNNNNNUACUUACAUUCCAAAUGUCAUAACACUAUACCUUAGUUAUUUAGUUAAUUGGCAUCCUUUAAUUAGUAAUUUGACUGGACAAAGUAAUAUGCCAGGGAACCUACCUCAUUGCAUCAUGGAGUGGAAUUCAAGUUGCCAUAAAAAGGCUUAGGGAUGAAGUGAUAAGGAUAAAUUGUGAGUUUUUCAAUACUAGCAAUGAAUUUUGAUUUUUAUUUGUUGCCUUAUUUCUAUCGGCAUAUUGCAUUUAUCUAUCUAAAAGCUAUUGGUUUUAUCACUUCAUGUAAUUCAUUGAGUAGGGUGGUCUUAAGCUAUUGAUUAAUGAUACUAUAAAUUGGCUUGCCAUUCUCCAAGUAUAUGUGAUUAUUUAGGUGUCUAGUUCUAUCAUCAGCAUGUUGCUCAAACUUAUAGGCAGUAAGAAACUAAUUAAAUAUGAUAUUGUUCAAUAAACCUGAAUAUGUGCCAAACACUACAAUGAUGAGAACAAAUCAAAUUAUAUAUGAAUAACUUAUUUUGGAGAAAUUGCAUGUUGAACAACCACACAAAUAUCCCCUUUCUUUUAUAACUCUAUGUAGCCCUUUUUGAUAAACAUCAAAUGUUAUAUAAGAAGAGUCUUAAAUAAUAAGCAAAUAAACCUAAAUACAUUCUAUAAAAAUGUAUCAAACCAAUAUUUACCUCUUGUGAAGUAGAAAUAUAUUUUACCAAAGCCCCAUCAAACUCUUCAUCUCUCAAACUCUCUGGAAUUGAAUAUCCUAAACUUGUAGAUGAGAUUUCACCUAACCCCGCUCGGUUAGUGCUUGCUAGCUUGCCAUUACUUUUCUUUAGUUUAAUUGCAAUUUCAUUAUGGUUGUAAAGUAUAUAAUCAUUAUUAAUUACUUUCCUUUGGUUUUAAGUAAAAAUUUCAAUUUUCAAAUUUUCAAUUUUUUAGCACAAAGAUGACCACCAAAAAAAUGAGUUACUUGCUCCAUGGCAAGAUCAAAGUGCAUCUAUCCUUUCCAGAUGUUAGCUUCCCCAAGGGGAUUACAAUUCUAGCCAUUGGUGAGGACAAGUGGGUAGCCAUGAGCUUGGAGUUUCAAAAUGAGAAAGGUAAUUAAAUUCUUUUAGUUUCCAUUUUAAAGUAGAUGUUUUAUCUAUGUUGAAAGUUAGUAUGACACUCUUGAUAUAUGUAAAAGGUAUAUUGGAAUAUUCACAAAACAAUUAUAGAUAAACUACGCACAACUACCAUGGGAAUGGGGCUAGGAAUUUACAGACAACAAAUAAGAUAAUAAGCACUCUCAAAUUCAAGUUUAGUUGGAAAAUUUAUUAGAAAAAAUUAUAGUGAUGGUAGGGCAACUGAAAGUCAAAGGUCACACGAGUUUUAACUUGCAACAUUAGUAGUUGUGGAAAAGCUUGUGUAUUUUUUUUAUUAAGGUAAUAAUUAAGUGUUUUUUCCUUUUUAAUAUAAUUUGAAAUCUAGAUACCCCUAUGAUUAAUUUUCAAAUAAAUGAGCUAGAAUCCUUAGCCUCCUUGGAUCCCCAAAACGUAUCUCUAUUCAGCACCUAUAUAUUGUUUCCUACCCUAAGCUUCAGUCCUUAAGGCUGCCAAUAACACUGGCAAGUCUUGAAAUCAUGGGAUAUUGGCCCCCCAUUGCCUACAUCCCUAAAUUCAAAAUUGAUGGCAAAUUAAUGUAUUACAUAGGUCGUGGAACAUAAAUGCAUGCUGAAACCUAUUUGCAUGUGUGAACAUGAAUUGAAUAACUUUGCAUGAGUGAGCUAUAUAAACAAUCUAUGUUAAUUUUUAAUUUUUAGGCAUCUUUAAGGAAUUUUAGAAUAUAGUUAUCUUGUGAAUAAAGGUAAACAUGUCAAUCUUUAUUUUUUGGUUUUUUUUUAAUUCACCUCUCUUUAAACAUGAAUGGAAUAACUUUACAUGGGUGAGCUACAUAAACAAUCUCUUUUAAUUUUUAAUCAUCUUAAAAUAUAGCUAUUUUGUGAAAAGGUAAAUCUAUCAAUGUUUAUUUUUAUUUUUUUUAAUUAACCUCUUUUGCUUUAUAUUACUCUAAUGUUAUUGAUAACCUCUCUGAAGCAAGAGCCUAAUGAAGAAGACUUUGAUGGGGAUGAUGCCAAUGACAAGGUAAAUGAAGAUUCAUUUUUCUUCACUAUCAACAUAGUAUAAAUCAUUUUAAAAUGGAUAUUUUCAAUAAUUAAGGGAACUAAGACAUAUUCAUGUGGUUGUACACUUAAUAAUUGAGAUAAUUAUCUUACUUAGUAGCAGUAUUUUUUAACACUAAUAAUUUAUAUACUCUAGUAAAACUUUUUACCUUUGAUCCAAUAAGAAGAAUAUUAGUAUGUUUGUUUUAUUGCUUUACUUGAACAAAAGCUAAUUAACGUGUUAGAUUAUUUUCUAUUCUUAUAUCCUCUUUGUUUCAAUUAUAUUGGUUGUUAUAUGUAUAAAUUAAAAGUUUUAUAUUUUUUUUAUUUGCAGCUUGCAAAAGAAAUUGGCUUACAAGAAGAAGGGAAAUUAUUACAAUGAAGCAAUACUGAAAAUCAUGAAGAUGAUAUCAUUUAAAUCAUUAGGAGGUUUAACUAGGCAUUUGUUGAUGAUGGUUUCUUUUUGUAGUUAUUGCACCGGUAUUUAUUCUUCUAUUGGAUUUAAAAAUUCUCAUUGAAAUAUUUUGAUCUAAUGAACAAAUUUAUAAUUUUUAUACAAGUAAUUAUAAUUUUUAUUCAAACUAAGCCAUUGUAUAUUAAUAUUUGGAGAUAUUUUAAUUUGUACAAUUCAAUUUAAUUUUAUGAUUUAUAAUUGCUUUUGCUUUUAUUUAAUUAUAUAGGAAAUUCAUUAUUUUAAAAACAUAAUAGCAAUAUUAUUAUUAAAAUAAAAUGCUUAAAGAUGACGCUUCUAUUAAGUGUCAUUGAAAAAUAAUCCAAAGAUGAUGCCCGUAGGAGUGUCAACAAUGACAAUUUUAUAAAAAUUAUUUUAGUAAAAACUACUCAAAGAUGGCACUUCUUUAAGUGUCAUUGAAAGUAUCAAUCAAAUAUGACGCUUCCUAAAAGUGUCAUUAUUGACUAAAACCUACAAUGACAGGGGAGACGAGAACGCUUUAGAGAAGCGUCAUCUUAUACUUUUAAUGACGCUUAAAAAGCGUCAUUAAUUCCCUUUUUUUCUUGUAGUGCAUGCAAAUUAAAUGAACUGUUGGAAAAGUGAUUUUUUUUUUUUUUGAAAAAAAAGAACAACAAUUAAAAGGCAACUUUAGCUAAAAUUUGAGUGAGCUCCAAAAAUACUUUAAACUAGGACCUUCAUGAGUAGAUGAACAUAAUAUGUUUACAUGCUAUUUAUGGGUGAAUGAUAAAUUAAGCUCAAAGUGACAUAUACAAUUAUGGAAAAUAUGGUGGAAGAAAGUAGUCCCAUAUUUGAAGAUUAGUAGUUGGAACAAGACUUUAUAAGCAUUUUCCAGGCUUAAAAGAAAUAUGGGCUUAGACCUGGGCUAAUAUAUAUGUGUGGGCUCAACUAGCUAGGCAUGGACUUGGGCUUGACCUAGGCCCACAUGCUUGUGGACUUAAUAAAAAAGUCCAUUAGCAUAAAGUGAUGUCUUUUCCGAACACCUUUUCAAACCUUAUUUGAAAAAGACAUAAGACAUGUCUCCGUUAGACAGGUGCAACCCUUCUAGUGGAAGCAUCAUUUUAGGUGGGGAGGACCCCCUCUAUUGUAUUUUGUCAUUCUAGCAAUCAUCCCUCUCUCCUUCUUUUUCAAGUGUGAUAUUUGUUAUUCAAGUCUAACAAAGUGUGGUAUUCCAUUUCAAGUCAUUCUCGAAUAUGGUAUUCCAUUCUAAGUUAUGUGUGAGUUGCAUGUAAGUACAUAGUUUCAAAGUAUCCAAGCUUUUGUAGGGAUUACAAAACAUUGUUUGAUUCACCAUUUUUCUCUCCUUCCUUUCCAAGUGUGGUAUUCAAUUCUAACAAAGUGUGGUAUUCUAUUUCAAGUCAUUCUCGAAUAUGGUAUUCCAUUCUAAGUUAAGUGUGAGCUACAUGUAAGUACAUAGUUUCAAAGUAUCUAAGCCUUUGUAUAGAUUAUGAAACAUUGUUUGAUUCACCAUUUCUUAUGAUUUAAAGUGCUAUUGAUUGCUCCCAAAUGUAUGUGUAUCAAAAGAUGGUUACCCAAGUAUAAGGAUGAGAUGGUAACUUUAAAAAUCCUAAAGAGUUAGGUAUCGAACCUCAAGGAGGUGACCUUGGAAUGUAAGUGAGAUGGAGAGAUUUGAAGGAUGAAUGCCAGAUUUUUUUUAGGAAAAAAUCUUUUUUUUUUUCAAUUGAUUAAGAAAAGAGGUUUGUGAAUUUUUUUGAAAAACAAGGGAAAAUAAACUAAGCAAAUUUGAUUCAAAACUUGUAUUAAAUGCUAAGAAAAUGGGGGUUCACUGGUUUCCUUCUCACCAUGAAAUAAUCCUUAAUUAAAUUAACUCAGCCAAGACACUUAUGGGUUUUCUUAAUUGGAAUAUUCUCAAUGAAACCACAAUUGAAUUGAAUCAAAAGUCUCAAACUUAUUAAUUGGAUUUUUUUAUAAAACAUUUAAAGUUCCUAAUACUCGUUUGCUUGCCAAAUUGCAAUAUUAAGGGCUCAAUAAUUGUCAUUUCAAGUCAAAAUCCUUGUUAUACAUUUGACAUACCUUUAAAGCCCCCCCUAAACUUCAAUUUCCAAACUUUGAGAUAUGACAAUUUCACAAAAGUUGAAGAAAUCCAAAUUACAAGCCGAUUAAAUUUAUAAAUACCCAAAAUUAGAGGAUCAUUCCAAGGAUAAAAGGGAGUGCCCUAGGGCUCCUUUUCCUUAGCCUAUUUGGCUACUCGAAAGACAUGAAAACAAACUAAACUUAAGAAUAAAAAAAGAGUGCAAGAAAUUGAACAUUAAAAUCCAAUACUCAAGUCUAAUAAUACGUUGAUAAAAUGAAAGCAAGAAUAUUUGAUUACAAUUGAAGAAAAUGAGUUCAAAGCAAAUAAAAUAAUCCAAACAACAUAGGAAAAAAAAGAAGAUAACCUAAACUCCAAUCGCUUCCAAGAUCUCUUUUUUCCAAAAGCUAUAUCAAAAAGCCAAAGUGAAGAACAAAGAAGGAACCCCAUAACAACUGUCAAGGACCUCUUUUAUAGGCUCUCCAACCAUACCCAAGGUGGUUUUCCAUCAAGUGAAAGAUCAAAUGGUUACUUGGAAGUAUCCAAAAAAAGGUAGGCUCCACACAUUCCUAUGGAUCCUAUACAAAAUGGCGACACCAAUAGCAAAAGCGGCAUUGCCAAGGGGCAAUGCCACUUUGGCAAUGUCUUGCCCUCACCUUUUAUAGAAAGUGGCGGCACCCCUUGAAAGUGGUGUCAAUUUGCAUUACUAUGGCACCCCAAGGUGGUGUCACUUAUCUUCCUAAUUUAUUUGCAUAAGCAAAUGACCUUCAAAUCUUCUGAGAUUUGGCGAGAUUGAACUUCAAGGAGUCAAGAGCCUAACAAGUUUCAAGUCAUUUGAAAAUUUGUAGCUCCUUCAACCAAGUUAAAACUUUUUAUUGGUCAAAAUGGGACAACGCUUGUGGCCUCCAUGCGAUUUUGAUCCUUUGGCUCAACUCAAGCCUUGUUCUUGAAUCUAGGAUAUCCUAAGAUGAUCUUAAGAUCAUCAUUAUUCAUAAAAGUGGUUGUAAACAUAAAAAAAAAAAUAAUAAUAAUAAAAACUAUAAGAAAAUAUGAGAAAAUCGAGCAUGCACAAGGUAGCAUAUAAUUGACUAGUUAGAGGGUGCUUUUGGUGCUAUAAUCAAGCUUAAAAUAUGAUAAUUGCCCUUGUUUCCAUGCAAUUUAUGGAAUUAAUCAUGCCCCACAACCAAGCCAUUGCUAGCCCUUAGCAAUGUCAAUGAUAAAAUAAACAAAAUAAAUGAAGUAUGCAUGCAAACCUAAACAUGGACACUAGCAUCACUUACCUUACAAAAACAAGCUUGAUUAGAUAAUUUGCCUAAUUCAAGUUUUGUCAUCAAUUCUUCAUUCUAAAUAGUCAAAACAUCGAAUUCUUUAAUGAGAGAUCGGGAAUGGUGUGAUAAUUAGACUUUCUCACAAGGAGUCCCUCUCUUAAGAAUAAGAGGUCUUUAAUAUCUAAGAUCUCUAUAAUAUGCAAUCUCUUAGAUCUCUAAUAUCUAAUCCUCAAGGGGUUAUAAUAAAGUAUUUAUAGACAAAAACCAAAAGAGCCUUGAUAUCUUAAGUUUCCAAAUAGAGUUUGAAUGAAUCCUUCAUACAAUAAAAUCAAAAUUAUUAAAUAUCUAUUUUAAUUGAUUUAUAAAAUUCAUAUUUAUUAAAUUUAUUUUAAUAAUUUAAUAACUUUUUUAUAUUUCAUAUUUAUCCAUUUAUAAAAUAAAGAUUUUUUUAUUAAAUAAUUUCAUUGUGAAAUUUAUCUUUUUUAAAUUAGCUUUUUUAUCCUUAGUUCUUUCAUGUAAUAAAUAAAAUAUUUUAAAUAAAAAAAUCUAUUUUAAUUUAUUUAUGAGAAUUACACUAAAGCAAAAUGCAAUUUUAAAUGACUUAUAUUGAAAUUAUUUUUUUUAGUUAUCUAAUAUAAUAAAUUUAGAAUUCAUAAUAAGCUCAACUUCCUUAGUUUAUAAGAAUUAAUUUUUUGUUAAAUGAUUGAUAAAAAAAAUAAAAAUUAUUAUUCUGUAUUUUUAAAUAACAUUGAUAUAAAAUAAAAAUGAAGAUGAUAUUAAAUAAUACAUUAUUUUUUAUUAUAAAUUAUAUAUUUUAAUAAUAUAAACUAUUAUUACUUAACUUCCAUUACUAAAUUAUUAACCUCCAAAAUUCAAUAUAAAUACAAUUUUACUUAGUUAUUGAUAGAAAAAGCCUCCAACUAGAAAUUGACAAGAAGUUUUUUUCUUCUUCGUUUGUACACUUCAAAUCAAAGGUCAUAAUUAAAUAUAUAAGUCCAAGAGUCAAAAAUCUAACUUUGGUACACCGGACCAUAAAAUUCUCCUUUGAACCAUUCAUGUUAAACUGUGUUUUAAAAACCCACUCGGACUAGCCGGUCUGACCAUCACUGCUCUUUCCACCUCCUACCGCUGCCCCUUUUUCUCCCUUUCUUUAGCAACUCUUCCCCCAUUUUCAUAUUUUAAAAUUUGUGAUUUUAAUUUAAAUUAAUGAAAACCUUAUGAUUUUAAAUAAAUAUCUAAAAAUUGUGUCACUUAGAUUUUAAAUAAAUUUCUGAUUUUUAAAAUAAGUUUAUGAUUUAAAAAUAAAAUUUAAAAUUUUCUAAUUUUAAAUUAAAAUUUUGAUUUUAAUUUAAAUUUAUGAUUUGAAACUAAUUUUCUGUUUUUCAAAUAAUUUUAUGAUUUUCAAAUAAAAUUUUGAUUUUAAAAUAAUAUAUAAAUUAUUAUUUUAAUUUUUGUAACUAUUUUUAAUUUUAAUAAUAUAUUAAUUAUAUAAUUAUGACAUCAUCAAUUCAACUAUAGUUUGACUAUGAGUCUGAUAUAUCAUUUCUUUAUGUAUGUCUUAAAGCAUAUUAAUUUUAUGAUUGAAUAGACUGAUAUCUAUCAGGGACUGUACCUGGACUCCCAAAAUAAUUUUCUAAAAAUGUAUAAAUUUAUGUAACAAGACCUUGAAUUUAGAAAUCAAUUUAAUAUCAUUGACAUCAAUGCAUAUACAUAGAUAAGCAUAAAUUAAAUGUUAGUAUUCUCAUUCAUAAAUACAAGUCAUGGGGGUUGGUGAUUGACUCGGUGUGGUUCUAUAUGAAUGAGCGAUUCCCACCUGGAACUCGCCAUUCCAAGUUUCUGAACUUUCUCUCUUCUCUGCCUACCCAGCGCCUAUCUCUCUGUGCUUGGUCUGUAUCAUUUCAACUUAAUUUUAUUGCAAAGAAAAGCUUGUCUUACCUUUCGGGUGAUUGCAUGAUCAGCAGGUGUUUUCGGAAGGGAGACACACAUAUUUGUAAACUUAGAUAUAUAUAGAGAUAUACCUCGUCAGUUUGGUGAGUUUGAAAAUGUGGAGGCUCAAGGUUGCAGAUGGAGGCAAUGCUCCCUACAUCUACAGCACCAACAACUUCGUGGGAAGACAGAUAUGGGAGUUUGAUCCUGAUUAUGGAACCCCAGAAGAGCGAGCUGAGGUUGAAGCAGCUCGUGAAAAUUUCUGGAAAAAUCGGUUUCUGGUUAAGCCCAGCUGUGAUCUUCUCUGGUGAAUGCAGGUGAUCCCAUCUGUGUCAAAUAUGCAAGAACACAUAGGAACAUGAAUAUAUAGUAUUUACAAGGAUGAAAAUAUCGAUAAUUACAUAUAAUUUUAUGAAUAUAUCAGACAUAUCAGAGAAAUAUCGGUAGAUAUUUUUUCACAAAUAUCGAUGAAGCGAAAAUUAUUCAAAAUUCAUAAGAAUGCUUGGAAAAACUCAAAAAAAAUGAUAAAAUAAGCAAGAAUGCGCAUUUUAAAGUUAUUUUGUAGGUGUAAUUGACAUAGAUAAGAUCAAGAAGAAAAACAUCCGUAAGCAGAGAUAUAUCGGUAGAUUCAAUACUUGAAUUUUAAGAAUAAUAAAUAAGAAUUUUGGAAGCGUAUAAAGUUAGAAUUGAGUUAAGAAAUAUUUGAUUUUAUUGAAUAAAAAUAAUUUAUAAAUAAAUAUAAUACAUAUGACAUUGCAAUAGUCCUUAGUAACAAAAUGAAGAUCGGUGUGGUUCUAUCAUACUGUUAAAUGAAGGGAACCUAUCUUGUUGAAGACAAUAUUUAUUUAAAAAAUUUUAAAAUAUUUUUAUUAAAACAUGUUUUAUUACAUUUUAAAUGAAAAAUUAAAUUAAUUAAAUAAAAUAUUUUAUAUGAGAUUUAUAUUUGGUAACAACUUUUUCUAUUAACAUUAAUUUAUUUAAAUAAUUAAAAUUAUUAAUAAUUUAUCUUAUCAAAUUAAUUUUAAUUUAUAAAAUAUUAGAACUUUCUUAAUUUUUAUAUUAUAGCAAUUUUUUUGGGUAAAAUUAUAUUUUUAAUAUUUUAAAAUAAAAACAUUUAAAAUUAAAUAAAAUUGAAAGGAUAAAUAUAUAUAUAUAUAUAUAUAUAUAUAUAUAUAAAUAAUAAUAAUAGUGAAGUGAUAAUAAUUUUUAAAAAUAGGAUUAAUGAGAUAAAUAUGAAAAGUGUUAAAAAUAAAAGGAUAAUAUAAAAUAAAAUGACAAUAUAAAAACAACGGUGAAAUUUGGACCUCGUAAAAAAUUCAAAUAUGAGAAUUUUCAAAAAUUUUUUUAAAAAAGCCCAAAAAAUCACUGAUUUUUAAAAAAAGCCCAAAAAGUGUCAAAAACUCGGUGAUUUUUAGGCAAUUUUUAUCCAUUCUCCCAUGCUCCGAUUUUAUCGCCAAUUUAUCGGUUCCAAAUCGAUAUAUCACCGAUAUUUGGACGAAUCGGACAAUUUUCCUGAUAUUUUUUUCAAUAUUCCUCCCGUUCGAUAAUUGACACUCAAAAUCGUUAUAUAUAGGAGAAUAUCACCCAUAAAAACAAAAAUUUCAAUCCAUGAGUAUAUGUAGGGUAUGCAUGCUUAUGUGACUUGAACCAAAGAAAUCGUUUAGCUUCAAAGAAGUCUCCUUAUUCUACUUCUUUAAUUAGUUAAUUUAAUACACUGAAGAAUAAUAUAAUGAGAAAGUGUCAAGUGGGCAUAGGGUGAACAUUUUUAUUGUUUAUUUCUCUUGUGCAGGCUGUUCUAUUAUCAUCUAAACUUUCAUUGGAAACAGUUGGGGAACCAUUAGAUAUGGAGCAAUUGUUUGAUGCUGUAAAUGUUAUGGUAUGGACAUAUUGAGUGGGUAUAGGUAUGGGUGUUAGAACUGACUUGGAACAAUGAGUGUUUUUUGUCAUUGUCUAUUUUAACUCCAUGUGAAGUUCACUACAUUCAAUCUUAUUUUUAAAAUUUAUUUAUUUAUUUAUUUUUUUACUCCAAUAGAGAUAAUCUUUUUAGACUGAAGCUUCUAUGGUUCCUUGAUCAAGUCUCUCUUGUGCAAAAAAAUUAUUCUUUAUGGUGGCUUUGAUUAACAUGUGUUUGGCCCACUGGAAAUGUGUUUGGCAUGAUGAGACAUAUUGGGAAUUUUUGUAGUAAUGGAUGAGAAAGCCAUCUUAAUAAUGUUUCUCAAAUCAUUGGGCCUAUUAUAAUAGGUUAGCUUCUAAUCCUUUUGUGGCUUUUGGUGAUAGGGUUUUCCUAAAAUGGAAGAUGUUGUGUUGCUGAGAACUUACAACCAAACAAAAACAAAAGGUUGAAGACAAUCUUGAUAAGAUUUGAGAUGGAUUCAUAAUUUAAAUGCUCUAUGUAUAAAUCAAUAUACAAGUGACGUCAAGGGCAAGUAAUUCUGUGAGAAUUUGAGAAUUUUAUAGAUACUUUAAGAAAUCUUUUGUAUCUUUUGUUAAUAGUAGGAUUAGUUGUAAAGGUGUGAAGAUCCAUAUUUUGUGGAAUUUGUUUUUGAAAAAGCUAGAUGUGUUUGUUGGGUUUGGUAUUGACUCAACAGUAAUGUGCCUAAAAUUGUAAUAUUUAUAUAUCAACAUAUGAAUGAAAUCAUGUGUUCACAUGGUAUCAAAGCACCAAAAAGAUCUUAAUAUGACCUGUGAGUGAAAAAAAAACCACCAACAAGGCUUUCGCUAAAAACCGUCAUGGCUUCCAACAAUACGUCUGCUCUUUCAACCCUAGUUUUCAAUGGUGAAAACUAUCAAGUUUGGGCUGUUAAGAUGAAAGCUUACUUGAGAGGUCUUAGUUUGUGGUAGUGGGUUGAAACUAAAAGGCAAAUACAGCCUUUGGGAAACAAUCCAACCCUCAAUCAAAUCAGGGCUUAUGAAGAAGAGAAAGCUAAAGCUCUAAGAGCUUUAUCUUACAUCCAUGUUGUUGUCUCAGAACCAAUUUUCACAAGGAUUAUAGCUUGCGAAACACCAAAAGAGGCGUGGGACAAGCUCAAGGAGAUGUAUUUGGGGAGUGACAGAACUAGGCAAAUGUAGAUUCUGAAUCUAAAGAGGCAAUUUGAAGUUUUGAGGAUGAAAGACAAUGAGUCCAUCAAAGAAUAUGUAGACAGGCUCAUGGAAGUUGUUAACAAAAUCCGGCUUCUUGGUGAGGAUCUAACAGACCAAAAGGUUGUAGAGAAAGUUCUAGUGAGCUUGCCUGAAAGAUUUGAGUCCAAGAUCUCUUCACUUGAAGACUCAAAGGAUUUAACCAAAAUUUCCUUGGCUGAUCUUGUUCAUGCUUUUCAAGCUCAAGAAUAGGGGAGAUUAAUGAGACAGGAAGAAAGCAAUGAAGAAGCUUUUCUUGCACUGCAAAAAAGAAAAGCUUCUCAAGGCAGAGAGAAAAAGCAAUCUGGUGAGAAGAAUGAGGGCCAAGGAAGGAAAAGUGGUGGCAAAAAGAGAUAUCCUCCAUGUCCUCACUGCAAGAAACAGAGUCAUUCAAAGAAUUUUUGUUGGUAUAGGCCAAGUGUACAAUGCAGAUCAUGCAAGCAAUUUGGUCAUGUAGAGAAGGUAUGCAAGAAUAAAAAUGAUCAGCAAGGGGAGCAAGGACAACAAGCACAAAUGGCUGAAAAUCAGUAGCAACAGGAGCAAUUGUUUAUUGUUACAAGUCAUGCAACAAGCAGCUAUAUAGAAACUUGGCUUAUUGACAGUGGUUGUACAAACCACAUUACUCCUGAAUUGAGCUAUUUCAAGGAGUUGGAUCAGUCAUAUAAGUUGAAAGUGAAGAUUGGAAAUGGAGAUUUGGUUGAUGUCAAGGGCAAGGGAGUUGUUUCUGUUGAGACUCCAACAGGUAUUAAAUAUAUCUCAGAUGUGUUGUUUGUGCCUGAAAUUAGUCAAAGCUUAUUAAGUGUGGGUCAAAUGCUAAAAAAGAAUUAUUCUUUGCAUAUUCAAAAAAUGUCCUGCACUGUUGUUGAUAAUGUUGGUUGUAAGUUGAUGACUGUAAAAAUGAGAGACAAAAGCUUUCCAAUUAAGUGGAAAGAGACUAAUUUGCAUGCCUAUACCACUGUUGUUGAUAUUAAAUAAUACAUUGUUUUUUUUUAUUAUAAAUUAUAUAUUUUAAUAAUAUAAAAUAUUAUUACUUAACUUCCAUUACUAAAUUAUUAACCUCCAAAAUUCAAUAUAAAUACAAUUUUACUUAGUUAUUAAUGGAAAAAAAAGCCUCCAACAAGAAAUUGACAACAAGUUUUUUUCUUCUUCGUUUGUACACUGCAAAUCAAAAGUCACAAUUAAAUAUAUAAAUCCAAGAGUAAAAAAUCUAACUUUGGUACACCGGACCAUAAAAUUCUCCUUAGAACCAUUCUCCAUUUUAUGUGUUAAGUUGUGUUUUAAAAACCCAAUCGGACUAGCCAAUCCGACCACCAUUGCUCUUCCCAACUCCUGCUGUUGCCCCCUCUUCCCCCUUUCUUUAGCAGCUCUUCUCCCCAUUUUCAUAUUUUAAAAUUUGUGAUUUUAAUUUAAAUUAAUGAAAAUAUUAUGAUUUUAAAUAAAUAUCUAAAAACUUUGUGUCCCUUAGAUUUUAAAUAAAUUUCCGAUUUUAAAAUAAGUUUAUGAUUUAAAAAUAAAAUUUAAAAUUUCUAAUUUUAAAUUAAGAUUAUGAUUUUAAUUCAAAUUUAUGAUUUGAAACUAAUUUUCUGUUUUUUAAAUAAUUUUAUGAUUUUAAAAUAAAAUUUUGAUUUUAAAAUAAUAUAUAAAUUAUUAUUUUAAUUUUUGUAACUAUUUUAAAUUUUAAUAAUAUAUUAGUUAUAUAAUUAUGACAUCAUCAAUUCGACUAUAGUUUGACUAUCAGGGACUGUAUGCCUUAAACCAUAUCUAUCAGGGACUCCCAAAAUAAUACAAGUAAUGAGCGAUUCCCUCCUGGAACUCGCUAUCACAUGAUUCACAUCUACUCUAUGUUCAAAUACUGGUGGCCAUUUCUCCUAAUAACAACCACAAGAACCAUAAUUAUAACUGAUGGCAACAACACAGAAGGUCAUUUAUUUCCUUUCCAUUUUUGGGGGUUUGCAAAAAUGGAAUCUUUCACAUGUUAGUUGAUUGAGACUUUAAUUGGACAAUUUGAAUGUUAGUUGAUGUGUCAUUUCUUCAUGUAUGUUUUAAGUAUAUUAAUUUUAGGAUUGAAUGACUGAUAUCUAUCAGGGACUGUCCCUGGACUCCCAAAAUAAAUUUCUAAAAAUGUACAAAUUUAUGUAACAUCAAUGCAUAUACAUAGAUAAGCAUAAAUUAAACGUUAGUAUUCUCAUUCAUAAAUACAAGUCAUGGGGGUUGGUGAUUGACUUGCUGUUGUGCUUCUAUAUCAAUGAGCGAUUCCCUCCUGGAACUCGCCAUUCCAAGUUUCUGAAGUUUCUCUCUUCUCUGCCCACCCAGCACCUAUCUUUCUGUCCUUGGUCUGUAUCAUUUUAACUUAAUUUUACUGCAAAGAAAAGCUUGUCUUACCUUUCCGGUGAUUGCAUGAUCAGCAGGUGUUUUCGGAAGGGAGACACAUAUUUGUAAACUUAGAGAUAUAUCUCGUCAGUUAGAAAAUGUGGAGGCUGAAGGUUGCAGAUGGAGGCAAUGAUCCCUACAUGUACAGCACCAACAACUUCGUGGGAAGACAGAUAUGGGAGUUUGAUGCUGAUUAUGGAACCCCAGAAGAGCGAGCUGAGGUCGAAGCAGCUCGUGAAAAUUUCUGGAAAAAUCGGUUUCCGGUUAAGCCCAGCUGUGAUCUUCUCUGGCGAAUGCAGGUGAUCCCAGUUGUUUUUUUACUGUUUUUAUUGUUAUUACUUACUGUUAUGUCAUGAUUUGGGUUAACUUCAUGCUGUACCCUAAACCCAAAUCCAGCCCAGCCCAACUGAAUUGGACAGAUCUAAAGCCCAUUGGGCAGAGAGGACUUCUGUGACAACCCAUAUAUAUAGAAAAUUUAGUACUUGAAUUAGAGCUGUUUUGAUCUUAGUCCAUCCUAUAUUUGUUGUGUGUGUAUGUCUUUAAUUGGUAGAGAGACUACAAUCUUUUCAUAUUUAAAGCCAGAAGCAUUAUCUUUUCACAUUUAAAGCCAGACGCAUUCUCUUCGAUGAUUCUUAGAACUUCAGGAAGAAACAAGAACCGAACCUAUUGUUGUUUUUUUUACUGUUUUUAUUGUUAUUACCUACUAUCAUGUCAUCAGUAUUGAACAUUCAUUUGUUUUGAGGUUUAGAGUGCUUUUGCAUUGAUGCUAAUUAAUGAAGAUGUCUUUUGCAAAGCUUUCAAAUGGGUUUCUGAGUGCAUAUGAUGCUAAAAGAGAGAUGUUUUAGAAAACGGGCUUAGUUAUGAUGCUGAUCUCCAGGCACAUGAUGGUCAUUGGCCAGGGGAUUAUGGGGGUCCUAUGUUUCUACUGCCCGGAUUGGUAAGAGCUGACUUUUUGAAUGACUCAUGUUUCUCCAUUUGUAAAUUAACCAAUGCUAUUUGUCAGGGUUGAAUCUGGUGAGAAACACCCCCCCCCCAAAUAUAAUUUUUUUUUUCUAUAUAUGAUUUAUUCAUGUGUCUCAAUUUCCAUUUUAUCUAAUCCUUAUUUCCUCAUUGAAUAAGUGACAAUUGGGUGACAAAAUUGCAACGGGUCAUUACUUUAUAUAUUACGGGAGCUCUGAAUGUUGUCUUAUCAAUAGAACAUCAACGUGAGAUGUGUAGAUACCUUUUCAAUCAUCAGGCAAGAUUAUUUUCCUAUAUUUUGGCACUCUUAAAGUAUUAUGGUCUUUUGUUGCUGUUAAACUACCACUUGCAAUGAACUUUAGCUUUUGGGUCAAACGGUAGUCUAACAUAAUAUUAGAGUUUUGGUUCCAUGAUCUGAUAUCAUGUUAAGCUUUUGUAGAAGUGUAGUUUAACUAUCACUUCUCUUUCAUUUUAUAGGAUUCGAGACUCUAGAGAUAUUAACAUAAAUUAUUGUGUCGUCAUAAUUUUCUUUUGAUAUCAUUUUGAGAUGAGUACUUCCUCAACAUUAUUCUUCCUACAUACUCAUGUAAAGUGCUAUUAUUUUUAUGGGAAGCUAAAAUAUUCAACCAAAUGAAGCCUUUUACCAUUUACUUGGCUAGCUCUGGCAUUGCUAGUGAAGAAACAAAAGCAAUUAAAGGGAUAGCACGUUUUGUUGCAGAAUGAAGAUGGAGGUUGGGGGCUACACAUUGAGGGCCCGAGCACCAUGUUUAGUACUAUGCUAAGCUAUGUUACUCUAAGAUUGCUUGGUGAAGGAGCUUUUGGUGCAAAAGGAGCAAUGGAAAAGGCGCGGAAAUGGAUCUUGGACCAUGGGGGUGCAACUGCAAUAACUUCUUGGGGGAAAAUGUUGCUUUCUAUAUGAACUCAAAACUUUUGGCUUGAGAUAAAAUAUUAAUUGUUUUACAACUAUGAGUUGACAUUUGAUCUGCUUCUGAUGGCCACAGGUACUUGGAGCAUAUGAAUGGUUUGGGAAUAAUCCACUCCCACCAGAAGUGUGGCUAUGUCCUUACAUUCUUCCAAUUCAUCCAGGUCUCUCUCUCUCACUCUCUCUAAGUGUGUAAAUAUAAAUAUAAAUAUGAUUAUAAGUCUCGUGCAAUGAGGUGUAAAGGAUCAUGGUUAGCUGCAGAAGAAGUUAUUAAUCAUAUCAACUUGAUGCAUAACAAAGAUCCUAACUAGUGGGGAAAGUCAAAUGGCUAGAAAAUAUAAGUGGAGAUGAUUGUAACGCAUAAUGAAGGAUUGGACAAUACCUUCAAUAUAUCUAACUUACAUAAAAAAUAACAACAUGACUUAAUCAUAAAAUAUGAAUUUUUAAAUUAUGCCAAACUUUCCUUGACUACAAAAAGGGUUAGUGCAAUAGGUGUAGGAAAAAGAAUGUUUUUGUUAUACUUGGAGAGUUAAUUUACAACAAAUCAGGGCCCUAAAAUUAAAUUUAAGAAUUUAUAUUAAUGGAAAAAUAUCAAAACAAAUUAAAGAGAUCAUGAAAUAAUUUAAUUUUACAAAACAAUUUCUGGUGUCCAAAAUAGAGUGAAAAAAUGGACCUAUUGAAAUAUUGGUUUAUAUCUCUUAAUUGAAAAAUGAUUUUAGACUCAAACAAAAUUCUAUCAAUAUAUCUAGGAAGUCUACAACAUUAUGCAAUCAUGAGAAAAUUUUUAGAGAGACAUGAAACAACCUGAUUCAAUUUUUUAAUUACAAAGGUUCAAUAAUUCUAACAAAACGACAACAAGGUGAAUAAUCCAAACAUCACAAUAAAAAAUGAAUAACCAAAAAUAAAAUCGAAGGCAAUAAAAAUCAAAUAAAGGAUCUCUUAGCCACUAUCGUAUGUUAUCAAAAGGCCUCAAUCAAGUGAAAAUAAUUUCAAAGAAAAUAACUCUAAUCUUAAUUCUAAUAGGCAUCAAUUAACACGAGAUCAAUUAACCAUUCAUCAACUUCUAAGUAAUAUGUCAUCAACAAUCCGAUUAACAAUAAUCAAAGUGGCCUUCAUUAUUAGAUAUGCAAGAAAAUUGAUAAAGAGAUGAUCAGUUGAUUGGAAAAAAAUUAAUAUAUAUAGAUAAGAAUAAAUUAAAAAUUAAUAUUUUCAUUCAUAAACCUAAUCCUCCCUCACCAAGUUUAUUGACUUUAUUGGGUUUUCUCCAUGUGUAAAAUGACUUCAAAUUCAAUAAAAUUUCAUGUGUUAGGUUUAUUAACGAGUUUUAGAGCUCAAAAACCAAAUCAAGUAAUCCCAAAAUUUCACAGAUUGAAAGUGGCCUAAAAUGACUAUUCGCAGGUUCUCCUUUGCGCAUAAUUAUAUAUUUUUAAUAAAUAAAUAAACUUUAUUUAAAUAAAAUUAAUGCAUUGGAUUCUUUGAUUUAGAAAUCUAUCAAUUCCAUAAAUUUUUUUUGCAAAGACACCUGCUGGUCAUGCAAUCACCAUCCUCGUAUCAGAGGCUCCAUAAAGGUAAGACAAGCUUUUCGUUGAAAUAAAAUAUAUCAAUAAAAAAUACUUGAGAGUCCAAAAAUUCCACAAACGUGGUGGGGGUUGGUGAAAAAAUCCAUAAUACUUGAAGUGGGUGAAAAAUGAAUUGAUAGAAGUGAUGGGGGUUGGUGACUUGGUGUUGUGCUUCUCUAUGAAUGAGUGAUUCCCACCUGGAACUCGCCAUUCCAAGUUUCUGAAGUUUCUCUCUUCUCUGCCCACCCAGCACCUAUCUCUCUGUCCUUGAUCUGUAUCAUUUUAACUUAAUUUUAUUGCAAAGAAAAGCUUGUCUUACCUUUAUGGUGAUUGGAUGAUCAGCAGGUGUUUUCGGAAGGGAGACACAUAUUUGUAAACUUAGAUAUAUAUAGAGAUAUAUCUCUUCAAUUUGGUGAGUUAGAAAAUGUGGAGGCUCAAGGUUGCAGAUGGAGGCAAUGAUCCCUACAUCUACACCACCAACAACUUCGUAGGAAGACAGAUAUGGGAGUUUGAUCCUGAUUAUGGAACCCCAGAAGAGCGAGCUGAGGUCGAAGCAGCUCGUGAAAAUUUCCGGAAAAAUCGGUUUCCGGUUAAGCCCAGCAGUGAUCUUCUCUGGCGAAUGCAGGUGAUCCCAUCUGUGUCAAAAUAUGCACUAGAUGAGUUAUCCUACUUCUUUAAUUAGUUAAUUUAAUACACUGAAGAAUAAUAUAAUGAGAAAGUGCCAAGUGGGCAUAGGGUGAACACCUUGAGCUUAGAUUAAUUAAUUGGUCUUGUUCUAGCUUACGUCUUCAACUUCUUAUAUGUACUAGAUGAGUGCAUAUAUAUAAACAACAUGUGAAAUGAAGUAGUAUAUGGAAAAAUUGAGAAAGGAAAUUGAAAAGAUAGAUGUUAAAAUCUUUUAAUAGAUGGAAAGAGAGAAGGAAAACAUGAAUUUUGGAGUUAUGCUUUGUGCAGAGGGUUUGGGUUAACUUCAUGCUGUACCCUAAACCCAAAUCCAGCCCAACCCAACUGAAUUGGACAGAUCUAAAGCCCAUUGGGCAGAGAGGACUUCUGUGACAACCCAUAUAUAUAUAGAAAAUUUAGUACUUGAAUUAGAGCUGUUUUGAUCUUAGUCCAUCCUAUAUUUGUUGUGUGUGUAUGUCUUUAAUUGGUAGAGAGACUACAAUCUUUUCAUAUUUAAAGCCAGAAGCAUUCUCUUCAAUGAUUCUUAGAACUUCAGGAAGAAACAAGAACCGAACCUAUUGUUGUUUUUUAACUGUUUUUAUUGUUAUUACCUACUAUUAUGUCAUGAUCAUGGUCAUUAGUAUGUUAGGUUUUUAGUUGCUUAUAGAACAUUCAUUUGUUUUGAGGUUUAGAGUGCAUAUGAUGCUAAAAGAGAGAUGUUUUAGAAAACGGGCUUAGUUAUGAUGCUGAUCUCCAAAUUAACUUGAUAUGCCAAAAUAUUCCUGUGCAAGAAAUGCUAGAUUGCAUACUUCGAAAAAAAUAGCUCACAAACUUGAGGGAUAGAUAUAGACUUCUUUUAUUUUUCAAAGCUGGGAAACUUUAUACUGCAUGUCAUUGCUGAGACUGUGAGAAAAAAUAGGAAGAGAAAUGAAAAAUAAGUUGUAUGGUUGCUUUUAGAAGUUUCCAUGUUCAAGUCAAAAACAUGUUGGGUAUUGACACUUCUCUGGCAGACUGUACAUGUGUUUCAAGGAUUUAAGUUUUUAAUUUCAUUACAUUUCAUAUUUAUAAUUGCUUGCUGACUUAUUAUUAUUCUAACCUUUUCUUUCUGAAAUAUAGUUUGCAAGGGAGAACCCAUGUGUCGCAAACUUGCCACAAAUCAAAGUUCAAGAUUUGGAAGAAGUGACGGAGGAGGUGGUGACGACUACCUUACGAAGGGGCUUAAAUUUCUAUUCAACUAUGCAGGCACACGAUGGUCAUUGGCCAGGGGAUUAUGGGGGUCCUAUGUUUCUACUACCCGGAUUGGUAAGAGCAGACUUUUUGAAUGGCACAUGUUCCUCCAUUUGUCAAAUAACCAAUGCUAUUUGUCAGGGUUGAAUCUGGUGAGAACCCUUUUUAUUUUUUCAUUUGAUAAUCUCAUUUCAUCUCUAUUGAACUUUAUGCAAGUCUUUUUAGAACCCACUGGAGAAGGCCAAAUAUAAUUUUUUUUCUAUAUAUGAUUUAUUCAUGUGUCUCAAUUUCCAUUUUAUCUAAUCCUUAUUUCCUCAUUGAAUAAGUGACAAUUGGGUGACAAAAUUGCAACAGGUCAUUACUUUACAUAUUACAGGAGCUCUGAAUGUUGUCUUAUCAAUAGAACAUCAACAUGAAAUGUGCAGAUACCUUUUCAAUCAUCAGGCAAGAUUAUUUUCCUAUAUUUUGGCACUCCUAAAGUAUUACAGUCUUUUGUUGUUGUUAAACUACCACUUGCACAAGAACUUUAGCUUUUGGGCCAAACGAUAGUCUAACAUAAUAUUAGAGUUCUGGUUCCAUGAUCUGAUACCAUGUUAAGCUUUUGUAGAAGUAUAGUUUAAUUGUCACUUUUCUCUUUCAUUUUAUAGGAUUCAGGAAUUUGAUGACAGAGAUAUUAACAUAAAUUAUUGUGCUGUCAUAAUUUUCUUUUGAUAUCAUUUUGAGACGAGUACUUCCUCAACAUUAUUCUUUCCACAUACUCAUGUAAAGUGCUAUUAUUUUGAGGGGAAGCUAAAAAAUUCAACCAAAUGAAGCCUUUUACCACAAGCUCUAGCAUUGCUAGUGAAGAAACAAAAGCAAUUAAAGGGAUAACACGUUUUGUUGUAGAACGAAGAUGGAGGUUGGGGGCUACACAUUGAAGGCCCAAGCACCAUGUUUGGUACCGUGCUAAGCUAUGUUACUCUGAGAUUGCUUGGUGAAGGAGGUUUUGGUGUAGAAGGAGCAAUGGAAAAUGGGCGAAAAUGGAUCUUAGACCAUGGGGGUGCAACUGCAAUAACUUCUUGGGGGAAAAUGUGGCUUUCUGUAUGAACUCAAAACUUUUGGCUUGAGCUAAAAUAUUAAUUGUUUUGUAACUAUGAGUUGACAUUUGAUCUAUUUCUGAUGGCCACAGGUGCUCGGAGCAUAUGAAUGGUCUGGGAAUAAUCCACUCCCAACGGAAGUGUGGCUAUGUCCUUACAUUCUUCCAAUUCAUCCAGGUCUCUCUCUCUCACUCUGUGUGUGUGUGUAAAUAUAAAUAUAAAUAUAAAUAUGAAUAUAAGCAAGGAGGUGAUUGUAAGGCAUAAUGAAGGAUUAAAGAAUUAAAAUUGCUUUUAGACAACUAGGACAAGAAUAUUACGUUAGAGGAAAGCUAUAGUAUCUAAUUUUAUUCUUCAUGUUAGAGAAUAGAAGCAAACUAUGGAGCAAGGAGGUUUCUUUAAAUAGAAUCCUAGACUUUGAAAGGGCUAGUUUAAUUAUUUUUUUAAAAAAUUUUCAACGCAUUUGGGUUCUUGCUAAUUUUAUUUAUAUUUUUGGGGAUUUUCCCCUAAAGUGUCCUCUUUAUUCCUUAAUUCAUUACCAUCAAAGCUUUAACUGAUUGUUUAAUUACUUUGCUCGAGUUUUUUUUCUUCCCUAUUAACAAAACUAGGUUCUAUUUCCACUUUAUUAAAGACUUUAAUUUUAUUCUCCUUGACAAACAAGUUACCAAAAAAUUAGGCAGCUUUUCAGGUUGAUUUUAUCUCACUGCUAGCAGGAUUUUAUUUGUCAAUGGUAAACUUUCAAAUUUUUAUCUAUAGGACGAAUGUGGUGUCAUUGCCGAAUGGUGUAUUUGCCCAUGUCGUACAUAUAUGGGAAGAGGUUUGUUGGUCCAAUUACACCCACAAUUAUUUCUUUGAGAAAUGAGCUAUACAUAGUCCCUUAUCAAGAAGUAGAUUGGAAUCAAGCCCGUAAUCAAUGUGCCAAGGUUGGUUAGCAUAUUUUCUCCUUCUGAACUCAUGCUUUUAACUUUUACCAUCCCCUUAUGAUGCUAUUUUAGCUCUUGUACUAUGCUUCUGAUCAGUAUUCUUGCAUAUGCAUGAUCUACAAGUUUAUCCCCGGAAAGUUUAUCCUAUUAGUUGUUGACAUAUUUUAUGUUAAUUAUCACUGGGAUGUCUAUAAGUUUCUCUCCAUUUUGAAGCAUACUUGUAUCUGGUAGAUGAUCAAGGAGUAUUAUUGUUGUGAAGCAAUAUUCCCUAUGUCUUGAUCUCACUUCUUUUGUUCCAAGGAGAUACUGUAAUGACCUGCACCCAAUUGUGUAGAUAUUGUCUGCUCUGAGCCCAAAGGGGCCCUCAUGACCUUUAAAUGUGUUUACCAGGUUAAGACGAGUCUCUACAUAUAUAGCAUCAGGAACUUUCUCCCCAUCCGAUGUUGGAUAUCAUAAACACCUCCCAUGUAUACAUAAUGUGCUUGUUGUGGGGCCAAACAAAUAAAUACUCCAUACGGGGCCAAACAAAUUCCCACAUCGAGGUCAAGGAUCGGCUCUGAUACCAUUUAGAACAACCUGCUCCCAAUUUCUUAGAUAUUGCAUACUCUAGGCUUAAAGAGGUACUUAUGGCUUUAAAACACGUCUAUUAGGUUAAAAGGAGUCUCUACAUAUAUAGCGUUAGAAACUUUCUCCCCUAUUUGAUGUGAGGCAUCAUAAACACCUUCUCAUACAGACAUAACGUCAUCAUUGUGUUCCAUAGAAUUGUGGGGCCUAACAGAGAAACACCCCCUACGGGGCCAAACAAACCUCCACACUGGGAUCAAAGAUCGACUUUGAUACCAUUUGUAACGACCCACACCCAACCAUGUUAAUAUUGUUCACUUUGGGCCCAAAGAGGCUCUCACUGCCUUAAAACACGUGUAUAGGGUUAAAAGGAGCCUAUACAUAUAUAACACUAAGAACUUUCUCCCAUAUCCAAUGUCAGACAUCACAAACACCCCCCAUGUGGAUACAACGUCCUCGUUGUGGGGCCAAAUAGACAAAUACCCCCUAUAGGGCCAAGCAAAUCCCCACAUCGAGGUCGAGAAUCGACUUUGAUACAAUUUGUAAUGACCCACUCCAAAUCGUGUAGAUAUUGUUCACUCUAAAUCCAAAAGGGCCCUCAUAGAUUUAAAACACGUUUACAUGGUUAAGAGGAGCCUAUACAUAUAUAGCACUAGGAACUUUUUCCUCUAUUUGAUGUGGGACAUCACAAACACCCCCUAUGCAGAUAGAACAUCCUUGUCGUGGGACCAACUAAAUAAAUACUCCUUUGAACCCAGAGCAGACAAUUUCUACAUGGUUAGGAACAAGAAGUUACAAAUGGUAUCAAAGUCGAUCCUAGACCCUAGUGUGGGGAUUUGUUUGGCCCCGUAGAGGGGGUAUUUGUUUUUUUAGCCCCACAACAAGGAUGUUGUGUCUAUAUGAGGGGUGUUUGUGAUGUCCCAUUAGAUAGGGGAGAAAAUUCCUUGUGCUAUAUAUGUGAAGACUCCUCUUAACCCUAUAGACUAUUUUUAAAGCCGUGAGGACCCCUUUAGGUCCAGAGUGGACAAUAUCUAUAUGGUUGGGUGCAGGUCAUGAUAAUUGGUAUCAGAGUCGAUAUUUGACCCCGGUGUGGAGGUUUGUUUGGCCUUGUACGGGGUGUUUGUUUGUUUGGCCCCGCAAUCCCUUGCGACACAACAAGGAUGUUGUGUUUGCAUGAAGGGGUGUUUGUGAUGCCUCACAUCAAAUAAAGGAGAAAGUUUCUACCGUUAUAUAUGUAAAGGCUCCUCUUAACCUUGUAGACGCAUUUUAAGGUCGUGAGGGCCCCUUUAGGUCUAGAGCAAAUAAUAUCUACAUGGUGGGUGUGAGUCAUUAUAGAUAACCUUGAAAAUUUUAUUUUUUGUCAUUAGCAAGUAUGAUAGUCACAAAAGUAGUGGUUCUACUAUGGGCUUGUGUUGUAUUGUCUAACUGAAAGUUGAUUGCUGAAAGUGCAAAAUGCAACACCAAAGUGCUCCAAUUGUGCUUUGGUGGAUUGUUUUUAGCCCAUACCCCAUGCAUAACUCUCCUUUCACUAAGGAUGAAAGGGUGGUGGUGGUGCCAUAUAUGCUUCUUCUUCAAAAUAACACAAAUAUAAGCAAAAGUUGCUUUGUCAUGUUGACAUCUUGAUCUAAUUGUGGAGUGUUUUUUUUUUUUUUUUUUUGUUAUUGUUGGUUUUUUUUUUUUUUGGUCAUUGUCUAUUUUGACUCCAUGUGAAGUUCACUAUCUUCAACUUAAAAAAAAAAAAAAUUAGUUAUUUAUUUAUUUUUUACUCCAAUAGAGAUAAUAUUUUUAGACUGAAGUUUCUAAGGUUCCUUGAUCAAGUCUCUCUUCUGCAAAAAAAUUAUUCCUUAUUAACAUGCGUAUGGCCCAUUUUAAAAUAUAAUAUAAGCAUUUUAUCAAUAUGUAAUUUGAUGUGUUUAUUGGUAGUUUGGUUAGUUAGGUGUAGAUGUUAAAAUAAUAUCGAUACUUUGCAAAUAUUAAUUAAGAUAUCUAACAUAUUAUGAACACCAUGAUUUUCAUUUGUCAUUGAAAAAAAAUCUCUAAAGUAAGGUUAUGUUCCUGAAUUUGGGAAUUUAAUGGAAAUUUACAAUGCAACACAUAUGAAUAUUUUUAUAUAUAAAUUUCAUGUAUUUCAUGUUGAGUUGUGGAUUGCAGUGAUACUUUAUGAAUAAUAACUAUAGGAGUUGCUCAUCUUUUUCUCUAAGCUUAUUAUUGAGUAACUAAGGGUCUAAGAGAAACUUUUUGGCUGUUGUGAAAAGAAAUAGGUUUUCUUGCAAAGAUGAGCCAAUCUUUUGAAACUUGUUGAGAAUCUCAAUAAGAUCAUUUUUUUUAUUUGGUUGUUACCUAUUUUUUAGGGUUAAUCUAAUUGUUACCUAUUUUUUAGGGAUAAUUUUUGUAUUUUUUUAGGGAUAAGUUGUUGUUGUUGCUUUUUAGGGAUAAGUUGUAUAUUUUAAAUUUAUUUUGUUCCUAAAAAUCUGGGUCUACAACUGUAGAUUUAGUUUGAUUUGUUGUAGCUUAUCUAUAAAAGGAAGCAUGUUUCCAUUCCUUAUUCAAUUAAUAUACAACAUUUUUUUUAUCCCAUUCUAGAUGGUAUCAAAGGCAAGUUAAUUGGCUAUUCCAUUUCUUUUUGUUCUUAUUAUUUUCAAUUCUAUUCUUCUUCCCUUUCAUUUUCUAUUUCUAUCUCUUUACCAUGUCAGAAAUUUAUGAAUCUACUCAUUUCAUUACUACUAUUUCCAAUUCCUUAAAAUUACCCACAUCCAAUUCUCAUUCCCACUCUAUCCAAAUCACCACAAUUCGCCUUAAUGAGACCAAUUUUCUUAGAUGGUCACAAUAUGUUCAGAUGUACAUUAAGGAUUGAGGCAAAAUUGGUUAUUUGACUAGUGACACCAAAGAACUAGCGAAGACAGACUGUAGCUUUGCCAAUUAGGAAAAAAUUGGUUUGUGACUUUUAUUGAUGAUCACAAACGCCUAUGCUAGCUUUAUCUAAUGAACUCUAAAUAUGAGGUUGCAAAACUCUUUUUGGAUUUUUAUUCUAUGGUUAAAACCAAUUUCAAACCAAAAGAAGUAUUCUUCGGUGUGACAAUGGAACAGAAUUUUAUAAUGAUUGUUUAGGUGAUUUUUUUUCUAGAGAAAGGUAUUUUACAUCAAUCAACUUGUAGGGACACUCCUAAAAAAAAUGGAAUUUCAAAACGUUAAAACAAAUAUUUACUUGAAGUAGGUAGAGCUCUUAUGUUUCAUAUGAAUAUUCCUACACACCUUUGGGGGGAUGCAAUUUUAACAAGUUGUUUCUUUAUUAAUAGAAUGCAUAAAAGGGUUCUAAACUAUGCAACACCUUUACAAACUCUUAAGAAUAAAUUUCCAAACACACGCCUCACUUUAGAUUUACCCUUAAAAUUUUUGGUUGUACAGUGUUCAUCCAUGUACCAAUCUCCGAUCCAAAUUUGAUCCAAGAACCAAAAAAUGUAUUUUUCUAGGUUAUGCUCCUAAUAAAAAAGGGUAUAAGUGUUUUGAUCCUACCACUAGGAAAAUUCAUGUUAGUAUGGAUGUCAACUUUAUUGAAAAUAUCUUUUUUUUCAUAACAAAACUACUCUUUAGGGGAAGAGCUCUAAUGAAGAUCAGUUUUGGCAACAAGAACAACCAAAACCUAGUAUUUUUCUUAUUGAUAAAAAAAAAGAUGUUUUAAUUAGUGAAAAAGAGGGAAAUACUGAUUUAUCUAUGCUAAGUAAAAUUGCUUCAUAAACAGGGGGAAAAACUCUACAACAUAUCUCCACUGAGUUCGGUGUUUAUACUAUGUGCAUGUUUAAUUCUAAUACUGAGAAUAAUCUAGUCAAUCUUGAGCAUGGUCAAUCAUCAUCUCCUAGUUCUCAAAAUCUAGGUAAUCUUCCUAUGGACUUCACUCAUUUACCUCUUUUUGAUCUUGAUAUCUCUAUUACAAUCCGAAAAGGAGUUAGGAAUUGUACCAAAUAUCCCAUUGCCAAAUAUCUGUCUUAUCAAAGACUCCUAUAAAAAAUAUAGAGCUUUCACUUCAAAUAUUUCACUUAUUCAUUCCUAGAACUAUACAAGAAGCACUAGGACACUUGGGGUGGAGGUGAGUGGUUCAAGAAGAAAUGAAUGCUCUUUUAAAAAAUAGAACAUGGGAAAUUGUUUGAUUUACCUAAGGAGAAGAAGGCAAUGGAAUGCAAGUGGGUUUUCACAAUCAAGUGUAAGCCCAAUGGUAGCAUUGAAAGAUAUAAAACAAGGUUAGUAGCCAAAGGUUUCACACCAACCUAUGGAAUUGAUUACUAAGAGACCUUUGCACCAAUUGCAAAGAUCAAUUCCAUUCAGAUUUUACUUUCUCUUGCAGUACACUUUCAUUGCCCUUUACACCAAUUAGAUGUGAAGAAUGCUUUCUAAAAUGGUGAUUUGAAGGAAGAAGUGUUUAUGGAUUUAUCAUCGGGUUUUGAAGAAAAGUUAGGAAAAAAAAGGUUUAUAGAUUAAAGAAGUCCUUGUAUGGUCUUAAGCAGUCUUCUAAGGCUUGGUUUGAGAUAUUUGGAAAGGUAAUCAAGCUUCAAGGAUAUAUUCAAAGUCAAGAUGACCAUACAAUCUUUUAUAAACACUCAAGAGAAGGAAAGAUUGUUGUGUUCAUAGUUUAUGUGGAUGACAUUAUUCUAACUGGUGAUGACAGUCCAGAACUUGAGAGAUUGAAGAAAGCUUUAACUUGUUAAUUUGAGAUAAAAGAUUAAGGUCCCCUGAAAUAAUUUCUUGGUAUGGAGUUUGCUAGAUCCAAGAAAGGUAUUUUCAUUUCUCAAAGAAAAUAUAUACUUGAUUUAUUAAGUGAAAUAGGUUUACUUGGAUGCAAGGCUAUAAAAACUCCUAUAGAACCGAAUUUGAAACUCCAACUAGCAAGCCUAAUAAAGGUGAUUGACAAAGAGAAAUAUCAAUGCCUAGUUGGAAGACUUAUUAAUCUCUCUCAUACUCAUCCCGAUAUUGCAUUUGCGGUAAGCAUGGUGAGUCAAUUCAUGCACUCGCUGAAUUAGGAACACUUUGAUGAUGUGUACAAAAUUUUAAGGUACUUAAAGGGGACUCUAGGAAAAGGACUUCUAUAUGAGAACCGAGGACAUCUCCAAGUGGAUGUGUUUAUUGAUGUAGAUUGGGCAAGGAGUGUAAUAGAUAGGAGAUCAAUUUCUAUGUAUUGUACUUUUGUUGGAAACAAUCUUGUGACUUGGCGAAGUAAAAAGCAAAGUGUUAUGGCUAGAAGUAGUGCUGAAGCUGAGUUUAGAGUUGUAUCCCAUGGCAUUUGUGAAGUUUUGUAGAUUAAACAAUUACUUGAAGACUUUAAGGCUGCUAGCCCUUUACCUAUGAAGGUUUUUUGUGAUAAUAAAGUUGUCAUUGUCAUUGCACAUAAUCUAGUACUCCAUGAUAGAACUAAACAUGUCAAGGUUGAUAAACAUUUUAUCAAGAAGAAACUGGAAGAUGGACUAAUUGUUAUGCCCUAUAUGCCUACGGUUGAACAAGUUGCAGAUAUAUUCACUAAGGGAUAGCCAAAAAGCAGUUUGAUGAUUUAGUAAGUAAGCUGCCAUGAAUGACAUCUUCAAACCAACUUGAGGGGGAGUGUUGAAAAUCUUAAUCAGAUCAGAAUUUUUCUGAUUUGGUUGUUACUUAUUUUUUUGGGAUAAUUUCGUUGUUACCUAUAUUUUAGGGAUAAUUUGUUGUUGUUUUUUAGGGAUAAGUUGUUAUUGUUUUUUUAGGGAUAGGUUGUAUAUUUUAAAUUUAUUUUGUUCCUAGAAAUCUGGGUGUACAACUAUAGAUUUAGUUUGAGUUGUGGUAGCUUAUAGCUUAUCUAUAAAAUGAAGCAUGUUUCCCUUCCUUAUUCAAUUAAUAUAAGACAUUUUUUCUCUCUCCCUAUUUUAGAAAACUAAUUCACCUAAUGAAGAAUGGGAGUCUAUUUUAUGUAACUUACAACUAAAUUCUGGUUUUUGUUGUGGUUCAACUGUUAUAUUUCCUUAAAAUUCUAAAUAAAGUCAACCAACAAUAUACAUUUCGAUUAAUUUGUAUCAUUUUUCUCCUUGGGGUUUAUUUGAUUUGCAGUUUCAUGAUGAUGACAUCAUUUUAAUAAGCAUUUAAGAAGGAAAUUUAUGAAGAAGAUCAAUUGCAUCUUUCUUAUGCUUUUGGCUCCUAGUUGAUUUUGAUAUUUGUCUUUACAAUUAUUGCCAGGAAGAUCUAUACUAUCCACAUCCACUGGUUCAGGAUAUUUUAUGGGCAUCUCUUCACAAUGUGAUUGAGCCUAUUCUGGGGCAUUGGCCCGGAAACAAGUUGAGGGAGAAGGCUUUAUGCACUGUGAUGCAGCAUGUACACUAUGAAGAUGAGAAUACACGGUAUAUAUGCAUAGGGCCUGUGAACAAGGUACAUGUGAAGUAUAGAAAGGUCCUUUGAACUGCAAUAAAUGAACUGAUUACUAUUAAUUAAGAACGAAACCAGUUAGCUUCUUCAAUUCGACCACUCUACUCAGGUUCACUUGAUCUAAUUGUCUGUUCUUUUCUGUUCCAUGAAGCUCUUGAUUUCCUGUUAUCUGAUUUGUACAGGUGUUAAAUAUGCUUUGCUGCUGGAUUGAAGAUCCAAACUCAGAGGCCUUUAAGUUGCAUAUUCCAAGAAUUAUUGAUUAUUUGUGGAUUGCUGAAGACGGCAUGAAAAUGCAGGUCCAUAAAUAGUAUUACUCUCUUUCUAUUUUAUCUCAGAGUGCCAUAUGUAGCCAUUUAUAGUGGCGUGUUGUAAAGGCAGAUUUUGUAUUUUAUUCCUUGGAAAUUAUUGAAUUUUAUUAUCUGUCUGUCAUACAUAAUAAGUUCACUGCAGGGUUGUAAUGGAAGUCAAUUAUGGGAUACUUGUUUUGCUGUUCAAGCAUUUAUUUCAACAAACCUAGGUGAAGAGUAUGGUCUGACUUUAAGGAAGGCACACCAAUUCAUAAAAAAUUCUCAGGUUCAUGUUGCUAUUGAAGUUUGAUCUCAUAAAUCACCUACAUAUAUUAGCAGUUGUCCAUAAUGAUUUUACUCGACUAUUCCUACUUUGUUUUCAAGGUCCUAGAAGAUUGUCCUGGAGAUCUGAAAUUUUGGUAUCGUCACAUUUCCAAAGGUGGUUGGCCAUUCUCAACUGCUGAUAAUGGAUGGACAACCUCUGAUUGUACAGCAGAAGCAUUGAAGGUAACAACUGAACUAACUCAAAAUACUUGUUAUACGGGCACUUUUAUUGUGUAUUUCUCUUGUGCAGGCUGUUCUAUUAUUAUCUAAACUUCUAUUGGAAACAGUUGGGGAACCAUUAGAUAUGGGGCAAUUGUUUGAUGCUGUAAAUGUUAUCCUUUCAUUACAGGUAUGGACAUAUUGAGUGGGUAUAGUUAUGGGGCGUUGGAACAACAAUGAGUGUUUUUGCAUUUUAAAAUUAGGAUUUGUGGAAAGUGUCUUUAUAUGCAUGGUUUGGAGUAACUUUAUAGACAUAGAUGCCUCUUCUGUACACAUUUUGAAAAACUGCACAUAAAAAGGGAUUUGAGCAAUUUUCAAAUACCAUCCAAUUUCUCUCCUGCCAAAUUGUCCAAAAAAGAUACAAAAGGGCAGCCAACACGCUCUCUUACAUCCCUUUCUGACAUAGAGUCCAUUCCAACUUAACAAGACCGGUGUUAUUGAAGUCUUCUCUGUGCAGUUCUAAAAAAUUUAUUAUUGCCUUAAAAGUUCUAGGCCACAAAACUAUUCCAAAAAUUAUACAACUUCAUAUCAGAUUUUAGAAUACUUGUAUAUUGCAAAUUUAUGCUUGUUGGCUGAAACUUGUUUUUGAAUCUUGCUAGCAUACCUAGAAUGGGAUUCUCAACUCAAGUUUUGUGUUGAAGAUUUUUACAAGUGUGUGCUUUGGGAACCAGUUCCAAUUCCUUGUUCAGCCUCUUCUCCCAUCUUUUCUGAUUAUCAAUAUUUAAGAUUCCCUGCUGUCUGACUUCAGGCAAGUGUUGUACUGAUUUUAUAGCUUUUUCCUUGGAAUCUCAACAGAAUGAAGAUGGUGGUUUUGCAACAUACGAAUUGACAAGAUCUUACCGAUGGGUGGAGGUAACUUUGAUAAAUACUAAUGCCAUUUUAUUAGUUUCACCUGAAGUUGCCCCAUGAAUGUAGCAUAUACAGUCCAAGCACAUUUCCUGUCAAUAAGUAGGAAAUUAGGUUCCAAAUGAAUGCCAACAUUAAAAGCAUCCAUGUGAAAAGUUUCAAUGAGUAUUCUAGAUUUCUGGCUCUCUUUUUGUGAUUUCUGGUAUUGAAUUCAGUGUUCUGUAAAUUCUGUUUUUUGGCUCAUUCUCAAUCAUUCUUCCUUUUAGCAAGUAAUCCUUGUGCUUUUCCAUCUUAUUGAUGAUUAUUGAAACAGGGUAGAAAAAAUUUCACAAACUAUUUGGUCCUUAAAGAUAAAGAAAGUUCCAUAUACCAUAACUAGGGAACAACAUGAUGUAAACUAUUGUGACCUUACUGCUCAUGGAAAAGCCUGCUCCACAGUUGAUUCUCUAAAUAAACUGAGUUGUCAUCUAGCUUUAUUAUUGAAAGGAAGGUGAGAUGGGCUUGUUAUUGAAAUCCAAAGAUAGAUGGAAUAGGAUUUUUUUUUUCCUUUCCCUCUUUUUCCUUUCUUUCUUCUUUUCUUCAAGGCAAAGUUGCACUUAAAACAACACCUUGAUUUGCUUACUGAUUAAGGAAGGUCAUAUUACAUAGAGCAGCUCCAUCGCUACUUGAUAAUAUGUGUGGGAUUGGAACCAUGAAGUGGUAUGUCAUACUCCAGAAUCUGCUAUAAUUUGGAUAGACUUGCUUAAGUCACUUAGGUCAUUUUUGGAUUGGUUUUUGGUGAGUCAAAAGUUCUUUAAGUCCAAAAAACACUUCUUAUAAAGCCAUUCUUUCAAGCUUAUAUUGUACGCUAUUUUAUUUUUAAUGAAACUUUCAUGAUUCCAAGAUUGCCAUCUUAAAAUCACGGGUUCAGCAUCUUGCUAAAGCUAAAGCAAGAAACUAUCCCAACGAGGCCUUAGAUAGAUACUAUAUGUCAUAAGCUUCAUUUGAAUAAUAGAAUGUCUUCUUUUCAAUAUUGAAGGAUAAUGGAUAAAGAUUAUAUUUGAAUUGCAAGUUUAUUUUAAUUAGAAGCUUGAGAGCUAAUAGCAUCUGGCACUCCUAGGAGGGCAUCACAAUGAAAGGAGUCCAAAGGAAUUAAAGAUAAAUUUAGAUAGAACCUAGGAUAGCGUCGCAAUGAUCGGAGUCCAAUGGAACUAAAGAUAAAGUGAGAUAGAACCCAAGAUGGUGUCACAAAGAUGGAAAUUCAAAGGAACUAAUUGAGCAAUGAUCUUAUUGAGGCUUGUGAUAGAACUAAACAUUUUAGAAAAUUGAAAGUGUAUGUGAAAACUACAGUUUUCAACUUUUCUUUUUCUUAAUUUCUUUGCAUGUUUGCACAUUUACAUCGUUCCCAAUAUUUGUUAUGCUGAAGCUGAAGAACUAAACCUCAUGUGGGCAUAUAGCACCAUUAUUCUCCUUAUUUCCAUCAAGACAACCCACAUCUUAAAUUGCAGUUUAUUUUAAUUGUGUUGGGAAUAAAUUCAAACUAUUUGUUAUUUUUGUUCUAUCUUUCAGUUAAUCAAUCCUGCUGAAACUUUUGGUGACAUUGUCAUUGAUUAUCCGUAAGAUUUUAAGCACUCUUCAGUUUCUAAUGUUUAUGUAUAAUUCUAGAUUGUUUUCACCUAUCUGGAAAAAAAAAGAAAAAAAAAAGAGUUGGGUUGUUGGGGGAAAGGGGUGGGUGGUGUUGUGGGUUGUCUUGUAGUUUGAUUUGAUGGAGAAAAUCUUAUAUGCUGUUACCUGGGUGGCACUGCAGAUAUGUGGAAUGUACCUCAUCUGCAAUUCAAGCAUUGACAUCGUUCAAGAAAUUAUAUCCUGAGCAUAGAAGGCAUGAAAUAGAAAAUUGUAUUUCUAAGGCUGCCAUGUUCAUUGAAGACAUACAGGCUCCUGAUGGCUCUUGGUUUGUUUUUAUUUAUUUAAUUAAUUAUUUUUGCAUCUAUGCACAAGCCCUUGAAAUUGUUCUUUUGCUAUAGCUGCAUGCUCUUGCUAUUUUGUUAUAUCAAUCUCUCAGCUUAAUGUAGGCAGUACCUAAGAUUUGUAGGGGUUAUAGGGCAGUCAUUACGUGUAUGCAAUUGAUUUUGAGUAUUUUUGACAGGCCUGGGGAGUCUGUUUCACUUAUGGUGGGUGGUUUGGAAUAAAGGGAUUGAUAGCUGCUGGAAACACAUACAAUAAUUGCCCCUGCAUUCGUAAGGCUUGUGAUUAUCUGCUGUCCAAGGAGCUUGCUUCAGGUGGUUGGGGGGAGAGUUAUCUGUCAUGCCCGAAUAAGGUUUUGAUUUCCAUUCUAUGUGGAAUUUCUUUCCUUUAUAGUUCUAGUGUGCCUCAUGAUGUUUGUUCUUAAUAAAUGCUCCUUAUAAAUCUGCAAAGUCGAGCUUUUAUGAAGAUUGCUAUCAUCUUUGUGGUAGCUCAUCAUAGAAUUUAUUGCAGAGCACAAAUAGAGCAUCUUCUUUGGAAUUAAGUAGAGUUUUUUUCCCAUAGAUCUUACUUGCAUUAAAUAACAAUAAGAACCUUGAUGUGUUUGGCUACAUUCUAACCAAUUUUAGGAAUAGACUAAUCCGAUUCACAUUCAUUUAUUAUCUCUGUUCAUCAUCUAUCUUAGAUACUAUUUAUAAUAAGUCGCAUCUUCUGCCUUGUAUGGUUGAUUAUUCUAAUGCCUCUUUCAACAGGUGUACACAAAUCUCCCUGGAGAUAAGCCACAUAAUUGCAAUACUGCUUGGGCUAUGUUGGCUCUCAUUGAUGCUGGACAGGUAAAGUUGGACACUAGUGGUGCUAUUUGAUGCUAAUUUAGUGUCCUCAAGGUUUUUUUUUAUAAUGUGUAGUUAAUUAAAGCUUCCUAUACCAUCUUUCUCUGUUUCUCCAUAUCUAGUAUGUUUGUUCUUUGUUGGUGAAAAGAAAAGAAUCAAUCUAAUAAGUUGGGGUUUUAGUUAGAAGUCUGGGGUAUUAUGAUAAUUUCAGUGGGAGAGGGUCUAAAAUAUCUAAAUAAUUUGAUUUAGCUCUUGGGCUAUGUUGUAGGGAUAAAUCAUUUCCCUCUUUCUAAUAAUUUCGAAUAUUUAUAUUUAAAGUUGGCUUCUGCGUUUGGUGUUUUGUGCACAAAGGCGGGCAUUUGGAUUUUUUUUCUUUUUGUUCACUGAUACAGAUUUUGUUGUGAUUUUCACCUAUAGAUGCAUACAUUUGUUCUGAAGAAAUAGUUGCACCAAAAAGAAAGUAGUAGUUAUUCUUUCAUUAGACAUUCUUUGCUCCCUUAUGGCCUCAUCUCUUGAGUUUCUCUUUCUUUUGCUUGCAUGUUCAUAGAAUGCUCCAAAAUUAUCCAAACUAGGUUAGUUCUUUUUCUAUUUUUUGUCACUCCAGAUCAUAAUCUUCUUCAAGCAAUUAUAUGUUCUUCUAGAUUUACACCAUAAAUCUUCUUCAAUCAUUCUAGUGAAACAUGAGAUAUUGUGAAAGUUCCCAUAAAUUGAUGAAAAUCAUUUUGUUUGUGAGGCAAGUGACUAAAAAAUGAGUUCCCUAUCAGAAAGUACCUUUGGGAGAUACGCAAGCAUGGGAAAUUACCAUAUUCCAAUGGUACCUCCUUUGUUUAAGGGAUAUGGGGGGUUUCUACGCCCCCUUUGUUUAUAUGUUAAGUCUGCUUUUCUGUUUUUCCAUGAUUGGAUAUGGUUUCAGGGCUUUGGUGAAUUCUUAAUUGUUUUUAACUUUAGACAAUUCGUUGCAUUACUUUCUAUUUUUUGUUGUUCUUUUCCUUUUGAAAGGCCGAGAGAGAUCCAAACCCACUACACCGUGCUGCAAGGUUAUUAAUAAAUUCCCAAAUGAAGAAUGGAGAUUUUCCUCAGGAGGUAACUCUUAUGACUUCCAUUUUUUUCUCGUAAUUUUUUAUUUUAUUUUAAAUUUUUUCUAUUGUAUGCAAAAACUACAAUUAGGUGGUCAUCUAAUGGUUGGUUCCCCUUGUAAGAAAUCAAAAUUAUUAAAAAUAGGAAGUUAAUUCAUGAUCCAUGCUUCUUCCCUGAUUUUCAAAAAAAUUUCCCUUUAUUUUCUGUAAUUUAUCUGCACACACCAAAUGCCUUUUCUCUGGCAUUCUUUUCUCUUUUUCAUGAAUAGGAAACAAGGUUCUGAAAACUACAUCCAAACAGGCCUUUGUCAUUCUGUUAAAGUUGUUUGGUAAAAGUUCAUGGAAUAAUUUAACGAUUGAUGGUAAUACUUCAAAGACAUUGUAACAGUAUCAGGCUUAUGAGCAUUUAAUCAACCUUUGUAGCUCUUGAAAACGUAUACCUUAAAGUUUUCUUUUUGACAUUUCUUCUCAAAUAUGAAAGACUUAUUAUGAGAAUCGUCAAGAAAACCCCAGGAAGGUCGAAAACAAAUGCUUGGAAUUUGGAUAAGAAAGUUGAUCUGCAACCCCAUAAAUAUUUUAGUAAUUUGUUUCAAUUAUAAAGAUUACAUGUCUGGUUAGAAAAUGAGUAUGCCUGUUGAUUCCCAUUGCAACAACUUUGCUGACUCCCAUGCCUGAAUAAGUUUAAUAGCUUCAACAUUUCUUCAUACAGGAAAUCAUGGGAGUCUUCAACAAGAACUGUAUGAAUAGUUAUUCUGCAUAUCGGAACAUUUUUCCUAUAUGGGCUCUUGGAGAAUACCGGUCUCGGGUACUUCAUUCUUCCUAAAAAUGUAAUUAUAACGUUCUAAAGAAUGAAAUGCAUGCUUGUCUACUGAGUGUAGCCCUUGUCCUGUUUAUAGCGAAUAAGGGUCUCGGGUGGGACUUUUCUACUUUGUGUUGCUUGAAUUUUCUGGGAAAAGAAACAUUAUUGGGUUUAAGAUAAUAUGUGGCCAUAGGGUCUAAGAUAAUCUGUAAGAAACCUAAGCUUAUCUUGAUUUUGAUCCUUGGAAAGGCAUGUACGCUGGGGAGGCCCUAGCUAUUAAAAUUUAUGUAAUUGACAAUCGUAGAAAGGGUUGUGUGUGUAGUUUGAGCCAAAAGAAUUUCAUAGGUCUAACAUGUAAAAAUCAUGCAUAGUUGAAAGGAAUUCGUUGCAUCUAUGAUGCUAGGAACUUUUCUUCCCAAUAUCAUGCAUAGAUAUUGUCUGUUUUGAAUUUGGAUUUUAAAAUGUGUUUGUAAAGAGGAAUUAUAUAUAUAUAGUAUCAAAAAUUUAUCUUUCUAGUCAAUGUGGGAUUUCAUAUUAAGCAGAAUUGAGGGUAUUGUUGAGUAAUGUUAACAUUGAUGGUAAUUCAAUGCUUAAAAAAUGAGUGUGUAUGCAAGUUUUACAUAGGUAUAGUGCACCAAGGCUUAACAAUAUUAGGCCAUAAGGCAUAGUUGAUGGGUAACAAAUGAAUACUUUCUUAUUACCCUUUGUCCAUCCUUAGGGAUGAAGGAGGUUAGGAGGUUAGAUUAAUUGAAAGACAGUUAUUAUUUUAAAAAUAAAAGUUAGGUCUACAUUUCAAGGUUGAGAAGAAAUAGAAAUAAAAUAUCUCGAGUCGAUGCUCAAGUACAGAAUACUAAUAUAACCUGUCACAUACUCUCAAGUAAUGCAAAUUAUUCAUGUGAUAAAAGUUAAUUUUUUUUUCUUUUUUUAAGUUAGAAAAAAUGUUUUUUAAAAAACAAGGCAUAAAACUUUUGGACAUAUCUGAAAAUUAGGGUUUGUGAGGAAGUAGGCAAAUUGGGAGCUUUUGUGCAGGAAAAAGGCAUUGGAUCCACUAUGUUUCGUCCCCAGCAGCCACGCCAUUUGAUUCUUGUGCCAGACGAGUGUUAUCAACAAAAUUUAUAAAACCUAAAUCACCUUACACUAGGGUAGCAUGGCUACUAUAGUAUAAUGGCUUUAUGAUCGUCCACAGGUAUGGGUUUUCUUCGUACAAGUGACUUUAGUGAAGGUAAUGAAAUGGUGCUUUUCCUUAUGAAAAUUAGCUUUUAAAGAAAAUGGAAUUGUGGUUGAAAAAGUUGAUUUUAAGUUAAGCAAAAAUAGCAAUUGAAGUCAACUACAAAGAGAAUGUUUCUUGGAGCUUUAGGUCACUAGGAUCGGGUUCCUUAGGCAAAGGGGGAGAUUUCGGAUCUUCUCCUCACAUUAGGGACAAUAACAUAAAGGAUGGUUAUCUCCCGAACCGGUUUUGUAUUUAGCAAUUAAGAUUUGAUCCAAAGGGUUCAUGAAACAUGGUAGUUGCUUCACAUUAAUGGCUACAAACACUAAAGACCCUCACCUUGAACCACCUUCCAAUGACUCAUAAUUGAUAACUAAUGAACAUCCAUGGAUCUAGCAAUAAGCAUCCAUAGAAUCCGAAAAGCUUACCAAAUAUUGGCCAUUCAAGGUGAUUCUCACCUUGAACCACCUUCUAGUGGCUCGUACUUGAUAACUAAUGGACAUCCAUGGAUCUAGCAAUAAGCAUCCAUGGAAUCCGGAAAGCUUACCAAGUAUUGGCCAUUCAAGGUGAUUCUAAAGGAUUUAAAGUUAAACCUUGAAAUAAAAACCAUUAAGGGUUAACAACUACCUUCAUUUAAAGCAAGGAAAACUCCUACCUUUGCAUUUGGGUCCUUCACCUAGUUUCCAUCACUCCUAGAAACGUAAAACUUAGCCACUCAUCCCCUGAGAAAUCAUCCUCAGAGGUUGUUUGGCUAGAAAGAAAAAUGAAAACAAAAAUGAGAAGGAAAGGCAGAGCAAGGGCUUUGUAUAUUUCUUCCUACAGGAAUUACAAGUGUCGUCGUUUAAGAUUUUACAAAAAGAUAUAUUUAUAUAUAUAUAUAGAGAGAGAGAAAGAGAGAGAGAGAGAGGUCUUUACAACCCCCCUUUAUAGUUCCUAACCAAGAAAUCCUAUCAUUGGUUCAUUACAAGGAGAAAAUAGUAAUUUACACAAAAAUCUGGAGAUAAAAAUCUAAUGGAGUCGGUGCACAGGAAGAUUUCGCAGACCAUGCGAAAUUUCUCAUGGUGUGGUUUCAUAGGGCAUGCGAAAUUUCGCACAAUGUGCGAAAUUGUCCUUCACUCAGUCCUGCAGCUACUCCUCCUCUUGAUUUCACAUAGACAUGCGAAAUUGCUACAUGUUGGAUUUUUUCCUCUGAUUUUCUUCCUUGCAUCUCUGAUUGGCUUGACAACCUAUUGCCAAGCUUGGCAAAAGGCUAUGAAGUGCUCCAAAACUCGGAUUCUUCAUGUAUUUGAGCUUCAACUUGCAUUGCCAUGGAUUACACAAAAUUCUCCCUCAUUCUUUGCUUGUUUCAAUGAUAAAAAAGCUACAAAAAACACUAAAACUAGCCAAAAACUUAUUAGUAACCCUUGCUAGGUUCCUUAAUGUGCCAAUUGAGUUAAAAAGUAUUAACUACUACUCAAAAGUGUUUAAAAUAGUUAAUUUCAAGCUAUAAAAGAGCACUUUUUGAGUAGUAAUCACUCCCCCCAACCGACACAUUGCUAGUCCCCUAGCAAUGAAGGAGAGAUAAAGAAAAAUAGACAGUAAAAUAAUUUACAAAAUCAUGUUAAUCACUCAAAAAAAUUUUCAAGUGGCAUGAUGCGGAUCAUACUCUCUCAUGGAACAUCAAAGAGGCAAAACUCAACCUUCAACAAGAGUCAUCAAAUAUCUUGCUUAAUCACAAUUUAUAAAAAGUAGGCAUUACGCAAAUUUAAGCAUCAAAAGAAUUUCCACUCCCAAAGGUCCAAUCCUUACUCUUCCACAAAAAUCUAGGUGUUAAGCUUAUUAGUUUCCGAUUAUAGUGUGUUGAACUAUUCGCUCCCCCCAACCUAGUUCUUUCUCAAACCUUAGCAAACUGACCAACCUCCAAUAGGCUAAGAACGAACCUAUUUUAUUUCACAAUUUUUUUUAUUGUAGGAGUGCAAUGCUAAAGGUAUUGUUUUCUAAAGUGUCCAUGUAACGGGGAUCCAUCAAUGACUCCCAACCAAUCAAGGUUUAGGGUAUCAAGCUUUAAGGAUCUUUCGACCACUAACCCCUCAGAUUUCACCCUGGAUUUUUUAGAUUGAAAUUCAAUACCCAAGCACCUAUAAUAUGUUAAACUCUACCUAUUCACCCUUGUAACGAGCAUUGAAACCGGUGACUCCCAACCAAUAAAGGCUUAAGGCACCGGGUUUUAAAGACUUUCACCGCAUACCCCUCGGUCCUUGCUCGGGUUUCAAGGCAAGUGAAACACUUUGUUUUUUUUUUUUUUCUUUUUGUGAAGGCUUAUUGGCCUUUUAUAAGGUGUCCCAACACUAUUAAAACAAGGUCAAAGGUACCAAGUCGAAAUUUUUCUAAGUUCAGGGGGUGAGAUAGUUUUUCAUCUUAUAACCGAAACCUAAUGUGCACAGUGUGUGGUAAGAUUAAAGUGGAAGAAAUAAGGUUGAAUUCAAUAGGAGUUUCAAUAAUUCAUCAACCUCAAUAAGCAUAAUACAAACUCUAAGAUUCAAGUAAAAAGACAAGAACUCGAUUUCUCCCAUUUCAUUUUGAGAAUUUUUCCUUAAUAACCAUGGAAAGUAGAGUAAAAACUUUUAAAAUUAAGCAAAAAGUAACUAAAUUAACAAAUUAACCUAGCAUUAUUAACAAUACUUCCUUCCUCAACUCUCCCCCCAACCAAGAUCAACAUUGCCCUCAAUGUGUCAAGAGCAAUUGAAAAUAAAGGGAGAAAGUGGUACCUCCUAAGUGAAAUGGAGUUUGAGUCGUAUAUGAGAAACCACAUGAGUCAAAAAACAAAAGAGUAAUGAGUAGAGGAAAUUGAAAAAAUGCCAAGUAAUAUAAAAAAGGAUGUCUAUAUAUUAAUUUGAGAAAGUAUAAUAUGAGAUAUCAUCAGGUAAUACAUCAAAUCCCAUAAUAUAAAGCAUCAAAACAAGGAACAAUCUCGACUAAUAUAAUAUGUAAAUAUAAUAAGAUAAAGAGAUGUCCUAUGAUUAAGUAGUAGGAGCCUCAGGUGGAGAUGAUGUAUCAUUAGGUGUAGCUAUGACUGUGUCAACUGUCUGAGGCUCAUCUUGAGGAUCAACUAAAGCAAUGACAUCUAUGGUGGCCUCCUGAGGUGGCGGGAUCUGGACCUUUGUUGUGGUAGUGUCCUCGACUGGAAUAGUAUCCUCAACUGGAGCUAAAGGCUCUAAUGAUGCAGGAAGGUCAGGCUGAGGUGGAGGCAGAAGACCCAGGUGCUGCUGGAUCUGGCAAAGUAUAGCAGUCUGCUGGUUCUGCUGGGAACCCAUCUCAGCCAUCUGCUGGAAGAGAGCGGUGUGUGUGGUAGAUAGUGUCUACAAGGUAGCUACAAUGCCGCGAAACUUCGAAGCAGAGAUAGUGAUGGAAGGCUCGGAUGUAGUAAGAGUAACAGGUGGAACAGUAGGAGUCAUAGGGGGCGCAGCAGAAACAACCUCAGGCAUGGGCACUGGUGGUGCUGAAGUAAGUGAUGCAGGGGUAGACUAUACUGAGGCUCUGUCAAAAGCUCGCCCUACUCUGUAGAUACUGGAGUAGACUAUGCCUGCUUCGUCUGUGGGGACUCUGGAGGUGCUACCAUGGGAUGGGCUCCUGGAGAUGCAAAAUAGCCCGCCAACUGAUUCUAUUUGUCAAGAGUGAAUCGCUCUCGACAAAUGCGGCGUCGCUCGUGCUGAGGCUCAAUAGGAAAACCCAUAUGCUUUAAGAUCUAGCAAAGCAACCUCGAGAAUAGCAAUGGAAUGGUGUCCGCCCUCUAAAGCUUCUUCCUAUGAACCUUCUCCUCAAAGUGGACAAGGGAGGCCAUGAUCAAGUGGUGCGGGCCAAAGUAGAAGCCCUCUGAUAUGCGGAACAAAGCAUCCAAGAUAGCUCAUCGCCUCCGUACCGAAUGCUAUAGGGGAAAGAGUUUGGAGUGUAACAUCACAUCUACGAGGAGCAUCCUAGGUGGAAGCUCCUGUCGAAGAAGGAUUGAAUCUGUAAAGGUCCCCCUGGAUAAAAUGCGAACCAUGUCCCUUUGAGAUAUUAGGGACCACUGGCGGAAAACAAAGGGAUCAACUCGCUCGAAAGGAAUCUGUAGAGCCUUUGCAAUAUUUUUUGCCUUGAGGAUACCAUGAUGUCCAUCAAUGGUGAAGUGAAUCGAGGUAGGACUUGGGACGCCACAAGUAGUCAUGGACUGGUAAAAGUCUAAUGCUACUCUGGGAUAAAAGAACUCACGAGGAGUCAUAAGCUGCUCAAGAUAGUACCUCUGCAGUAGGCCAUAAGAGUCUCGAAGCUCAAGCUUCUGUCGAAAGGCCUCCUGAUCAAAAUAGAACUCCGAGUGGAAAUGUCUCAAUUUGUAAUCUGAGUUGCCCUCAAUGGGCGGUGCUGUGAGCAUCGGGUGUCUAAUAAUAGACCCCGGUGACAUGUUAGAAGGAAGCUCAAAAUCUGCAGGAGCUCGAGCAUGUGUAGCUACAAGAGGCUUAGGAUGUGGAGCUCUGGAUGACUCGCCUGGGUCUGAAGUCCUGGCUCUCUUGGCAAGAGGGCGCCGCACUAAACUCUGAGGACGCAAAGCAGUCGCCCUUUGUGUAGUAGGUGGUCUCCUAGUCUCAUACCUACGCUGAGAAGCAGAAGAGGAGGGACUAGUGGGCGCCCCACCCUCAGAAGGGGGAAUCUACGGGGCCUCUAUGGUGGCAAAUCAUGAGGUACCCGAGCAGAGAAGGCUCUCUGCCUCGGAGUGCGACUCUACAAAUGGGCAGCAAGGGCCCCUUGAGUCCUUUCCAUAUGGAAAUGGAGAAAUAGGCCUUUAGUCCAUGCUCGAAGGGGGGUGUCGAAUGGGAGAGGGAUGAAGGAGUGAGAUGCGAGGAGGAGGGGCGUGUGAACAGAGGGUGGAACCAGACAAAGGCACAGGGUGACACUGUGAAGAGGCCGUAAGAUGGCAAAGAGAUUCGCAAUGGGAGGGUGCUUGCGAAAUGGGAGAGUUAGGGUUCGGGAGUUAUUUAAAAAUAAAUUCGCAAAGGCAUUUCGCAGACCAUGCGAAAUUCCGCACAGUGUUGGGUGUGCGAAAUGGGUUCGCAGACCCCUUAUAUUUGUGCACAAUGUACGAACUGGUGUUGGGUGUGUGGAAUGGAAUUAAAGGGCUCAAAACGGGCAGUAGCUGACCUUACUUUGAGAAGGGUUUUUCAUACCCUGCGAAAUUUUUGCAAGGGUGCGUGAAAUGCCUUGGUGAAUUUUUUUCUUCAGGGUUUUUCCUCUGCCAAGAAUCUUUAAGGACAUGCCCAUCUGCUUUGAAGUCCCCUCUGAAAUUGAUCAUCAAAAACCUAAGUUAAAUCAAACCAAAAUGAAAUUAAAGCGAGAAAUCAAAAUCAAAACAAGUAACGAAACAAGAAAACUCUCAAAUAAAAAAUAAAACAAAAAGAUAUGGACUUGAUAGUCUUUAGAAAGGCUAAGUCCAUUCAAAAACCAGUCUUGUCAAGCUUGAUGUGGAUCAAGGAGGAUGAAUUCCUCCUUGUUACAAGAAAAAGGCUCCACAAAGGGCUUGAGAUGGUGGCCAUUCACUUUGAAGCUACUAGUGCUGUUGGAGUUGUGGAGUUCCACUACUCCAUUUGAAUGCACUUGGUGAAUGGUAAAAGGACCUAUCCACCUUGAUUUCAGCUUGCCCGGAAAGAUGUGGAGCUUAGAGUCAUAAAGCAAGACUCUUUGUCCCUUUUGAAAAUUUUUGCGGGAAACCAACUGAUCAUGUCACCUCUUCAAUCUCUUUUUUGCAAUUUUUGAAUUGAUGUAGGCAUCAUUUCUCAGUUCCUCCAACUUAUUGAGGUCUAAGAACCUCUUCAUCCCAGCUCUGCUCAAAUCCAUGUUGAGCUUCUUGAUUGCCCACCAAACCUUGUAUUCCAAUUCCACAGGGAGAUGGCAUGUUUUGCCAUAGACUAGGUGAUUCGUGCCUACUUGGUGUAUCAGCUGAUUCAUUUCCAACUGGUGCUCCUUGAUUGAGGGAGUAAUCAACAAAAUUUAUAACCUAUUACACCAUGAACUAGGGUAGCAAAGACAAAGCUACUAUAGCAUAGUGGCUCUAGGAUCGUUCACUGGGAUGAGUUUUCACUUCACAAUUGAUAUUAAUUCAAAGCUGAAUUGGUGCCUUUUCAUUUCAAGGUUAGCUUUAAAAGAAAACAUAAACUUUAGUUGAGAAAGGUUUGGUUUUAAACUAACAAAAAAUAAUAACUAAUUUUAAUUAUAAAGAAAAGUGUUUCUUGGAGUUUAGAUCACUAGGCUCAGAUUCCUUGUACAAAAAGGGAGUUCCGGUCACUUGUUUCUUUUCCUCGCAUUGGGGAUUUAACAUAUAGUUAUUUCCCGAACUGGUUUUGUACAGAUGCUUCCCAUUAAUGGGUUCAAACACUAAAUCCCUCUCACUGAUGCACCUUGCAAUGGCUCAUACCUCUCACCUAGCACUUGCCAUUCAAGGUGAUCUUUAACCUUGGAUUAACCCUCAAAAGCUCGCAAGAGAUAACUAAUGGAUGUCUCCUUGGAGUUCAAAAGCUUACCAAGUGUUGGCUAUUCUAGAAAAUCCUACCUUCAAACCACCUCCCAAAGGCUCGUAAGAGAUAAACUAGUGCAUCUCUAUGGAUGGAGAUCACUUGCCUUACCAAGUGUUGGCCCAGGUGAUUUAAAGGCGUUUUAAGUUAACUAAAAAGAUAAAAACCAUUAACGAGUCACACUUUCUCUUCAUUAAAAACUAAAACAACAAAACUUCCAAUUUAUGCAUGAGGAAAUUUACCCGGCUUUCUUCACUCCAAGAGACGAAGAGCCUAGCCUCUCAUCCUCUGAGGAAAAAUCCUCAGAGUUUGAUUGGCUAGAAAGUAAAAUAACAAGAAAACAAAAAUAUAUAAGAAAAGCAGAGCAAGUGCUCUGUAUUUUACUUCCUUACAAAACUGUACAAAUGAUUGAUCGUCGAGAACAAGCUCCUGAGAUUUCCUACAUAUUUUAUGUAAAGAAAAUUACAAACUAUAUAUAAGGGGUUAUUCACCCUUUGUUCUUACUUAAAGACUAAGGAAUCCUAUGAUUGGUGGGUUACAAGGAGAUUUUAGGGAUUUAGACAACAAAUAUCUAAAGCAACAUAUCUCAAAAUAUCCCAAAAUGUUGGUCGCAAAUAUCUGGAAGCUUCAAGAGAACACCGUGGCACUGUGCAGAAAUAUAUCUCAAAAUGUCAGUCGGACAUAUUGGGAAGCUUCAGGAGAACAUCGUGGCAUUGUGCAAAAUGGUUGCGAAACUCUCCGGAUAAGCGCUAUCAGAGGAUUUGGAUAUGUCUGACCGGGGAAGUUGAAACACUCUCCUCUCCCAUCCGGCGUCAGGCGCCGGAUGCGAAAUAUCCGAAGAAGGUGUGUGCCGAAUGUGAGACAUCCGGGUGGAAUGGCGGUGGAGCAGAAUUCCGGAUGUGAGACAUCCGGGUAGAAUGGCGGCGGAGCAGAAUUCAGGAUGUGAGACAUCCGGGUGGAAUGGCGAUGGAGCAGAAUAUUGGAUGUGAGACAUCCGGGUGGAAUGUCGAAGGAGCAACUCCAUCUGGAUUCCCCAAGAGGAAAUGUGGUGCGUUACCCUAUCCGGAGCAACUCCAUCCAGAUUCCGGAUUUGCUUAUGAAAAAGGAGUUCAAAGCUUCGGUUCUUCAUGUUUCUGAGCUUUCCAUUGCUUUGCCAUGGAUUCCAAAGAACUCUCCUCAAUCUCAGAUUGCUUUGGUGAUCAAAAAGCUAUCAAAACACCAAAACUUAACACAAUUUGAUUAGAAUUGAUUGCAAGGGUCCUUAAUAUGUUAAUUGGGUUAAAAGGUGAUAACUACUACUCAAAAGUGUUUAAAAGAGUUAAUUACAAGCUAUGAAAUAGCACUUUUUGAAUAGUAAUCACUCCCCCCAACCGACAUAUUGCUAGUCCCUUAGCAAUGAAGGAGAGAAAAAUAAAAAUAAAAAGUACUAUAAUUUACAACAUCAUGCUAAUCAAAAAACAAUUUCCAAGUGGCAUGAUGAUCUAACUCUCACAUGGAACAUUAAAGAAAUAUAAACUCAAAUUUCAAAAAAAGUUAUUAAAUAAUUUGUCUAAUCACAAUUCUUAAAGAGAAGGCAUUAUGCAAAUUUAAGCUUUAAAAGAGUUUCCACUCCCAAAGGGUCAAACCUUACUCUUCCACAAAAAUCUAAGUGUUACUUAUUAGCUUCCGAAUAUAGUAUGUUGAACUAAUCUCUCCCCCCCAACCUAGUUCUUUUUCAAAGCUUAGCAAACUGGUCAACCUCCAAUAGGCUAAGAACGCACCUCUUUGUUCACAAAAUUUUUUUUCAUUGUAGGAGUACAAGGCUUAAAGGUAUUUUUUCUAAAUUGUCCAUGAACGGGGGUCCGUCGAUGACUCCCAACCAAUUAAGGUUUAGGGCAUCAAGCUUUAAGGAUCUUUCAACCACUAACUCCUUGGAUUUUACCCCGGACUUUUGAGAAUGAAAUUUUAAUACCCAAGCACCUACAGUAUGUUAAACUCCACCUAUUCACCCUUGUAACGAGCAUUGAGGUCGGUGACUCCCAACCAAUUAAGGCUUAGGGCACCAGGUUUUAAAGAUUUUCACCAUAUACCCCUCGGACCUUACUCGGGUUUCAAGGCAAACAAACAUUUUUCCUUUUUUUUUUCAAAGGCUCAUUAGCCUUUUAUAAGGUGUCCCAACACUAUUAAAUGAGGUCAAAGGUACCAAGUCUAAAUUUUCCUAAGUCAAGAGGGAAAUAGUUUUUCAUCUUAUAAUCAGAACCUAUUGUGCACAGUGUGUGAAUAGCUUAAAGUGGAAGAACUAAAGUUGAAUUCAAUAGAAGCUCAACAAUUCAUCAACUUUAGUAAGCAUAAUACAAACUCUAAGUCAAGUAAAAAGACAAAAAUUCAAUUUCUCUCUUUUCAUUUUGAAAAUUUUUCCUUAAUAACCAUGGAGAGUAGAAUAAAAACUUUAAAAAAUUUUAAAAUUAAGCAAAAAGCAACUAAAUUACCAAAAUAACCUAGCAUUAAUAACAAAAACUUCCUUCCUCAACUCUCCCCCUAACCAAGCUGAACAUUGUCCUCAAUGUGACAAAAGCGAUUGAAAAAUAGGGAGGAAGUGGUACCUCCUGAGUGACAUGGAGUUUGAGUUGUAUAGGAGAAACCACAUGUUUCAAAAAAAACAAAAGAGUUAGUGAGUAGAGGAAAUAGAAAAAUGCCAAGUUUAAACAAAAAUGAUGUCUAUAUAUGAUGUAUCAUUAGUAAUACAUCCAAUCCUAGAAUGUAUAAUAUCAACUAAUAUACUAAGUAAAUACAAUAUAAAGAAAUGAUCAAGGAGCGGGGUCCUCUGGUGGACAUAAUGGCUCUGGUGCUGUCUCGUGAGUGGCCUGAGGUGGGACAUCAACAUGAUGGUCUCCGCAGGUGGAAUCGUCUCCUCAGUUGGAACUCUCGGCUCUGAUGGCCUAGGAAUAUCAGUCUGAAGUGGAGCAAGGCCUAGAUGCUACUGUAUCUGACGAAGGAUAGCAGUAUGUUGGUCAAGGAUAAUAGAAUGUUGAUCCUGCUGAUCUCGGAUGUCUCUCAUUUUCUGAAAUAGAGCGUCGUGUGUGGUGUUGAGUGUUCUGAAUAAUAAUACCAUGCCACAAAACUCUAAGCCAGAAAUGGUGAUAAAGUCCUAUGAUGGAGGAGGUACAACUGAUGGAACAGGUGGUGUAGUUGGAGGAUCAAUAGAGGCGGUCUAAGGCAUAGAUGGUGCAGCAGGGGUGGAUGAAAUAGACUCUGUGGGAUGCUCGUCCUGUUGUGUCUGGUCAGGCUGUGCUGGUACUAGAGGUACUGGCCUGGGUGGGGCUGCUUCGACUGAAUUCCUCUCUACUAACUGUGUCCAUUGGUCGAGAGUGAAAUGCUCUCGGCAAUGGUGGCGGCGCUCGAGAUGGGGCUCAGUAGGGUAGUCUAUAUGCUCCAAGACAUGGCAGAAAAGCCUCGGAAAUAGUAAUGGAAUCGCGUCAGCUCGUUGUAGCUUCUUCCUAUGCACUUUCUCCUCGAAGUAUAGGAGAGCGUCCAUGAUUAGAUGGUGUGGACCAAAAUAGAAACCCAUAUAUAUCCUGUAUAAUGCAUCCAAAAUAGGUCCUCGCCUCUGCACUAAAUGCUGGAGAGGAAAAAUGUUGGACCUCAACAAUACAUCUACUAGGAGCAUCUCAGAUGGAAGCUCCUUACGUAGUAGGCAUGUAUCUCCAGAAGUCCCUCGUGAUAGAAUGCGAACCAUGUUCCCUUGAGAUGUGGAGAUCCAUUGUCUGAACUGCUUUGGAUCCUCUGGCUGAAAUGGAAUGUGGAGAGCCUCAGCAAUAUGCCUAGCCUCUAAGAUACCCUGACGUUCGUCUAUAUUGAAACGAAUGGCUAUAGAACCCUGGACGUCCUAAGUAGUCAUAGACUGAUAGAAAUCCAUCGCUACUCUAGGGUAGAAAAACUCUCUAGGAGUCAUCAGACACUCGAGAUGGUACCUCUGGAGCAAUCCCAACGAAUCUCAAAGGUCUGGCUCCUGUCUCAUAGCCUCUAUCUCGAAGUAGAGCUCAGAGUGAAAUGGUUUGGCUCUACAAUCCAAAUUACCAGGAAUGGGAGGCGCGGUAACCAUUGGUCUCUUGAUGAUGUCUUUAGGAGCAGUGCCUGAAGAUCUCUGAAUAUCCUCUAGGGCCUAAGCAUUGGCUGGAGCCUGACUAGAUGUCUCUCUAGGGCCCGAGGUUCUGGCUCUCUUUGGUAGACCACGGGGUACUGAUGGCUCUGGGGGUGGAGAAAUUGGUGGUCUCUGUGUCGAAUAUCGGCGCUGAGGAGGGCUAGAAGGCACCCCACUCUUAGGAGAUGGUAUGGUCAGGGCCUGAGAGGCCUGAGAUGGAUCCUAAGGAGUUGAGGCGCUUGGCUUGGCCUCGCGAGAUGCAGACGGAUCUAUAUGGCCCCCUCUGGUGUACACCAUAGCUGCUAUGGACGAGAUGUGUAUUGCUUUGGUUCUCCUUGGUUGCCAUGGUGCGUGGAUUGGUGAGGAUUUUUCUUCUCAAGGCGGCAGUAAGCUCUUGGCAACAGAGGACGCUUGUGCCAAAUGGUGAGCUAGAGGCCUUUAAAUAGAAAAUUCAAAUGACUUUUGGCUUACCUCUUGGCCGUUAAUUGACCAUUGGCGUUUCGCAGACGUUUUGCAUGUAAAAAAAAAAAAAAAAAAAAAAUCAUGGCUGGUGCGAAAUGCUCUGUUUUCCUCUGUUUUUGGCUUCCCCUGUGUUGAUUAUCAUAAAACCUAAGUUAAAUCAAACCAAAAUAAAAUUAAAGCAAGAAAUCAAAAUCAAAACAAGUUUAAAAAUAAAACAAAAAGAUAUGGACUAGCUAGUCUUUAGAAAGACUAAGUCCAUAAAAAAAAAAACUGGUCCUGUUUCAGCUUGUCUUCUACCCGGUAUGCAUAUUUCAUCUUUGGAGGUAGCGGGUUAAGAAUAAGCUUUGGGGGCUCCUCCUUCGCAUGUCUCUGUAUCUCCACCGCAUUCAGUAAGGGCUGCAUUUCUUUUGUUCUCGUCCAAUGGAAUAGAUUAGCAAGCUUCUCUGAGGGUUCAGGUAACCCUUCAUCAUGCUUUGGCUUAAAUGUGGGCUGAUCAACCAUAACUACUUUGACUUUCCUCACCAUUGAAUUUUCUUCCUUUUGGGCCUCCCCUUUAUGGAUACCCUUGAGAUUUUGAUAUGGUUGAGAAGGAAAGUUUUCUUUUUCUCGCUCCAUGUUGAGGUGGAUAAGCCUUGAGCUUGAGUAUUCGAGAUUGUCUGUCUUCUGAGACAGAUCAUUCAACCUCCCAUCCAUCUUUCUGUCUUGGUUGUCAAUUUCUUGCCUGACUUGAGUAUUUUUUUUUUCUCAAUUGAUCAAUGAUGGAUUUCUGGUAUGCUACAAAGUCUCCCACAACCUUGGUAAGGUUCACAAUUGCUUGUUCAAGUUUCAAGGCUUGAUGUGGUGCUUGAGCGGGUUGCGUGUACUGAUGUGGUUGUGGUUCCCAAAAGAAAUUUGGAUGAUUCCUACAAUUUGAAUUGUAGGUGUUAUAAUCACCAAAUAUCUCUCUCGCCACUGGAAAUAUAGGACACUCCACCACCAAGUGCUCAAAAGAUUGAUAAAUGCCACAUGGCAUACCAAACAUCUCCCUCGCCACUGGAAGGAUAGGACACUCCUCCACCAAGUGCUCAAAAGAUUGACAAAUGGCACACGACAUAGCUUGCACUAGUGUUUUAGAAAUGGCAUGCACUUCUCGUAUCCAACAGGGCAUGCACAACUAAUAUCAACUAUAAUUAAAAAAAAAAACAAAAACAGAGGAAAACAAAAACAAAGCUACCAAAAAGAGUUCGAUUAACUAAAACUAAAUUAAAAGCUAUACUAGAAUAUAAACGAGUAAAGGAAAACAAACUAAAAGAAUUAGUAAAAUGACAGAAAACUCACCAAACUUGUGAUGAAAACCACAAGUACACUGAAAUAAUAUCACUAUGAAGUUGGCACCUUCCCCGGCAAUGGCGCCAUUUGAUUCGUUCCCAGCUGUAAAAUGGCAUGAUCCCUGGCGGUGGCGCCAUUUGAUUUGUCCCUGGCAACGGCGCCAUUUGAUUCGUUCCCAACUGUAAAGUGGCACGAUCCUUGGCGGCGGCGCCAUUUGAUUUAUCCCCGGCAACGACGCCAUUUGAUUCGUGCCUACUUGGUGUAUCAACUGAUUCAUGUCCAGCUGGUGCUCCUUGAUUGAGGGAGUAAUCAACAAAAUUUAUAACCUAUUACACCAUGAACUAAGGUAGCAAAGACAAAGCUACUAUAGCAUAGUGGCUCUAGGAUCGUUCAGUGGGAUGGGUUUUCACUUCACAAUUGAUAUUAAUUCAAAGCUAAAUUGGUGCCUUUUCAUUUCAAGGUUAGCUUUAAAAGAAAACAUAAAAUUUAGUUGAAAAAGGUUUGGUUUUAAACUAACAAAAAAUAAUAACUAAUUUUAAUUAUAAAGAAAAGUGGUUCUUGGAGUUUAGAUCACUAGGCUCAGAUUCCUUGUACAAAAAGGGAGUUUUGGUCACUUGUUUCUUUUCCUCGCAUUAGGGAUUUAACAUAUAGUUAUUUCCCGAACUGGUUUUGUACAGAUGCUUCCCAUUAAUGGGUUCAAACACUAAAUCCCUCUCACUGAUGCACCUUGCAAUGGCUCAUACCUCUCACCUAGCACUUGCCAUUCAAGGUGAUCUUUAACCUUGGAUUAACCGUCAAAAGCUCGCAAGAGAUAACUAAUGGAUGUCUCCUUGGAGUCCAAAAGCUUACCAAGUGUUGGCUAUUCUAGAAAAUCCUACCUUCAAACCACCUCCCAAAGGCUCGCAAGAGAUAAACUAGUGCAUCUCUAUGGAUGGAGAUCACUUGCCUUACCAAGUGUUGGCCCAGGUGAUUUAAAGGCGUUUUAAGUUAACUAAAAAGAUAAAAACCAUUAACGAGUCACACUUUCUCUUCAUUAAAAACUAAAACAAUAAAACUUCCAGUUUAUGCAUGAGGAAAUUUACCCGGCUUUCUUCACUCCAAGAGACGAAGAGCCUAGCCUCUCAUCCUCUGAGGAAAAAUCCUCAGAGUUUGAUUGGCUAGAAAGUAAAAUAACAAGAAAACAAAAAUAUAUAAGAAAAACAGAGCAAGUGCUCUGUAUUUUACUUCCUUGCAAAAUUGUACAAAGGAUUGAUCGUCGAGAACAAGGUCCCAAGAUUUCCUACAUAUUUUAUGUAAAGAAAAUUACAAACUAUAUAUAAGGGGUUAUUCACCCUUUGUUCUUACUUAAAGACUAAGGAAUCCUAUGAUUGGUGGGUUACAAGGAGAUUUUAGGGAUUUAGACAACAAAUAUCUAAAGCAACAUAUCUCAAAAUAUCCCAAAAUGUCGGUCGCAAAUAUCUGGAAGCUUCAGGAGAACACCGCGGCACUAUGCAGAAAAAUAUCUCAAAAUGUCGCUCGGACAUAUCAGGAAGCUUCAGGAGAACACCGUGGAACUAUGCAAAAUGGCUGCGAAACUCUCCGGAUAAGUGCUAUCAGAGGAUCCGGAUAUGUCUGACCGGGGAAGUUGAAACGCUCUCCUCUCCCAUCUGGCGUCAGGCACCGGAUGCGAAAUAUCCGGAGAAGGUGUGUGCUGGAUGUGAGACAUCCGGGUGGAAUGGCGGCGGAGCAGAAUUCCGGAUGUGAGACAUCCGGGUGGAAUGGCGGCGGAGCAGAAUUCCAGAUGUGAGACAUCUCGGUGGAAUGUCGGUGGAGCAACUCCAUCCGGAUUCCCCAAGAGGAAAUGUGGUGCGCUACCCUAUCUGGAGCAACUCCAUCCGGAUUCAGGAUUUGCUUAUGGCAAAGGACUUCAAAGCUUCGGUUCUUCAUGUUUCUGAGCUUUCCAUUGCUUUGCCAUGGAUUCCAAAGAACUCUCCUCAAUCUCGGAUUACUUUGGUGAUCAAAAAGCUAUCAAAACACCAAAACUUAACACAAUUUGAUUAGAAUUGAUUGCAAUGGUCCUUAAUAUACUAAUUGGGUUAAAAGGUGAUAACUACUACUCAAAAGUGUUUAAAAGAGUUAAUUACAAGCUAUGAAAUAGCACUUUUUGAGUAGUAAUCACUAGGCAAUAAGGAGACAUCCCAAUAAUGGUCUUGUAAGCUGUUCUAUAAGCCCAUAGUGAAUCAAGGAGCUUGACAGACCAAUCUUUUUUGUUCGUGUUCACCACCUUCAUCAAUAUGUUUUUAAUCUCCUGGUUUGCUAACUCAACUUGCUCACUAGUUUGAGGGUGGUAAGGUGUAGCUACCUUAUGCUUCACCCCAUACUUUGCUAGGAGAGUUUCAAAAGGCUUGUUGCAAAAAAUAGUACCCCCAUCACUAAUUAUGGCUUUGGGCACCCCAAAUCUUGAGAAGAUGUUCUCCUUGAGAAAGUUGAGAACCACUCUAUGGUCAUUGUGCUUGCAUGGGACUACCUCAACCCACUUAGAAACAUAAUCUACUCCCAUCAAGACGUAAGAGUAGUCAAAAGACAUAAGGAAUGGUCUCAUGAAGUCAAUGACCCAAACAUAAAAAAGAUCAACUAUCAAAAUAGGGUUCAAAGGCAUCAUGUUGCUACGUGUCAACUUCCCAACCCUCUGGCAUCGAUCACAACCCUUGUACAUGGUGUGGGCAUCUUUGAAAAGUGAUGGCCAACAAAAACCCGAUUGCAACACCCUCAUGGUUGUCUUUUGAGAAGCAAAGUGGCCUCCACAUGCAUUUUCAUGGCAAUGACUAAGGAUCCCCUGUUGCUCUUAUUUAAGAACACACUUCCUUAUUAUCUAAUCCGCACAAUACUUGAAUAGAAAUGACUCUUCCCAAUAGUAGGCAUGAAUUUUUGCAAAGAAGUACUUCUUAUCUUGUGCUUUCCACUCACUUGGAACUUCUCCCGUGACUAGGUAGUUAGCAAUGUGAGCAUACCAAGGAGCAACUUCCACCAACAUGAGAGACUCCUCUAGAAAAUUAUCAUUGAUGGGCAAACCAUGGGAAUUAUGUGUGAUAGCUAGCCUUGAAAGGUGGUCUGCUACCACAUUCUCCACUCUUUUCUUAUCUUUGAUCUAGAGAUUGAACUCUUGAAGCAAGAGGAUCCAUCUAAUCAGCCUUGCUUUAGCAUCUUGCUUAGUCAACAGAUACUUCAAAGCAGAGUGAUCAGUGAAAACCACAAUGAAGGACCCCCCAAGUAAGCACAAAACUUAUCCAAGGCAAAAACUACAGCUAAUAGUUCUUUCUUAGUGGUUGUGUAGUUUCUUUGUGCCUUAUUCAAUGUCUUGCUGGCGUAGUAGAUCACAUAGGGUUUUCCAUCUUCUCUUUGCCCAAGAACAGCUCCUAUGGCAAAGUCAUUGGCAUCACACAUUACCUCAAAGGGCAGUUGCCAAUUGGAAGCCCUCACUAUUGGUGCGGUUGUCAUAAAUAGCUUCAAUUGUUCAAAACUCCUUUGGCAUCUAUCAUCCCAUAUGAAUUUAGCAUCCUUCACCAAUAGUUCACAAAGAGGCCUUGCAAGCUUAGAGAAAUCCUUGAUAAACCUCCUAAUUGCCUUACUCCUUUGACAUUUGUUGGGGAUGGCAAUUUGACAAUGAGUUCAACCUUUGCUUUGUCAACUUCAAUGCCUUGCUUGGAGAUGAUGUGCCCAAGGACAAUCCUUUGUUGUACCAUGAAAUGACACUUCUCCCAGUUAAGCACUAAGUCUUUCUCAAUGCAUCGGUUCAGAACAGCUUCUAAGUUGACCAAGCAUUCAUCAAAUGCACUUCCAUAUAUGGUGAUAUCAUCCAUAAAGACUUCCAUAAUACGCUCCACCAUAUCACUGAAAAUGCUUAACAUGCAUAUUUGGAAAGUUGCGGGUGCAUUGCAUAAGCUGAAAGGCAUUCUCCUGUAUGCAUAGGUGCCAAAUGGACACAUGAAAGUGAUCUUUUCCUAGUCUUCAACAUUAAUUUCUAUCUUAAAGUACCCGGAGUAGCCAUCCAAGAAACAAUAAAAAGGAUGCCCAGAGACUCUUUCAAGGACCUGAUCAAUAACGGGCAACAGGAAAUGGUCCUUCCUUGUCACUGCAUUCAAUCUAAUGUAAUCAUACACACCCUCCAACCUAUAGUGAGGCGUGUAGAGACAUUUUCUCCCUUAUCAUUUUGCACCACCGUGAUCCUAGACUUCUUUGGCACAACUUGAGUAGGACUCACCCAUGGGCUAUCUGAUAUGGGGUAGAUAAUACUGGCCUGAAGCACUGUAAGAACUUCAACUCGCACCACCUCUUACAUGUGAGAGUUCAACCUUCUCUGAGGUUGACAAAUUGGCUUAGCUUAAUCCUCCAUGUAAAUAUGAUGGGUGCAGACUAAAGGGUUGAUCCAUUUCAAAUCAGAAAUUUGCCACCCUAUUGCCUUCUUACAUCUUAUAAGGACUUCAAGUAGACAAUCCUCUUGAUGAAUGGUAAGAGCUGAAGAUAUAACAAUAGAGCACUGCUUGUCUUCUUCCAAGUAUGCAUACUUCAACUCUGUGGGUAGUGGCUUAAGAAUAAGCUUUGGGGGCUCCUCCUUAGCAGCUCUUUGUGUCUCCUCCUCAUUGAAUAAGGGUAGAAUUUAUUCUCUCAUCCUCCAUGGAGACAGGAUAGCAAGUAAAUCUGAGGGUUCAGGUAACCCUUCAUCAAGAUCCCCAAGACUCUCAAUCAGAUCCUCAUGCAUUCUCUUAUCACAAUGCUCCUCCACUAAAGUGUCAAUCAUGCACACUUCCUCUAGACUUUCUUCUUCUUCCGGAUGGAUAUGCUUCUUGCACAAAUGGAAGAUGUUGAGCUUUAAUGUCAUGUUGUCAAACGUGAGUUGCAUGACUCCAUUCCUACAAUUGAUGAUUGCAUUUGAUGUAGCUAGGAAUGGUCUUCCAAGUAUGAUAGGAACAUAAUUAGUUCAUUUGACAACCGAAUCCAUAUCAAGAAAAACAAAAUCCACUAGAUAGUAGAAUUUGUCAACUUGAACCAAGACAUCUUUGAUCAUCCAUUUUGAAAUCUUCACUGAUUUAUCUGCCAGAGAUAGAGUGAUGGAUAUUGGCUUUAACUCUCCAAGUCCCAACUGCUUGUAGAUAGGGUAGGGUAGCAAAUUCACUCUUGCUCCCAAGUCCAACAAAGCUUUCUCCACACAAGUCCCUCCAAUACUCACUGAGAUGGUAGGGCAGCCCGGAUCUUUGAACUUCACUAGAGACUUGCACUAUAUGAUGGCACUCACUUGCUCAGUCAAGAAGGCUUUCUUGUUCACAUUCAACCCUCUCUUUACAGUGCACAAGUUCUUUAAGAAUUUUCCAUAUGUCGGCACUUGUUUGAUCAUGUCUAGCAAAGGGAUAUUGACCUUCACUUGCCUCAACACUUCAAAAUUUUCUGUUGCAUUAUUGGUUCCCUUUUUUCCAUGCAAAGCUUGAGGGAAAGGUAGAGGCAUGUGUUUCUUCAUCAUAUCUUCCUUGAUGACUAUCCUCUCGAGUUCUUCAUCCACACUAGAAUCAUGGUCAUCUUUCUUUGUACUUUUCCCUUUUCUCUUUCCUUUAAUUUCCUUACUCUUUUCUUUUUUUGCUACACUCUCUUUAUCAUGCUUUGGCUUAGAUGUGGGUUGAUCAACCUCUUUACUACUCCUCAAGGUGAUAACUGCUUUGACUUCCCUCACUUUUGAAGAUUCUCCCUCUUAAGCCUCCACUUCAUGGAUACCCUUGGGAUUUUGAUGAGGUUGAGAAGGAAACUUUCCUUUCUCUUCCACUAUGUUGAGGUUGGUAAGCCUUAAGAUUGCGUAUUGGACAUUGUGUAUCUUUUGAGACAGAUCAUUUUGCAUCCCAUCCAUCAUUUUGUUCAAUGUACUCUCCACACUGUCAAUUCUCUGAUUCAGUUAAGUAUCGAUGGACUUCUGAUCUCCCACAAAGUCUCCCACAACCUUGCUAAGGUUCACAAUAGCUUGUUCAAGAUUCGAGACUUGCUGAGGUGCUUGAGCAGGUUGUGUGUACUGAGGUGGCUUUGGUUUCCAAGAGAAAUUUGGAUGGUUCCUCCAAUUUGAAUUGUAGGUGUUGCCAUAUGAAGCAUUUUUAUUGGGCUUGAAUUAACCAAUAACAUUUGCUUGAUCACCAAACAUCUCUCUCACUGCUGGAAUGGUAGGACACUUUUCCACCAAGUGCUCAUAAGAUUGACAAAUGGAACAAGGCAUAGCUUGCACUGAUGUCUCAGAAAUGGCUUGCACUUCUUGUACCUUCUUCAUUUCUAGCUUUUCCAAUCUCCUUGCCAUAGUUGCAACCUUUGCCUUCAUGUCAAUAUCUUCAUUCAAAACAUACAUCCCACCCUUAGCAUUAGGUUGAGACUUCAUUCUUCCCACCUCUCUAGUGUUUGGUUCAUCCCAUCCUCUUGAAACUUCAGCCACAUAACUCAAAAAGUCCAUGGCUUCCUCCGGAUUCUUACUCAUGAAGUCUCCUCCACACAUAGUUUCUAGGAGUUGCUUCAUUGAAGAAGACAUACCAUCGUAAAAAUAGCUCACUAAGAGCCAUGUGUCAAACCCAUGGUGAGGACAAGCAUUAAUAGCUUCCAUGUACCUCUCCCAACACUCAUAGAAUUUCUCAUUCUCUUUAGCUAAGAAGUUUGAAAUUUGCCUUUUCAAACCAUUGGUCCUAUGAGUAGGGAAGAACUUCUUGAGAAACUCGGCUUGCAAAUUAGUCCAAGUUCAGAUACUCCUUGGCCUUAGAGAAUUGAGCCAAAUCUUGGCCUUAUCCUUCAAGGUUAAAGGAAAUAGCUUGAGCUUCAUCAAGUCAAUUGAAGCUCCUCCUUCUUGGAAUGUAUUACAAACCCUUGUCGAAUUCCUUAAUAUGCGAGUAGGGAUUAUCCCUUUCCAUCCCAUGGAAAGUAGGUAGGAGUGGCACAAUGUGAGGUCGGAUUACUAGCUGCUCAGUGGGAGGCAUUAUGCAUCAAGGUGCACUCAUAUGAGGUGGAUGCAUGUGGUCCCUCAUGGAUUGGUAUGCAUUGAAAUUAUCCUCUUGACCAUGUUGGCUAUUUUGGUCUUCAAGUGGAACAUCCAUGAUGUUCAAGCACACUUCCAACUCAGUUUCUUGAGGAAUUUCAAUCUUCACAAGUCUUCCCUUGAUAUCUCUUAUCCAAUAGGGCAUGCACAACUAGAGAUCACUGAAACAAAAACAAAGAAAACAAAAGAAAUACGAUUCUAGAAAGAGGUUAAGGUUAACUAAAAACUAAAUAAAAGAUAAGCUAAAAUAGAGAUAGAAAAAGAAUUAGUAAAAGAAAAAUCACCAAACUUGUGAUGAAGAUCAUAAGUGUUCACCAAAACUAAUGUCAAUGGACUUUGGCACCAUCCCCGACAGCGGCGCCAUUUGUUUCGUCCUUGACAGCGGCGCCAUUUGUUUCACCCCCAGCAACAACGCCAUUUGAUUCUUGCGCCUGAUGGGUGUUAUCAACAAAAUUUAUAAAACCUAAAUCACCUUACACUAGGGUAGCAUGGCUCCUAUAGUAUAGUGGCUCUAGGAUCGUCCACAAGGAUGGGUUUUCUUCAUACAAGUGACUUUAGUGAAGGUAAUGAAAUGAUGCUUUUCCUUGUGAAAAUUAGCUUUUAAAGAAAAUGGAAUUGUGGUUGAAAAAGUUGAUUUUAAGUUAAUAAAAAAUAGCAAUUGAAGUUAACUACAAAGAGAAUGUUUCUUGGAGCUUUACGUCACUAGGAUAGGGUUCCUUAGGAAAAAAGGGAGAUUCUGGAUCUUCUCCUCGCAUUGGGGACAAUAACAUAAAGGAUGGUUAUCUCCCGAACCAGUUUUGUAUUUAUCAAUUAAGAUUUGAUCCAAAGCGUUCAUGAAACAUGGUAGUUGCUUCCCAUUAAUGGCUUCAAACACUAAAGACCCUCACCUUGAACCACCUUCCGAUGGCUCGUAAUUGAUAACUAAUGAACAUCCAUGGAUCUAGUAAUAAGCAUCCAUAGAAUCCGGAAAGCUUACCAAGUAUUGGCCAUUCAAGGUGAUUCUCACCUUGAACCACCUUCCAAUGGCUCGUACUUGAUAACUAAUGGACAUCCAUGGAUCUAGCAAUAAGCAUCCAUGGAAUCCAGAAAGCUUACCAAGUAUUGGUGAUUCAAGGUGAUUCUAAGGGAUUUAAAGUUAAACCUUGAAAUAAAAACCAUUAAGGGUUAACAAUUACCUUCAUUUAAAGCAAGGAAAACUCCCACAUUUGCAUCCGAGUCCUUCACCUAGUUUCCAUCACUCCUAGAAACGUAAAACUUAGCCACUCAUCCCCUGAGAAAUUAUCCUCAGAGGUUGUUUGGCUAGAAAGAAAAAUGAAAACAAAAAUGAGAAGGAAAGGCAGAGCAAGGGCUUUGUAUAUUUCUUCCUACGGGAAUUACAAGUGUCGUCGUUUAAGAUUUUACAAAAAGAUAUAUAUAUAUAUAUAUAUAUAUAUAUAUAUAUAUAUAUAUAUAUAUAUAUAUAUAGAGAGAGAGAGAGAGAGAGAGAGAGAGAGAGAGAGAGAUCUUUACAGGCCCCCUUUAUAGUUCCUAACCAAGAAAUCCUAUCAUUGGUUGAUUACAAGGAGAAAAUAGUAAUUUACACAAAAAUCUGGAGAUAAAAAUCUAAUGGGGUCGAUGCACAAGAAUAUUUCGCAGACCAUGCGAAAUUUUGCAUGGUGUGGUUUCGCAAGGUGUGCGAAAUUGUCCUUCACUCAGUCCUGCAACUGCUUCUCUUGAUUUCGCAUGCUAUGAGAAAUUGCUACAUGUUGGAUUUCUUCCUCUGGUUUUCUUCCUUGCAUCUCUGAUUGACUUGGCAACCUAUUGCCAAGCUUGACAAAGGACUAUGAAGUGCUCCAAAACUCGGAUUCUUCAUGUAUUUGAGCUUCAACUUGCAUUGCCAUGGAUUGCACAAAAUUCUCCCUCAUUCUUUGCUUGUUUUAAUGAUAAAAAAGCUACCAAAAACACCAAAACUAGCCAAAAACUGAUUAGUAACCCUUGCUAGGUUCCUUAAUGUGCCAAUUGGUUAAAAAGUAUUAACUACUACUCAAAAGUGUUUAAAACAAUUAAUUUCAAGCUAUAAAAGAGCACUUUUUGAGUAGUUAUCACACUACAAUCUUCUUAUUCGGAGUGGGCUUCUCCCAUUUGAACCUCUUCACCAAAUGAUGCAUGAACACAAGUAAUCUCCAAAUGGUCGUAUUCUUUUCCAAGGCACAUCCAAGGUCCUCCUCCAAAUGAUGGGUUGAAUUUUUUGGGGUUUGGGAAGUAUUUAGGUUAUAUUUGGUUCCCAAGAAGUAUUAAGGAAAGAAAAAAAAUCUAAUAAGAAAAAUGAUUUUUUCAUGUUUGGUUUCAUUAUAAAAAAUAUGAAAGAAAAUAAAAUAUAAUUAAAAUUAGUUAAAAAUUUAUAUAAAAAAAUAAAUUAUUGACUUUAGAUCUUUUUUUUUUUCUUCACUUUUUUCUUUUCUUUACAUUCUUCUUUUCUAUUUUCUUUUUCUUACAUUUUUCCUCACUCGGGAACCAAACAUGCUAAAGAAGUAAACAUGGGAAUAAACAAAUAGCAAGACUCAACCACAACUCGUUUGACACUAUAUUAAGUUGUUGAUUAGCAUUAUGUUUGGUUCCUAAAAAGUAUCGAGGAAAAAAAUGUUAUGAAAAAUGAUUUUAUCAUGUUUAGGUUCACUACGAAGAUAUGGAUAAAAAAAAAUAUGAUUAAAAUUAAUUAAAAAUAUAUGUAAUUUUAAAUUAUUUGAUAUUUUUUUACAUAAAAGAGAAAAAGAAGUAAAAUGAAUUUUAAAAAACAUAUAAAAAUAAUUUAUUUAUUUUUCUUUUCUUCUAUUUUCCUCUUCAUUUUCUUUUCCUCGUAUAUUUGUCUUAAAUUUUCUAGGAACCAAGCAUAGGCUUAGGGUUUUUCGGUGUGUUGAAUUUAUACUGCAAUAUAAAUGCAUGGUAAUAGUUAUAUAAAUCACAAGUGAUAAAGAACUAAAUGAGGGAAUAACCAAACAAAUAGAUUCAAAGUUGAAGCCCAUGGAAAUUAACCACCUCUCAUGGUACAAUACUAAGUUACUAAUUAAUGGAAGAACUAUUGAUAAAAGGUAAUGAUAUAUAUUAAGUUAAAUUAUUACAAAAUCAUAUUAGUAUUUCAUCGUAAUUACAUGGUAUGUUUAUAUCGAUCACCAACAAUAGAUAAAUAAAUGAAGAAAUAAAUAAACAAUGAGACUUAAACUUAGGACUUGUAGAAAUCAAAUCUUAAUACUAUAUAUUUUAAGCUAGCAAUUCAUUUAGAAACUUAAGAUAUUAGGUAAUGAACAAAAAAUAUAUUUAUCAAACUAAUAUUAAUGAUGAUCACAUAGUUUUAUUUUACUUGAUGUAAUAUAACUAAGUGGUAUAGGUUACACAAAAUAUAAAUAAUAGAGAAAUAAAUAGACAAAAAUAUUCAAACCUAGAUCAGUAAAAACUAUAACACCUCUAGUAGAAUGUUGAGUCGCUGCUUAACCUAAAAAACUUAUUAAUAAUGCCAGUCUUCAAGAUAUCAUCGCAUCAACAAGAUUCUCAUAGGAACUGGGAAGUGAACAAAGUAGCAGGACAACCUAGUCCUUGUCUUCAAUCUUUACAUUAGCACUCUUCAAAUCAAGAAUAAUCUUGUUAGAUAGAUCAAGAUGAUCCUUAAUUGUCAUGCCUUCAUCCAUCUAAAGUUGAUACAACUUGUUUGUAAGAGACUUUGUGAUGCGACUCAUGGUAGCUUAGCUUUAAAGGCGUAUCAACAAAAUUUAUACCUUAAAUACUGUUACUAAAGUAGCCAAGCUACUAUAGCAUAGUGGUUCUAGGAUCGUUCACUGGGAAGGGUUUUCGCAAACACUAGUGAUAUUCAAAUUAGGAAAAUAUGUGAUUUUCUUAUGGAUGUUAGCUUUAAAAGAAGAUGUAAAUGUUUUAGAAAGAUUUAAACUAAUCUAAGCUAACAUUAAACACUUAAAUGAAAGGGUGUAAAAACAAAUUUCUCAAAGAUAGGAUAGCUAUGCUUUGGCUCUUAUGCAAAUUGGAAAUCUCAGGAUAGGCUCCUCGCGUUGGGAUUGCAACUAUGGUGAUGCUUGCUUCCCAUACCGGUAUGGAUUUAGCAAAUCAAGUUUUAAUCCUUUAAAAUGGCAAAACAGAUGGUAGUGAAUUUCAUCAAUGGUUAUUCACCUUAGACUUCCUUUGAAUGGCUCGUAAGAGAUAACUAAUGGUCUAAAGCCAAAAGCUUACCAAAUAUUGGCAACUCAAAGUCAUUCCAGGUGAUAAACUCGCCUUUCAAUGGCCAUUGAAAUUGGUUCUAACGGAUUAAUGCAAAACUUGGAAUUGAAAACCUCACCUUCCAAUAGCUCGUAGGAGAUAACUAAUGGAUAGAAAUCCAAAAGCUUAUCAAGUAUUGGCCUUUGGAAGUUGUCCAAAGGAAAUAAAAACCAAACUUUGCAUUAAUGAACCAUUAAUGAAAAACGACUACCUUACCUUCCAGGUGCGAGAAAUUUCCAUGGGAUUGCAUCCAAGCCAUCACAUAACAUCCAUACUUUGAGAAACUAAAAGUUUUAGCCAAUCAUCCUCUGAGGAAAAGCCCUCAUAGGUUGUUUGGCUACUAAGAAAAUAGAAAUGGGGAAGAACAGGAGAAGAGAGAAAAACAGAGCUUUAUAUAUUUCUAAGUUAAUGUACAGAGGAUUGAUCCCCAAUUCCCCCCAAUAUCUUUUGGAGGCGUUGUGCACCUCUAUAUAUAGCAAAAUUACAAGAUAAAGCCUUAAGUCGGCUCAAUACAAGGUUACAAAAGGAAUUUACACGAGAAAAUAUCAAGCUAAAAAUAUAUGGGAAGUCGGUGGUGCAUGCGUGGAGAAACAGAGGAUUUCAAAGGCAUUUUCGAAAGGGGAAAGAUGAAGGGUCCAAAUUUCGCAAGGUGAAAAGCCACCUUGCGAAAUUUCGCAAGGUGGUUCUUCAUGGUGCGAAAUGGCCAAAUUUCGCACCAUGAAGAAAAUCUCCUUGCGAAAUGAUGUUCCCAUGGAUUGAUGCAGUUGUCUUCCGAAUGCCAUAUCUUCCUCAUUUCAGCUCCAAAUCGUACACAGUUUGAAGCGUUAGAUUCUUGACUUCCUGAGAUUUGAAAUGGUAUAUAGAAUGUAGAAAAUGAACUUCGGAAAGUGCUCCAAAAGUGCGAAAGAAGACUGCAGCUUCUGUCAUUUGUUUUCUUCACUUUGCUUGUUUUUCCUCUUUGCUUCUCUCCUUUACUUGGCUUGUCUUAAUGAUCCAAAAAGCUGUCAAAACACUAAAACUAGCCACAAAUAUGAUUAGAAGUCAUUGCUAGGUCCUUAACAUGCCAAUUGGAAUAAAGAUGGAGAACUACUACACAAAAGUGCUUAAAACAUAAUGAAUUAAAGGUGUAAAAUAACACUUUUUGGGUAGUAAUCACUUUGUCAUGUACAGACUUUCUAAUUUCAACCAAAUUCCCAAAGUAGUAGUUUCAUCUGAAACUUCCUUGAGAAUUUCAUCUCCCAUAUGACAAGAUGAUUGUAGCUUGCACUUUACUCAUCAAAUCUUUCGUCUCAUUUUCAAACAAACUACUAGGCAGUUUUUCAAACCAUCUAAGAGCAUCUUCCAACCUUCGAUGGACCAGCAGUGCUCUCAUCUUAAUUCGCCACAAAUUGAAGUCAUUGCCUUUCGUGAACUUCUCGAUGUCAAACUUUGUAGUUGUCAUUUCAACCUUCCUUUCAUACCAAUUUGUUAUGAACAAAGUAAUAAUAACUCAGAAAAUAGCAGCAAGUCUAUUGAGAAAGAUUGAGAAUUAAUUAAAACCAACACAAACAAGUACACAUUAGACACAUAAUUUACGUGGUUUGGGUAAUAUCCAAUAUUCAUGAGCAGGCCCAGAUUAUUUCUUCAAUUAUUGAACUAGAAUUGUACAAAGUCUUUCCUUUUCAUAGUGUUUCCCAGAGAUUUUAAACACCAAUCUCCCUUACUAAAAUUGAAAACUCUGAACGAAAAAAACUCUACAAUACAUCCAUCAAUUUUUUUUCCACAUUAUUAUAUGCUUUGAGAUCAACACCACCAGAGACAAAAUAGUUGUCUUUUCUUUAAAGAGAUAUAUUGCAGCACUGCGCACUGUGAUACAGCCAUCAUUGGAAGAAGACAAACCAGAGCUAGACCACAAGGGCUAAUGCUGAGGAAGAUAAUUAAACUUGUUGGCAGAAUGGCCAAGACUUCAAUUGUACAGUAUAUGUGCCAUACACCUUUAAAUGAAAGACUAAUCAUUGCUGAAUUUUUGUGGGUCGUUGAUUUUUAGAAUAAGUCCAAAUUUUCUUUUAGAAGAUACUAUAUUGUAUAUUAAAAAUUAUUAUUAUUUUAGAUUUAGAAGAAAAGGAGCCUUCAGCAAGUGAAUUAUAAGACAUUAAUCACGUAAGCAUGAUGCCAAUGAGAUCUCCUAGACAGAUUCCAAGAUUUCUGUGCUUUGAUUUUGGUAGAAUCCUAUCUUCUUAGAAAUGAAUUAGAAAAAGGGUUCACUUACCUUACCAAGUAUAAUUGUUUGUACCCGAUCUCAUUUCUUUGUAUUCUUGAAUUGUGAUUCCAUUUGUUUGUAUUUUCACUUGACGGUUUAUAUCUCGUCAUAUACAUUCAAUGAUCCAAUCCAAAUUUAAAGUUGAUGGAUACCACCACGUAACUUAGAAAAAAAGCAUCCAAAUUAAUGCCUGUUCCAUUCUUGGUUAGUGUGCCGCGAGGUACUCCUGUGCUGCAUGUCUCCUUUAUUCAAUUAGGUUGCGAAGCUAUAUACAAAUGAGAAAUGAAGGGUAGUAUGUAGAUAUGAUUUCAGAGAAAGGACAGUUUUUUUGGAAGGGAGGGAGAGUUAGAAAAUGUGGAGGCUUAAGAUUGCAGAUGGAGGCAAUGAUCCCUACAUCUUCAGCACCAACAACUUUGUGGGAAGACAGAUAUGGGAGUUUGAUCCUGAUUAUGGAACCCCAAAAGAGCGAGCUAAGGUCGAAGCAGCUCGUGAAAAUUUCUGGAAAAAUCAGUUUCGGGUUAAGCCCAGCAGUGAUCUUCUCUGGUGAAUGCAGGUGAUCCCAUCUGUGUCAAAAUCUGCAAGAACACGUAGGAACAUGAAUAUAUAGUAUAUGUAGGGUAUGCAUGCUUAUGUGACUGAACCAAAGAAAUGGUUUAGCUUCAAAGAUUGUCUCCUUACGAGAGUAAGAGAUUUUACAAGACGAUGUAAAUGGUCUGGUCUGCAGUAUCUUUUUCUCUUGAGUAGAAUUCAACACUAAAAAGGUUAGACCUUAUUCUACUUCUUUAAUUAGUUAAUUUAAUGUAUUGAAGAAUAAUAUAAUGAGAAAGUGGCAAUUCAAAUUUGGGCAGGGUGAACACCUUGGGCUUAGAUUAAUUAAUUAAUCUUGUUCUCGCUUAUGUCUUCAACUUCUUAUACAUUCUAUAUAUAUAUAUAUAUAUAUAUAACAUGUGAAAUGAAAAAGUUGAAGAAAGAAACUGAAAAAAUAGAUGAAUUUAACAGAAAUAACUGCCAUAUUAGUCCAUGUAAUGUUAAGAAUCUUUUUAUAGAUAGAAAGAGAUAUAUAGAACAGCAAUUUUGGACUUAAUAUUAGUAUAGAUGCUUUGUACAGAUUGUUAGGGUUAACUUCAGGCUGGACCCUGGGCCCAAAUCCAGCACAACCCAACUGAAUUGAAUAGAUCAUAGGCCCAUUGGGUGUUGAACUUGUUCUAGGCAGACAGGACUUCAGUGGUAACCCACCCAAAUUAAGUAUGAAUCCUGUGGCCACCAGUACAGUAUCUCCCUUUGGUUCAUGGAUAAAAACUUAAAUCAUCUGAAUGACUCUUUUACUUUGGUUAUCAUUAAAAGAGAUUUUUAGGACACUAGGACAUUCUCUAUGCUCGAUAUUAAUGGAAUAUGGAAGGUUUACUAGUUUCUUGUCAUGACUGAUCAUUAAUAUAAGAUAUAAGGUCACUGUUAAAACAUGUGAGUUAUCAGAUAAGAUUUUAAUGGGCAAAGAUAAAGACACAAACCUCUUUAUUUUUUAAAUUGGGGAAAUAGAUAUGUAUUGAUGAAAACUUGACCUACCAUCAAACGAGACUCACUUCCCUUCUUGAUCUAGUUAUUGUGCGCAAGGGUUGGGGUGGCCAUUGGGCAUCAUCUUGCCCAAAUCCAUAGGAAAGAGUAUCACAUGGGUUGGACUAUUGUUGUGAUUCAUGGCAGAGUUGGCCCUGAUUGGGGCUAAUAUCUAGGAGGUGAUUCUUGGUUCUGGGUUUUUGCAGCUUUGGGUUGGAGUUCUAGUUACUGCAUCUGAUUGGUAAGUCUUUUGAUUUUUAAAUUGCACUUUAUUAUCUAAUAUUUUGCAAUUGGUUUAUUAAAUUUAACCUUUCAUGAAAUGUCAACGUCUUCAAUCUCAGUGUAAUAUAUUUUAGGUUUUGAAUAGAUUUUGCUGGAGUUGUAUGUUUUUAAUUAUCUAUUUUAGGAUAUGUUUUAAGGUAUUUUAGACCUCUUAAAACAGUCAUUAUCAACUCAUCAUAAAUAUGUUUUAUGAUUUUUCAUGUUGUACACGACAUUGAGGGAAUAUUUUAAAGGAGAUGAUAUUCUCUAACAGAAUCGAGUUCAUUGCUCCCUCUUUCACGAAUAUAGCUUUGGUUGUCAUUGCUAAAAUUUAAUUAUGUGAUGUGCUUCUAUUUUGGAUAGAGGGAGUCAUAGUGGUAGCCUUUAAGUGGGAAUAUGAAGUUGGAUCUCAUGCAUUUGCUUGGUUGAGAUAUACAAGGCUUACAUGCUCGGGCUCUAUUGAAACUCCAAGAAUCAACAAGGAAAGUCACUGACAGUUGUUUUCCCAGGUUUCAUCAUUCACCUCAUCAAAGCUUUAUAUAAAGAUGAUGUCUUCCCAUAGUGUGGGUUGUGUGUGAGCUCUCCUUUAUUUGUUGUAGAUUGGAGCUGGUGGAUUCCUUGAGAGACAAGCAAAAAAUAUUUCAUCCAAAUGGACUAGAGUCAGAAUAUGCCCAGUUGUUGUUUGCAUAUGCAAAAUCAUCAUCACUAUUGAGAGAAACUGUAUUUCAUUUUCUAGAAAGGUUGAAUGGAGAUGAGACGUAAUAAAGGGUCAGAGGAUUAUUAAGACACUAAAAAACAAAUAAGAGAGAAGAGAUUUGUUAAGAAGUGAAUGGGGCAUCAAAGUGGAUGAAGAAUGAUUACAAGUGGAUGUCCUCUUUGUUGGUAGUUUGCAUUUGUCACUCAUCCCCCUGUUUUUAGCCAUCUUGGUUUUAAUUUUUUUUUUUCUCCAAUUCCUUUUCCCAUGCUGUACCUUGCACCCUGAACCUGCUAUUUGUCUACAACCUUAGGUGAUGAGACACAUUUGACUCUAUAAUAUUUUUAAAAAUAGUUUUUAAUAGUAGCUUCUAAAAAAAAUUAGAAACAAAAUUUUAUUUCAAGAUUCAAAUGUCAAAUACCUUAUUUAUUGGUGAUUAUAUUUAUUAAUAAAACUCAGCAUAAGUAGCUCUGGUGUUUGUACAUGUCCUCGCUUCUUUCAAAACUUAGAAAAGUUGAACUUCAUUUGAAUUCCUAUAUUGAUGGCCUUGUGAGCACAUAAACAAAGCAUAUUUAAAAGAGAGCAUAUUUAUUAAAAUUUAAUAUCUUAAUAAAAUAGAUGUAUCAAAUUAUUCUUUUCAAGUUUUACAUGAACACAAAUUAGUGUAACCAACUUUUGUCAGCUUUUGAUUAGUUCUCAUCCAAUGAAAUAGAUGAUUGGUUGCAAUUUUUCUCAACAAGUUUGAGACCUUGAAAAUCAAUUGCAAAGGAAAGGAAAACCAGAUUAAAAUAGCCGCCAAAGACCAUAGCAGAGAAAAAGUAUAGGAAAGGAAAACCAGAUUAAAACAACCAUUGGGUAAAAUAAAACUUAAUGUUGUUAAUCUCAUUGCAUCAUUCACUUUAGUUUCUAAAUCUAUAUUAUUUAAAUUUCUUAGAAAUAUGCAUGUAAGUAAGACUUCUUACUUGGGAUGGAUGGAAGCAACCAACAAUGGCUUGCUUAUUCCUUCCAAUGCUCAUAGUGAGAAGAUCAACCCAAUGCUGACUGAGGUUACGAAAUAGGAAAUCCCAUAGGAGGAUCUUCAAAUUGGUGAACGUAUUGGCAUUGGUAAGAAUUUAUUCUCCUGGAUUUAUUCAUUCUUGUUGAAGAAGAAAAAAUCUUUUGGUAAUAGGAAAUACUUCAUUUAUUAUCUAUUUAAUAGAGGUUCCUUAUAUUUUGUGUUUCACUUUACUUUUGAUGAUGUGACAAAAAAUCUUUGAAUUUUUUGGCAAAUUAUGAUACUUCAAAAUGAGUUUCAAACAUAAUAUUUAAAUAGUUGAUGGAUAAUGAUAAGAAAUAGAGAUGCUUAAAUCAAGCUUUAAUUAAAUAAACCAUUUUCUUACCAAAAAUAAAUUCCAAGGUUUUAACACAAAACAGAAUGAGAAAGGAAUAUAUAUAUAUAAUCCCUAAAAAGAAGUUAUUAUUGAAAAUGGAAGACAUUAUACGAUGACUCUUGAAAAACUAUUGUUAAAUUAUAUAAGAUUAUUUGAUAAUAAAAUUUUGCACUUUAUCAACCAGAUUAAUUGUAAAAAAUAACAAAGAAAGAAGUAUAAAAAUGUCAAGGCCAAAUGAGAGCUUAUUUAGUGAGGCUAACAUCCUUUUGAAUUCUUAAUAUUUGAGAGGUUUUGGAAACAUGUUAUUUCUAGAAGAAUGCCGCUCUUAAGAUUAAUUUCAGGCAAGCCUACAAAUCAAUGAGAAUUAAGAAGAAUACUAGAGCUACUCUUGAGUGGGAAUGUAGCUUUGACAAAGUUUGAUCCAGGGGGUUUCCCUCUUAGGUUUAUGUAAACUAGGAUGAAAUCCAAACAGAUUUCUUCUUUCUGUUUAGAUCAUUAGAAGUACUUCCAUUGAUUACAAUUCUGUUGUAGGUGCGAGCAUUUAGAAGUUUAGAGUUCUAUGUGUGCUACCAAUGAUGUUUUCUUUAUUUUUUUUCCAUUAUUUUUCUUUUGAUUUUAUGAGUUCUACACUUGUUGCUCUUUAAAUCUAUUUGUAUUUUUAGAAUUUCCACAUGUUCUAGAAGUUCUUAAGCAUUGCCAUAAACAUGAGUAUUUUUUUAUGUCCAUGUACAAAUGCUAAAACACCCUCUAAGAAACUCUAACUCAUCUAGAAAAUUGAUAGUUAUAUAUUUGUUAAAGAUACUCUAUCAAAAUUAAAUUUUGGCUUUAGGGUGGUUGGUAAAUUAGCAUUUAUCUCCAAACAUACGAGAGAUUUCACCCAAAAACCAACUGGUGUUCAUUCACUAUUAUUACUUUAUAGAUUAGCUCUAUAGAUGUUUUCUCCCAUUUUCUAAUGCUUUCACUAGUUUUUUUAGCUUUUUGCUAAGUUAUCCUUGAAGUUUUAGGUGUUAGCAUGGAACUUCUGGUGACUAUCAUGCCUUUAUUGUAUAGCUUUUCCACCAAGGAAAUGGUCAAGCCUCCUACUUGGUUAAUUAGGCAUUUAGUCUAUUUUACGUGAUCUCUUUUCUAUAUUAGGGCAUUUGACCUCCUUACGUUGGAUGUCUUGUUUCCCAAUUAUUUUGUUUGGAAUAUUGAGGCAUGCAUUAGAGUUGGUAAUUAUUUUUUGGAUGCAUGCAUUAGAGCUGUUAAUUAUUUUUUUCCUAUCAGAAAAAAAACACACCCAUUUAGAGCCCAUUAGUGAAUGAUUUUGAGAGAGUGAGAAAAACUUGAAGUACUUUGUUAUAGAAAUUAGGCAUUUGAAAAAAUUUUGAAAAUCACUUUUAAAAUUUUGGAUAAUCACUACAUAGGUGAUUCUUCCAAAAAUUAUUAUUAUUAUUUUUUGGUUAUGUGACAUAUUACCAAAAACAAUAUCAAAUCAUUUUUUUAUUUAUAGCCAAACCCCAAGUUAUUCUCUUUAAAAGUGGUCAUAAUGGAAGUGUUAUUAACAAAAGUAUCAUAGACUAAAAGUGCUACAGGCUAAAAGCGCUUUAAUCAAGGUAACUCUCGAACAGACUCUUUGUCUCAUGAAGGUCAUCCAUGGUAAAUGAUAUGAUUUAUUUCUAAUUGAUACACAUUAAUUUUGGAUGUCAAUUUUACUAAAGUCAUUGAUUUUGUGAAAUGGUAAGAUAAUCAAUUGGGAUUUUUUUAUUGGUAAUAAUCAAUUGGGUUCUUAUGUUUGAAUGUAUAUCUAAAGAUGAAAGAAUGUCUAUUCUCAGUGAAUAUUGCAUCUUGUUGUCAUAAUUAGAAGCCUUAAUCACAUUUGGUCAUAAAAUAACUCUUAAAGUUCGGGACAUACUUUCGCUAUUAAGUUUGGGACAAUCUCAAAACAGAGAAAUAAAAGUACUUUGGAGUUUCUAAUUCAAUUCCCCUAUUUUUUAUUUUAUUUUUUAGUGUUUUUGAAGCUUCCUUAAUGUUUAUAGGUAGAGAUGGUUAUGGAAAAUUGGUUCAAAGAGCGUUGGAAACCCAAAGGCAUCUUGUAGAUUCUAAUUCUAAGUCAGUUCCAGGAACAAAAUCUUUUCAUAUAGAUAUCUGGUUUCCUGACAACAUAUUGCAUAUUUUGGCUUCUUUUAUGGAAAAUUCCAUGUUUUUUGCUCAUGUAGUCAUUGCAUUUCAAUCUUAUUGUUAUCAUGUUCUCAAUAACUUGACUUUUAGACUUAGAACUCCUUUAAAGCAAUUCAGUGAUCCCAAAUGAUAAUUAUCCUUUCUUACUGCUUAUUGAUGAAGAACAUUUAUCCACAAACUAAGAUGAAUAUAUAUAAAUUUUUUUUAAGCAAAGAUAUUUUAUUGAAGAAGUGCCUAAUAGAUGGCUUACAACCCAAGUAUACAAAAAGUAUAUAAAGCCUGCCAAAUAAUUUUUAUUUCCUAUUUUUUCUUUUCUUACUUGUGAUUAAAAAAUGUGAAAACUAUUUUUAAAAAGUGAAAUUAUAAAAUCUUGUUUGAUGUGGAGUUUUUGCUCAUGUAAAAAAUUUAAAAUAAACAUACUUAAAAUUUUAUAUAAUAUACCUGUAAUGUUGUGGAAUAUAUUAUUAUAAAGGAUAUUAUUAUUAGUAUUAUUAUUAUUUAAGGUUCCUUUGAGGGGUUCUAUCUAACUUUCAUAGGUUGUUUUCCUCGUUAUCUUUUUAAUACAUUCUUUUUAAAGAUUUUUGGUCUUUUGCUGAUUUUAUUUUGUAUUGUACUCUCUGCACAUCAUCUUAUUAGUAGUGAUAUUUCUCAGGGUGCUCAUUAGAUGGGCCACUGCCAUGACAACACAGGAUUGUUUGUUGGCACUCAGUAUUGUUUUUUUUUUAAAUGUAUACAGGUAAAAGAUUUCAAGUUCAAGAGUAGAUAUGCAACCAACAUGUACUUUUGGCUAGAAAUAAUUUUGGCUUCUUCUUCUUCUUGUAAUAUUAUUUUUGAUGAGGAAUUUAGAGACCUUGUUUUUUGGUACAUGUGUACUUGUUUUUUCUUGAAGUUGGAAAAUAUGCUUGUUGUAAAUAUUUUGAUACAUUUACAAAUUUACGUAUUAAUUAACUAUGUAGACAUUAGUUCUUUAUCAUGAUAUUAUUCCCAAAUUUAUUCAAUUUCUUUUGGAAGAUAUAGUUAUUAAUAUUGAAGUUAUUGUUUUGUACUUUAUAAAAAAUCAUGCAGCCAAAAUUAUAUAUAACAGGAUAUACAAAAUAUGUCAUUUUAAUAGGGGGGUUUUCAAUAUUAUUAUCCACAUAAGAUGACACUUUUUUGAGUGUCAAAAUAGACAAAUGAUAUUUUGGACAUUCAUUGGCGCUAGUGUAAGUGUUAACAUAGGUAGAUCAAUAAUGACGCUUUUCAAGGUGUCAAUAUAGAUCAAUCAACAAUGACGCUUUAUAAAGCGUCAAAGAUAAUGAACAUUAAAGAUGACGCUUUAAAAGUGUCAACAUUGAAAAUUUGGUGGAAUAAUGGCACUUAAAGAAUGUCAUGCUUUUGGAAAGAUGACACUUGGAUCAGUGUCAAUGUAAGUGCUUUUAUAAAUGACGCUUUCUAGAAGCGAUAUGGUUGUCUGCACCCAUUCCUUGACAGGGGCGAAAAGGACGCUUUUGAGAAGUGUCAUCUUAUACAUUUAUUGACGCCUAAAAAGCGUCAUUAUUGCCCUUCUUUCUUAUAGUGUACGGUUCAAUGAGUUCAAUGUGCAACAAGCUCUCCUACUAUGCGUCAGAUACGUCAUCUUCAUUUCUACUAACGAAAAAUGAAAUAGAAAAUUUAACGGUGAGAAUGGAGGAACUUUAUAAGAGUAAUUUGAAAGGCAAAAAAGUAGCAGCAGAUGGAGCCACAAGUCCUCACCAAGUUCGUGAUCCAAAUAUAUUGAAGACUAAAGGAAAUCCAAGCAAAGUUGCAUCAAAUUUUCAAAAAGGAAGACUAUGUAGUUGUUGUAAAAGAGUGGGCCACACAAUUUGAAAGUUUCCAGAAGCUACAAUCCGUCAUACUGGUAAUCAGCGUGAUAUGGUAUGUGAGAUUGAAUAAGAAUUUGUCGCUAAUCUAAAGCUUUUUAGGUGUACUUACAUAAAUAACUAACACAAUUUUUUUCAUUGCAUUAUGAGUAUGGUGCAGGAAGGUAAUUUGUCUUCCCAAUGUGACAUUCAAAUGGAAAUGAUGCCUUCAAUAAAUUCAUCAAGUCACAUGUUUGGCACCUUACCUCAUGUAUAAUAGGCUUGUUAUAUAACAACAUAAGCGUUGAUAACAUCUAAUUUAACAGUAAUUGACAACACUUAAUCUUUGAAAAUGCAGGGAAUGGGAGGGGAGAAUUUGUGGAAUGACCCAUCUGACAUGUAUAUAGAUUUUGGAGUACUUGGCAAUGUAAGCUCGGGGAUCGAAAACAUUUUGGACAUGAAUUUUAAUUAUGCAUUACUUAAUGAUUUUGUUGAAGUAAUUGGAAUGGAAUUGGAUGGCUCAAUUUUAACCAUGGAAUGUGCAUGUGCAGAUAACAGGAUUUGAGGAAUAUGAAGAAACUAUUACAACACCACGUGAAGGCGAGGAUCCAAACAAUACUCCAAAUGAAAAGGAUAUGCAACCUUUUUGUUAUUCCUUAACAGAGUAAGGGAUGACAAGUAUUAAAUCGGUAUUUUUAUCAUUUGACGUUAUCACUUUGGCUAAUAUGUACUUUUAAACCAAGUAUUUAAUGAAAAGUUUGAAUUCCCAACUAGAGUCAAAUUGAUUGAUAAAAUGCACUAUCCUCCAGAUUUAUAAUUUAUUUGAUAACAAGUGGUAAAAUGAUUGGUCAAACGGGAAACCAAUUAAUUUAUAUUAUGUCAAAAAAAUAGUUGGGCAUGAGGAUAUAAUUAAAGGAAAAUGUGGUUAAAGUUUGAAAAUUAGGUGGUUAUAAAUUAACUAUAAGAAAGUAAUUGAUUUGAUGUAAUUCAUAUGCAAUUGGUAAAUGUAGUGAUAUAACUCAAAAUGGGUAAAUCAUAAUUCGGUAAUUUGGAAUUGUAGUUUCCAUCAUUUCCAAUCCUUUUAAUUGUACCUAAUGGCUCAAUCACCAAUGUUAACUGGUUGAAAAGUAUCCACUACCACUUAUAGUUAUUUAUCAGACGAUAGUUGUACUGAGAAAAUGCAUGAUUGCAUUAAAAUUCUCAACCGAUUGACACUGCAUACAAUAAUUUCUCAAUGAGAAAUUUCAUCAGUCGGUCAUUUGAGCUCCUCAACUGUUAGACACUACAUCCAAUAUUGCUUGAACUGUUUGUGAAAUUUCCUCAGCUGGUUGGGGAAAAUCCUCUACCAGUAGACACUGCAUCCAUAAGGUCAUUAUCCGGUUGAGGAAUAUUCUCAACCAGUUGUCUUAAUUUCAUGGCUGAUAGACACUGCACGCAACUGAACAGAUGGACCGAUUAGUACCAAUUGAAGCACAUUUCUCAACUGGUAACACUGCCUUUAGAAGUCCUUGUUGUAAUUCACUCUUGCUAAUUGCUAAAUAUGAAUCGGCUAACCUAUACUCCCACCGAAACUGACUAUAUACUUUUGACCAUAGAUAAAUGAAUAUAUAUAUAUAUAUAUAUAUAUAUGUGUGUGUGUGUGUGUGUGUGUGUGUGUGUGUGUGUGUGUGUGUGUGAGGAUCAAGCCUCCUUAAAUAGCCAAAAAGAGGAGACAAAGCAUUGUUUGCUUUUUGACUAACUGCCAUGAAUAGUAAUCUCGUGCAUGAAUAGUGAAUAGUGAAUAGUAAAAUUCACUUUUCCACCGAAUUCCACCAAAAAAAACCCACUUUUGGCUGAGAAGACUACCGACAAGCUGCUUUAGACUGUGUAGUCACAUGCUUGCUGCUUUUGGUGCUGAAACUGCAAAGCUGUAAAAUAUUCUUGAUGGUAGGAAGACAUAAGGCUGAUGAUUACUUGGAUCUUCUUAUUGGAGGAAGGAUUCCUUCACAAUCGUCACCAUUGUCUGGAAGGUAGCUUGUUGAAUCAUCAAAUUCUGCAUAAGAAUUUUCUUGGGAGAAGCUUGAUCUUCCUUCUUCAUAUAUAUAUAUAUAUUUGAAAAGCAACCCAAAAUAUAUAAGGACAAAAAACAUCUAAAAAUCUAAUAGAUCGUACAAAAUCAUACAUGACGAAAAUGAAUGAUGCUAUAUAUUGCAAUUUCAUUUUGCCGACUAUAUUGAAAGAAGAGUAUAGCAUAUUAAAAUAAAACUGACUUGAUCAUGAACCAUGUAUGGUCAUCUAAGGUCACCACUUCCUAAUCGACAUGAACAUAUGUGGAGAUGGAAAUGAUAAGUAUUAAAAAGCAACAAAUGUCAUAAUAAUAAUUUUUUCAUUGCUCGUGUGGAUGUCUUUGUACAAACAAUAGCCAAAAUGGUUUGUUUUUCUCUGUUUCCCUCGUGUAAAACUAAAUCACUUGCUAUUCCCGACGUAUUUUAAUAGAAUUACAUAAGUUGGAGGCCUUCAUGGAAUCACCAUUUUUGAAUGUCUGCAUAUGUUUAAUGACAUGCACUCCACAGUCCCACCUAAGAAAAAUAUAAGAAAAGAAAAACAACUUAUUGAAUGGAUGUAUAAUUAUAGCUCAGAUAAACAAUAUUAAUGUGAGUAAUGUAUUCAUACUAACCCAUUAUCUUGGGUCAGAAUUGAAGGAGCCCAAUCAAUGGAGAAUUGGAAGACAUCUUUCCCUAUGUCAUACAGUUUCAAGAACAUUUGACAAAAUUCAACCUAAUUUAUUUUGAAAGUGUUAAUAAUUGUGGAAGAGAAAAAAAAAAGCAAAUUAAAAGGAAAACAAAUAGCUGAAAGCAUACCACUGUUUUGACACUCUUAAAUUGGAACUCGUCUCGACUCCUUGAUCGCAAUGAAUCCAAAAUUUGGAUGUGAGAGUUUUUAAAUUCAAUGACGCAAAGAUACUAAUGAUCGGGGCACUCGUCAUGCAUUAGAAUAAAUAGCUGUAAAGUUAGGAAAACAAUAUCUAUGAGUAAGGGCACAUAAUAUCAACACUAUUGUAUGUGAAAACAAUAUUUACUCUAAAUUUGAUAUAUGCAAUUAAAUAUUACAAAUUAUUACUAACCUUCUCGCAAUCAUCCAAUUCGUUGAUUUACUUACUCACGAUGGAUGUUUUUCUAUCAAAAAAAUGAAGAGGAGGACUCCCGCACAAAAUCAUUUGCUAAUAAUAGAACAUAAUACGAACAUUAGUAUAUUGUACUUAAUAUGUAAGUAAACAACAAGAGAUAUCUGAGAUUACUGAAAAUGUCGUGGGAAGAUAGCAUCUUAUACUUCGUAUGCCUAUGAAUUGCCUCUCAAAAUAAUUUAACUUUGAUGCUUCUAGAUUUAUUACCUGUUGUUAAACAAUAACUUUAAUAAAUUUGUUUAAUUAAUAAAACACGCAUUUUAUAUAAAUGAAGUAGGUACUUAUAAUAUCCAACAAAUUUUGUCUAGGACGUAAGCAAUCAAAAUCUCCACGAACUCCAUGUUCACGAGCAAAGUCAACAAGAAGCUCACUAAAAUAAUAAUAUGUUAAAACAUUGUUGACUGAAUUGGAAAAAUAUGAAGACUAAAAUUGUAACAACACAUCUAUGAAUGUUCUAGACACUACAAACCUUUUUGACAAUGCUUUAUUGAAAACAUAAUCAGCAACAAGAGAUUGAAGUACAUUGAAUGAUUGAGCAUCCACCACGUCUUCACAAAUGGAUAUGGGGAUUGACUAAAUUGAAAACAAGACAUAAUUAUUAGCUAUAUAUGUUGAGUAUCAAAAAUAAGAACAUGAUAUUAAACUAUUUGUAUUAUACCUCUGAUACUUGACGUUUUCCUAUCUUCCUUAAAUUGUGUACAAACGGGGAGAUCUUGAAUUUACUUGGUUUCCUCUCCCUUGAUGUACAUGUUUUCAUGACAUGCUCGGGAAAACCACAAAGUGCUCGUAAUGGUUCCUAAUAUGGAAAAUGUCAUUAAUAUACAUCUAUUUACUAUGGAAUGGUUAAGUAGUUGUAAAGAAAAUAAUUUUUUCUUUUCUAGGAUACAUACCUUUCCAUAAUCUCUUCUAAUUCUUUUGAUUGGUAGUGGUAAAAUAUCAACAUUUUUGUCUGGAAUGAUAUGCAUUUUAAUUGAUGUAGCAAAUGCAUCUUCAUUCUUUCCAUUCAAGUCCUCAGUGCAUAACUUGUCAAUUAACAAAGUGUGAACAUAAUAUUCAUUUCCUUUGUUAUUGUCCUUAUCUUCCAAACUUCUCUCGCAUGAGAGAAUGUCAUUCUUCGUUCCCUCCUCGUGCAUUCUCAAAGGUUUUUCGCUUGACCCAAGGAAGAGACCUUUCAAUGUAGUAUAUUUCUCCUCAAAUUCAAUAAAAACUUUUUCACAACUACUACUACUUGCACCAUGAGACAAAUCAAUUAGAUGUGUCUUUAAUUGUUGAAAGGUUUUAUCCAUCUCCAUUAAGCUCCCACCAUCAACCUAGUGAUAUAUAGGAAAUUCAUUAAUAACAUCAUAAUACAAGGGUUCACUACUAAUAUUGAUAGUCACGAUGAAUAUUGUAAAACUUACUCAUUUAAUAACAUCUUUGUUUGGAUUGAGUUCAAAUUUCUCAUCCUCCUCAUUCUCCCCCUCCAUUGUCUUCGCAUUUUCAUCAAUGCAAUCCCUUAUCUCAUUUUGUAUCAUCCAUAUUUUGACCUACAAUAUAUUCAAAAUAUAACACAUAUCAUAUUUAAAUUCACUAAAAACUUAAACCAAUAUUAAACGACUUUUGAAACUAUAACUUACAUUGUCAUUCACAUAUCCACCCUGUUUUUUCAAUCUUCAUUUCAUAUCCAAUACUUCAUCAUCUCUCCAAGCAGUAAUCCGAGGAGAAGGUUGAGUAUAUAGCGGUAGAAAUUUCUCUUCGAACGAUAUAUGCUCGUGGUAGAAUAACUGCAAUUAUAUUUUACAUAGAUAUAUAGUUAGUUCACAAAUUUUAUUAUAACAAAUUCGAAAUUCACUAUGAUGUAAAUUAUGUACAAGGACAUUACCAUUAAAAACAAUAAGCAACCAAAAACCCCACUUUUUUGGUUCAUCUUAAACUCUUCAAUCCCGUGCACAAGAUAAGACAACACAAUUUCAGCCCAAUUCAACUUUUUUAUUUAAUCGAUGUCUUCCACAAGAUGUAAGAAAGAACAUUUCACAAAACACUUCAUUGUUGGAUACAAUAAUGCACCCAACACAAAUAAUACAAAACGAACUUUGAAAUCGUUUCCACCUUCUUUAUCCUCCCUAAUAUGAUUUUCUAAAAUCACUAAUGGCAAUCACCCCUUUUUAUCACAAUAUUUUUUACAUAAAUCAUUCUUAUGGCUAACAUCUUUGUUCAUGUCAAUCUUCAACCCUCUUGUCCUCAAUCCCAUAAUAAAUUCAACACCAAUGGAGGAUAAUUUGAUACAAGUAUUAUACAACUCUAACAUAUAAGUGUUCGGAUUGAAACUAUUUAUCAACUAAAGACAUAACCCAUGAUCAAUUUUCCUACAUCGAAGUUGCAAGAGGUUACCAAAUCUUAUUUCUUCUAUGGUUGCUUUUUGCUUUGGUUCUAAUUCUUCAAUAACUCUAAUCACUUGCUCGGGUGAGCAUCAAGUCUGAAGAUAUAACUGAAAAGAUACACAAACCUCAAACAUGUUUACAUUAAUAUAAUUUGCAACAAAUACAUAAGUAAUUGAAUUUUAUAUUCAUUACAAAAAAUUUACCUUUGGACCCACACCCUUUUGAAGUGAAUAUUGUUUUGAACUUUCUUUUAACUUUGCCAUGAAAUCUUCUUUUUCUACUUUUGAAAGUGCAUUCCACUUCUUGCUCAAUUUAAAUUCUUUUUAUAAAAUGUAAUUAUAUUAGUCACAACAAUAUUACUCCUUACAUCAUCAUUUAUCUUCACUCCUUUAUCCUUCUCUUUGAUCAUGGUCAAUUGAUCGUUACUACAAAAAAAAUUCAAACAAAUAUAACUAUAACAACCACAAAAAAAUAAAUAAAAAAACAUAUUCUUUUACAUAUUUCUAUUUUCCCUUACUAAUAAUGUAUCCAAGCUCCGAUAGGCCUCUUUGGAUUUCUAACAACUUCAACACCAUCGCGUUCGCUCCUAAAAAUUAAAUCAAAUCAUUUAAGUCAAUUUUUAUAAUAUGAUUUCAGAUAUAAUAAAUCAAACAUACUUUCACCACCACUACAAAAUCCUCCCUAAAUCUCUGUACAUUUUACAUGGUCACAUAUUAAUUAAUACCCUUUUCUCUAAAUUUAUUGUUGAGUAGCUAAGGGUCUAAGAGAAGUUUUUUGGCUGUUGUGAAAAGAAAUAGGUUCUCUUGCAAAAAUGAGCCAAUCUUUUGAAAGUAAUUCACCUAAUGAAGAAUGGGAGUCUAUUGUAUACAAUUUACAACUAAAUUCUGGUUUUUGUUGUGGUUUAACUGUUAUAUUUCCUUAAAAUUCUAAAUCAAGUCAACCAGCAAUAUGCAUUUCGAUUUUCAAUCAUUUUUUUUCCUCAUAAUUUAUUUGAUUUGCAGUUUCAUGAUGAUGACAUCAUUUUAAUAAGCAUUUAAGAAGGAAAUUUAUGAAGAAGAUCAAUUGCAUCUUUCUUAUGCUUUAGGCUCCCAGUUGAUUUUGAUAUUUGUCUUUACAAUUAUUGCCAGGAAGAUCUAUACUAUCCACAUCCACUGGUUCAGGAUAUUCUAUGGGCAUCUCUUCAUAAGGUGUUUGAGCCUAUUUUGGGGCAUUGGCCCGGAAACAAGUUGAGAGAGAAGGCCUUAUGCACUGUAAUGCAACAUGUACACUAUGAAGAUGAGAAUACACGGUAUAUAUGCAUAGGGCCUGUGAACAAGGUACAUGUGAAGUAUAGAAAGGUCCUUUGAACUGCAAUAAAUGUAGUGAUUACUAAGGUCAAUAAAUGUACCGAUUACUAUUAAUUAAGAACUAAACCAGUUAGCUUCUUUAGUUCUACCACUCUACUCAGGUGCUCUUGAUCUAAUUGUCUGUUCUUUUCUGUUCCAUGAAGCUCUUGAUUUCCUGUUAUCUGAUUUGUACAGGUGUUAAAUAUGCUUUGCUGCUGGAUUGAAGAUCCAAACUCAGAGGCCUUUAAGUUGCAUAUCCCAAGAAUUUUUUAUUAUUUGUGGAUUGCUGAAGACGGCAUGAAAAUGCAGGUCCGUAGUCUUUCUAGUUUAUCUCGGUGUGCCAUUUCCAUUUUAUUGGAAAUUAUUGAAUUUUAUUAUCUAUCUGUUUACUGCAGGGUUAUAAUGGAAGUCAAUUAUGGGAUACUUGUUUUGCUGUUCAAGCAAUUAUUUCAGCAAACCUAGGUGAAGAGUAUGGUCUGACUUUAAGGAAGGCACACCAAUUCAUAAAAAAUUCUCAGCUUCAUGUUGCUAUUGAAGUUUGAUCUCAUAAAUCACCUACGUAUAUUAGCAGUUGUCCAUAAUGAUUUUACUCGACUAUUCCUACUUUGUUUUCAAGGUCUUAGAAGAUUGUCCUGGAGAUCUGAAAUUUUGGUAUCGUCACAUUUCCAAAGGUGGUUGGCCAUUCUUAACUGCUGAU
rnacentral:lncRNA from 1 species